rnacentral:lncRNA from 1 species
GGUGUAGAAAGAAGAAUAGAAAUUGUGAUAACAAAAUCCUAAUUCUAAUAGAAUACUAACAAUGCUCUAAUUAGAGUAUAAUAAUGGUAAACAAACCUAAUCAAAUUCAAAACAACUCAAAGAAUUUUCAAACAAAUAAUAAAAUUCUUAAAAAAAUAUUAGAAUGAUCACAAAUAUUACUCAAAUAUAUGUCAAUUCAAUCUUAAUUUAAUUCUAGUUAAAAUCUUAUUGAAUUUCACUCAAACUUUAGACCAAACCUAAUUAAAUCUUAAACCCUAGUAAAUCCUAAACCCUAAGUCAAAUCCUAAACAAACCUUAAAUUAAAUCCUAAAUCAAACCCUAUUUCAAACCCUAAAUCCUAAACCAAACCCUAAAUCAAAUCCUAAACCAAAUCCUAAAUCAAAUCCUAAACCAAAUCCUAAAUCAAACCCUAAACCAAACCCUAAACCCUAAUCCAAACUCUAAUCCAACCCUAAACUCUAAUCCAAUCUUAAACCCUAAUCCAAAUCCUAAACCCUAAACCAAACCUUAAAUCAAAUCCUAAUCCAAAUUCUAAACCCUAAACCAAACCUUAAAUCAAAUCUUAAUCCAAAUCCUAAACCUUAAUCCAAAUCCUAAUCUAAAUCCUAAAUCAAACCCUAACCAAACUCUAAAUCCUAAUCCAAAUCCUAAUCCAACUCUAAAUCCUAAUCAAAUCCUAAAUCUUAAUCCAAAUUCUAAUCCAAACCCUAAAUCAAACACUAACCAAAUCCUAAUCCAAAUCCUAAAUCAAAAUCUAAUUAAACUCUAAAUCCUAAUUCAAAUCCUAAUUCAAAUCCUAAUCCAAAUCCUAAAUCAAACCCUAAUCAAAUCCUAAUCCAAAUCCUAACCUCUAAAUCAAAUCCUAAAUCGAACCUUAGCCAAACCCUAAUCCAAAUCCUAACGAUAAGAUUGAUAACAGCUUUAUAGCCCAAACGCUAUCCAACGGAGGAGUCACGUAUUGGACUAGUUGAAACUUUACUCACGGAGCAAGCUCUAUCAUGAUUUAUUCCUUUGUUUGAGAAAAGAUCAUCAAUUUUGAAAAACUUCGAAACUUUUUUGGAGGCAUUUACGGAAGUAUAUGGCAAACAUGACAAGGUGCGAUGGACUACAACAAAGAUUUGAUUACUACGACAAGGAGUAUGCUCUGCGUCAAUCUACGUAUCAAAUUUUAGACAAUUAGUAUGUGACAUCAAUUAGAACGAGGAAGCAUUGAUGAAUCAAUUUUAUUGGGGCUUGAAGGAAGACAUAAAGGAUUUGUUAUUAUCUCUUUUCAAUCUAUGAAUGCUCAACAAAGCCAUUAGUCAAGCUGUGAAGUGUAAUAAUUGCAUAUUCCAACAUCACCAAGACUAACGCUGAAGAUAAUAUAGAGCUCAUCACGCUCCAACUAUGUGAGCAAGUAGCCUAAAUUCACAUUCAGAGGUAGAAGACAUGCAAAUUGAUGCAGUACAUGUCAAAUUUCUAACUCUAGAAGAAAAAAAAACAGCGUAUGGAGGAAGGACUAUGCUUGUAUUGCAAUAAAGAAGGCCACAAAGCAGGAAACUGCCCUAAGAAGUAAAAUUGACGCAUUGUCAAGACCAAAGGUGCAUUUGUUCAAGAAAACAAGGAUGCCCAGCCACAAUAGGGACCGUGUGGCUGAACAAUUCAAUACCACAACAAUCAGGUUCCUCUCUUUUUGCUCAGCCUGCCCAUUGCUUUACCAUUCCUCUAUCUUUUCACCUUCAGAAAUUAAAAACCUUAAGGUUAUUAGAUUCAAAAGUAUCUGCUUACUUUUUAGACGAAGAAUUUGCUAAGCAUCAUGAGAUUCCUCUAGUAUAAAAAUCUAAAUUCGUUCACAUAGAAGUAAUAGAUGGACGACCUUUUUUGUCUUGUAGUAUCAUCUAUGAAUCAGAACCUAUAGAGGUGACGUUUAAAGACCAUAGUAGUUAUAUUAUUUUCAAUAUUAUUAAAAAUCCGUGAAACCCUAUUAUUCUUGAUCUUUCUUGGUUAGAAAUGCAUAACCCAUCCAUAGAUUGGAGGUUCCUAUAAAACAUCUUGAGAGUAAACCUAUUAGAAGAUCCCGAAUCAAAAAAUCCUUAUUUAUUGGAGCAAGAGCUUUUCUAACAUCGUCCAAGACAUGUACACCGUUUGUUAUUUAUGCGACUCCAACUAGCGGAGAGAAGAUUUUGAUAGCAAAUAUAUCAGAGCAAUAUAAGGAUUUCAAAGACGCAUUUCAAAAGAAGAAUGCCGACAUGCUACCGGAGCAUUGACCAUAUGAUUGUACCAUAGACUUGCAGGAUGGAGCACAACUAUCUUUUGGUCCAAUCUAUAAUUUGUCACACAUGGAGUUAACGGAGUUGCAAAAGUACAUUGACGAGAAUCUAGCCAAAAACUUCAUUUGUCAUUCAAAGUCACCAGUUGGGGCACCAAUCUUAUUUGUGAAGAAGAAAGAUGACUCACUACGGAUGUGCAUGGAUUAUCAAGGUCUCAACAAGGUGAUAAAGAAGAAUCGUUAUCCAUUAUCCUUGAUAUCAGGUCUUCUAGAACAACUUGAGCAUGCAAAGAUCUUUACAAAGAUUGAUAUAAGAGGAACUUACAACCUCGUGCAAAUCAAGAAAGGAGAUGAAUGGAAGAUAGCUUUCCAUACAAGAUAUGGCCAUUUUGAAUAUAAUGUUAUGCCUUUUGGUCUUAUCAAUGCUCCGGCGGUCUUUCAAUACAUGUUGAAUGACAUCUUUCGGAAGCACCUUAAUGAUUUUGUUGUCAUCUAUCUAAAUGAUAUUUUGAUAUUUUCCAAAAACAUAGAAGAGCAUAAGAAACAUGCUCGUCUGGUCCUUGAAAAACUCCACGAGUGAGGACUUUACGCCAAAUUAGAGAAGUGCUUGUUUAACCAAACUGAGAUGGAAUUUUUGGAAUUCAUUACAACUACGGAAGGUUUGAAGAUGGACCGUAAGAAGGUGGAAGCAAUUGUAUCAUGGAAAGUCCCAAAGACAAUUAGAGAUGUACAAUGCUUUCUUGGCUUUGCUAACUUCUAUCAAAUCUUCAUCAAGAAUUAUUCUCAAGUUGUUACUCCGCACACUCAGUUGACAUGUAAAGACAAACUCGAAUGGCGACUUCUAGUAGAAAAAGCAUUUCAAGAUCUUAAGACAGCAUUUACUAUGGCUCCAAUCUUGGUACAUUCAGACUUUGUAAAGGCCUUCUAUUUAGAAACCGAUGCUUCAGAUUUUGCUAUGGGAGCUGUACUUUAACAGAUAGGUAUAAAUGAGAAGCUUCAUCCAGUUGCAUUCUACUCUCGAAAGUUUUUUGCUGUCGAGAUCAACUAUGAGAUCCAUGAUAAAGAACUUCUUGCGAUAGUGGAUUCUUUUUAAGAGUGGCUCCACUUUCUCGAAGGAGCUUUGCAUUCGGUGUCAUAAUGUGUGAAGUCUUGCUUGAGAAUGCAUCGAGCACCUAGCUGUAGAAGGAAGAAUAGAAAUUGCAAUAACAAAAUCCUAAUUCUAAUAGAAUACUAAUAAUACUCUAAUUAGACUAUAAUAAUGGUAAACAAACGUAAUCAAAUUCAAAACAACUCAAAAAAAUUUCAAACAAACAAUAAAAUUCUUAAAAAAAUAUUAGAAUGAUCACAAAUAUUACUCAAAUAUAUGUCAAUUCAAUCUUAAUUUAAUUCUAGUUAAAAUCCUAUUGAAUUUCACUCAAACUUUAGACCAAACCUAAUUAAAUCUUAAACCCUAAUAAAUCCUAAAUCCUAAAUCAAAUCCUAAACAAACCUUAAAUUAAAUCCUAAAUCAAACCCUAUUUCAAACCCUAAAUCCUAAACCAAACUCUAAAUCAAUUCCUAAAGUAAACCCUAAAUCCUAAUCCUAAAGGCAUAUAACCUGUUACUGAACUAUGAGUUGUACGAUCUGCCCUCAAUGCAAAUGGUAGUAGCCUACGCCAUUCAUGUGCUUUGCCAUUGCAUGCCUUUACUAAUGCCUUAAUAAUAGGUAAAUGCCCAUGCUCACUUUUUCCAUUACCUUCUGGGUUAUAUGCUGUUGUCAAAGAAAGUUUAAUUCCUAUUCUACUAAAAAAAUCUCGUGCUUCUUUUGUAUCCAAUUCACCUUUAUCCGUCAUAAUUUUUUCAAUACAUCCAUAAUGACAAAUAACUUCUUCUAAUAGAAAUCGACAUAUACCUUUAGUAUACUUUAUUUUUGAUGCUCGUCAUUCAACCAUAGUCGAUAAAUCUUCUCGUGCAAGUACCAAAUACUUCAUUUGCCCAAGUUCCAUAGGCAUUGCUACUAAAUCCACAACCCACUUGUAAUAUAAAGCCAAAGGGUAUGUUGGAUGUAACCCAUCUUGAUGCCCAAUAUUUGAAUAUACUUGGCAAGUCUCACAAGAUUCUACAAAUUUUGUUAUGUCUUUGUACAUUCCUUUCCACCAAUAUUUUUCAUUUAACUUAGUGAAUGUUGUCCAAAUACCUCGAUGCCGUACCCAUAAAUUUUCAUAAAAUUCUUUAAUAAUCCUUUGUUGAGCUUUAAAACCACAUAUCACCCUUUGUAGUACUUCUCCUCUCUUUUUUGGAUGCUUCCAUAAAUAUCCAUCAUGUAAAAAAUAUCUAUAGGCUUUCUUACGAAUUUUCUUAAAUUCUUGAUCCGUCCAACUUUUUUGUCGUUUUAAUGUGCUCAAAUACUUUCUAACAUCUUUCCAUUCAUUUUCAUAUAAAUCUCUUAAAAAUGCUUCCAAUGGUAAAUUAAAACAUACACCCUUUUCUUUUGAUAAUGCAUUGGUAUAAAAUUUUGUAUCCACAUCAUCUUCUAAAUCAAUCAUCUUUUUUUCAUCAUUAUACCUUGCUCUCGAUAACAUAUCUGCAACUAAAUUUUCUUUCUCUGCAAUAUGUUUAAAUUUAGGAUUCAUAGAUUUGAUAUAUGCUAUCCACCUCAACAUAGCAAUAUCAGGAGUUGAACAACUUAUAAUCAUGCCUAACAAAGGUAGACAAUCUAUUUCUAUAACUACUGAUGCUCCAAUCAAGUAUUCUUUUUCAUUUUUCAUAGCUAUUAUUAUACCCCAUAAUUCUCUUUUGAUUUGCGCAUAUGUCCUUUGCUUAGAAUUCAAUACCUUUGCUCCAAAUCUUACUACAUAUUUAUUUUCUUGUUCAUCAUCUUGUCCAACUGCCCAAUCUAUUCCAAUUGGACUUGCAUCAACUGUUAAUACCACUGGCCUUCCACCUUCAUAAUUUACUUUCUUCAAAGUUGGAGAUGAAAAAAGAAGUUCUUUUAAUUUUUCCAUAGCUUUUCGUUGUUCUUCUUUCCAUUGAAAUUUUUGAUUCUUUCUUAACAACUCAUAUAAUGGAUCUGCUAUAUGUGCAAAGUAAGGUAUCCAUAUAUGAUAGAAAAUACAUGUUCCUAAAAACCUUCUCACUUCCGUUGUAUUUAUACAUUCUUUCAUCUUUUUAAUAAUAUCAAUCUUUUCUAUACUUGGCUUACGUCCAUAUGAACCACAUAUGUGUCCUACCACCAAAAUUUCUUUUACUCCAAACAUUGAUUUUGUCCCCGAUAAGGUUAAAUGAACUUCUUCCAAUCUUUUUAAAAUCUUCUCACAAUCUUCAAUAUGAUCUGCCACAAACUUCCUACAUCCCUAUGAAUCUAAAGUUUCAUCCUUUCUUUCUUCUUCACAUCCCUUAAUAGGUACAUCAUCCAAGAAAGGCAUUGUUAUUCUUGGAAUAAAAUCUCUUAAUACCUUAUGCAUUCCAUUCAUCAUAUGUCCUACAAAAUUUGUAGCCCCUUGUAGUAAUGUGCAUAUUCUAACCAAUCCUAACAGUGUCUUCAUAGUUGUCAAAUCCCUACUUUGUAUUGCCAAUUGAAAUUGAUCAUAACUUGAAUAAAGAUCAUCCAUUGAGUAGAUAGCUCUUCCAACAAAUGCUUCUGCAAAUUCAUCCACAAUUGGACUUGAACCCAUAUUUCUAAUAGUCACUUUAUUUACGGGUUGCAUAUCUUGUAUAAAUCUCAUUGUUCUAUUUUUCUUUGGCACUGUAAACCAUCGAUUAGAAUAAGGUGCUAUAGAUGGUUCCAAAAUUCUCAUUUUAAUCUUUUCAUUGAAUAAAUCUACUAACUUAGAUAAAUGUGCUCUUGGUACUGGAAUUGGUUGCAAAUUCCAUGGUUCAUGAGGAAUAGUAAAAAUAACCAUGGAUGCUACAAUAUUUGGAUCAAUACACCCCAUUUCAUGUGCUUCAAAUACAAAAGCUUUUCCAUGAUGUGAAAGCAUAUCCCUAAAAUAUUUUUCUUCACAUUUUGUCAAAAAUCCAUCACCUCCAACAUUUAACCCAUCUAAUGUAACAUCCAUAAAUUUAUGCCCUAUCUUCCUUGGAUCUCUUAGAUUCUGUUGUAUCGAUGCUCCACUUAUCAUUUCUUCACAAUCAGAUGGUAGUGGCAAAGCCACUAGUUUGACCUUCUUUGCUAUUGAUUUAUACUUAGUUUCAACAUAUACCUCUUGGCAACUUAAAUUUUCUUUAAAUCCUUGAAUUUAAUCAUAAAAUUCUUUAAAACAUACAUUAAUAACUCUAUUCUCUACUUGUAAUCGAUAUUAUAAUAGAUAAUUUAUUUCCUCAAUAGUAUCUGCAAAACCUACUUCUUCAUAUGCUCCUGAAAUAAAUUCAUUUUCAACCAAUUCUCCAUUUUCUUUCAAAUUUUUUUCAAUAUUUUUAAUAUAACAUCUGUCCCUCUUUUUCAUUUUGUCAAUAGUCUUAAAAGUCAAUACACAAUCUUGUGUCAUCCCAAUAAGUCCAAUAGAUAACAAUUCUUUUUCAAAAUUAAGCGGGAGCUUUUCUUUCUCUAAUCUAUUGCAACUCCACCUUAUAAUGGUGUGUGGUAAAAAUCCUCAAGGUCUUCAAAUUUCUCAUUUGAUAUUGGUUUCUCUCUCAACUUAUCACUAUUUCUCUCAUGAUUAGCACAAACAGUUAAAAAUUGAACUGCUUUCAUCCCAUCUUGGCUUCUUAUUCUUGCAUAAGCUGAACCAUCAUCCAUUAUUUUUGUUUCCAUUUGUUUCGAAAUAAUAUAUGGUUUUUCGAAUAUAAUAGGAUAUGUAGACAUGUCUUGCACAAAGAAAUUCUGUUCAUGAAUAACAACUCCAAUUGUCACUUUGAUAUUUGGAUAUGCUCCAUACAAAUCUCCCUUUGAAUUAUUCGCAGCUCUUAUCAUCCACCCAUAUUCAGUAUCAAUAGGCCAUUUUUCCUUGUUAUAUAAUUCCUUUGACAUCAAAUUGAUUUCAAAACCAUGAUCAAUUAAUGCUACAACUGGUUCUUCUAAAUUUCUCAAUUUUAUUAAAGUCUCCGUUGUAGCCUUUGCCCAAUGACUUCUAGAAUAAUGGCUAGAAGCUUGAAUGACAUCUUCUUUUUCUGCAAACCUUACUCGCAAGACAUCUCCAAAAUUUUGUAUUUCAUCUUCUUCAUUUUGAUUUCUUUCCAUUGCUCUUGUUCCUUGUGCAUUUGAUGUCAUAGAGUCUCCUAUAGAUUGUCAUUUUUUCUUUAUUGUAUCAAUAAUAACUUCAUUAAAUUCACUCUUUGCAAUUCUUAGAAUUUCAAUAAUUAUGAAUUCAACCUUUUCACUUAAAAUCUGCUCCUCCAAUACCUUCUUCAAAUCUGUAGCUGCUUCAAUAUCUGAUUGUAAUUUAUAAGUGGGAGCCAUUGCUUUUUCUUUUCUAAUUUCCCUCUCUUUUGUAGAAAUGUUCCCAAUUGUCUCUUCAUGAAUAGAAUUCUUUUGUUGUUGUGCUUUUUUCCCCCUUGUAGUUCUUUUUAAGGGCCCUUCAUUAUUUUCAUCUCUCCUUCAUUUUUCUUCUAUUAAUGCUUCAUAUUGACUCCUUGCAAUAUGAGCAUGUACAGAUAAUCUAUCUACUGGAUCAUCCCACCCAGUAAUUUAUCGAAUGUUAUUACCAACACGUUUUAAAUCAUCUCUAGUAAAAUUUUUCUUUUUAGCAUACCUCAUUGCACUUGUCCACAAAGAAUUAGAUUCUUCCAAAAACUCAAGAUUUAUACUUAAACAUCUACUAGGAUCUACUUCCACCCAAUAUGUUGAUGCUUCAUUGCUUGAGAUUGUCUGCACUUUAAAAGUAUCUCUAAUAAAUAACUUUAUUCCUCGUUUAUCAAAAUUUGUUUCCAAUUUUUCUCCAUUUUUUUUUGAGUGUAUCAUACCAUCUCUAAAAAAAACAACUCCUUUACGUAAUGCCUCUGUAAAUUCUUCACAUUCCCUCUUCAAGUGAUCUAUGCUGUCACACCACAUGCAUCUAUGUACUACAUCCUGCAUUGGCCUUGGUCUUUGUUUUGUUGAUAUUCUUGAUGAUUGACCUUUCUCUUCAAGUUUUGUAAAUUUUAUUUACAAAUCUCUCAUCCCACAUAUGAUUUUAUCAAUUCCCAUUUCUUCUUUUUUUAUUGUAGCCAUUGAAGGUUGAAUCAAAGAUGUUGGAUAGAUACUAGACACCUUUACCUUAGAUGCUUGUAAUGGUCUUUGAUCACCCCCCAUAUCUUUUCUUCUUUUUCUUUUUGUCAACGUCCUUACAGCAUCCUCUAUCCUUUCCCAAUUUGUUGUCAAUCCUUCAUCUUCUUCUUUAUCUUCAAGCAUGAAUUCCAACUUCUCUUGCAACUUUCCAUCAGUUUCUUGAAGAAAGAGCUCCACCUUACUUGGAUCCAAUAAUUGUCUUUCUUUCUUUGAUAAAGAAGAAUAUUGCUUUUCAAACUUCCUUAAUAAUUCUAUUGCUAGAAGAUCCUUCUUUGGCUUUUCAAUCCAUUCAAAAAAAGACCUUUUUGUAACCCUAUCACUAUCUUCUAAAAAAAACUCAUCCUUCAAAGCUUGAGAAAAUUUCUCCCAUGAACCUCCAAAGUGUUGUAUAAGAAACUUAACUUGAUUUCUUAUCUCUCUUGCAAAGGCUAAUUCAAAUAAUUGAACCAUCUCGCUUUCUGAAAUACGUUUCAAUUCCAAUUCUUUUACAUAACAUCUUAAAUAUUUUGUAAUAUCCUUUCCUUCAAAUUGAUCAUUCUUGUCCAUGACCGCUUGUAAUGCUUUAUUGGCCAUACUCUCUUUGCGAUCUUUAACUUGUUGUUCUUGUUGUUGCAUGAAUAAGGUCAAAGCUUCAAACAUGCUUGCAAAGUUAGGAUCAAAAUGCAUACCUUGUCCUCCAAAUGAAGCUCUUCUUCGAAUUCUACUUGAAGCACUAUCCAAAUUGCCUCCUUCCAUUUUCCUUUAAUUCCUUCUCCAAAAUUCAAAUAAUAAAAAUAAUAAUAAAUUCCUUCCACCUCAAGCGUUUCACGUUGGGGUUACCAAAUAAGUUGUAAUGUGUGAAGUCUUGCUUGAGAAUGCUCCGGGCACCUAGUUGUAGAAGGUAGAAUAGAAAUUGUGAUAACAAAAUCCUAAUUCUAAUAGAAUACUAACAAUUCUCUAAUUAGACUAUAAUAAUGGUAAACAAAUGUAAUCAAAUUCAAAACAACUGAAUGAAAUUUCAAACAAACAAUAAAAUUCUUAAAAAAAUAUUAGAAUGAUCACAAAUAUUACUCAAAUAUAUGUCAAUUCAAUCUUAAUUUAAUUAUAGUUAAAACCCUAUUAAAUUUCACUCAAACUUUAGACCAAACCUAAUUAAAUCUUAAACCCUAAUAAAUCCUAAACCCUAAGUCAAAUUCUAAACAAACCUUAAAUUAAAUCCUAAAUCAAACCCUAUUUCGAACCCUAAAUCCUUAACCAAAUCUUAAUACCUAAUCCAAACUCUAAUCCAAUCCUAAACCCUAAUCCAAAUCCUAAAUCCUAAACCAAACCUUAAAUCAAAUCCUAAUCCAAACCCUAAAUCAAAUCCUAACUAAAUCCUAAACCCUAAUCCAAAUCCUAAUCCAAAUCCUAAAUCAAAUCCUAACCAAUUUCUAAAUCCUAAUCCAAUCCUAAUACAAAUCCUUAUCCAACCCUAAAUCCUAACCAAAUUCUAAAUCCUAAUCCAAACCCUAAUCCAAACCCUAAUCCAAACUCAAAAUCAAAUCCUAACCAAAUCCUAAUCGAAACCCUAAAUCAAACCCUAAUCAAAUUCUAAAUCCUAAUCCAAACCCUAAUCCAAAUUCUAAAUCAAAUCCUAACCAAUUCCUAAUCCAAAUCCUAAACUCUAAAUCAAACGCUAAAUCAAACCCUAGCCAAAUCCUAAUCCAAAUCCUAGUAAUUCCUAUGUCAGAUUUAAACCUCAAUAUCUAAUGAAUAAACCGUUGAUCUCAAUUCAAAAUUUGCAUACUUCUUAAAAAUCAAGUUUUAAACAAGUACAAAAAAAUUUGAAAAGGAUCGGAGUUACCAAAUUGACGAAAACCUCAAAAUGUAUUCGGAUGUUAGCCGGCCUCCUUCUCCAAUCUUGAUGCCAACCUUCCAAAGCCAAUUUCUCUUCUUUGCCUCGUUCGAUUGGUUUCAAAUUUCUCAUGGACAUAGAAACACAAGUCUAAUAUCCUCGUACAUAAGUUUUACUCCAAUCCAACCAGUAGAUUGCAUGAAAUCUUAAAAACUCUCAUUGGACCUAAAAUUCUACUUUUUGAGACCUUGACCCACUUAAACCUCAAUAUCUCUCACUUCAACCAUUAGAUCGUGCUCAAAUUCACAACAUGUAUUUAAAACAACUAUAAUCAUGAAUCCAAAAAAUUUCACUUGUAGAUCUGCAACAAAACUCUCGAAAUCACUCAAAACAUAAAUCCUAUUUUAUUUCAUAAAACCCAAGUCAUCCAAAACAAACCUCUACUUUGCAAAGCUCUUACAAAGUCAUAUCAACUCCAAAUUACCCAAAAUCAACGAUAUUAGAAACCCUAUCCAAUGUUCUAUCAAAUUCCAUUCUCUGAUUUACUCAAGAAUCCCGGAGUCGUCAUCGAGACUCGGUUUUGUGCCUCAGGGUCUGAUUUCAAUCCCGGUUCAUAACCGGCCCUCUUCGGGUAUCAAAUUUCGUCUUCUUGAGGUAAUUUUUACUAUUUAGCACUUCUUACUCCUCCCUACAUAUGUCUAUAUCUUUUUUUUUUCUAAUAUACCUUGUUUUGCCUUAUUUAUGGCCUUACAAAGUAAAUAGCAGCAUAAUUUGUAAAAAGGCAGCAUUAGCACCUUUAAUUUUUCUACCCUUUUACUAAUAUCUAUUUUUCCAAGAUAAUUUGCUACAAUAUUUUUGAAGUGAGAUCCUCAAAAAAUGAUAUAUUUCUUCAUCCUUUCACCUAUUAGUUAUAUUACAUCAUAACAACGUGUUCUUCAAACUCAUCAAUACUUUCUAGCAGGAGGAUAUUUUCGAUACAAUAUGACUUUGGAGCUAAUAUCUAGGGAUUUUUGGUGGCCUCAAAUGUAGAAGGCAGUCAAAGAUUUUGUUCAAUCAUGUGAUGUUUGCUCAAGAUCAAAAACUCCUCAUCAUCAACCUUUUGGACUUCUUCAGCCAUUACCCAUUCCACAACAACCAUGGUCUUCUAUUUCUAUGGACUUCAUCACAAAUCUUCCAAUCUCAGGUUCUUAUGACUCUAUAUGUAUGAUAGUAGAUCAUUUUACCAAGAUGGCAUAUUUUAUACUAUGUACAAAAUCUAUCACAGGUGAAGAAACAACUAAGCUCUUUCUUGACAAUAUCUAUAGCUAUCAUGGAUUAUCCAAGGAUAUUAUAUCAGAUACGGGAACUCAAUUUGUAUCAAGAUUUUGGCAGACUCUUUUCAAGAUUCUAAAAGUGGAUAUAAAACUAUCUUUGGCAUUCCAUCCUCAAACUAAUGGACAAAUGGAGCAUGUUAAUCAAGUUUUGGAGUAGUAUUUAAGAUGUACCAUUAACUACCAACAAGAUGAUUGGACAACUCUUUUGCCAUUAUUAGAGUUUGCUUACAAUAACAUGAUACAUUCUUCUAUAAAAUAAUCACCUUUCUUUGCUAAUUAUGCUUAUCAUCCAUGACUUGAUACUUUGACUUUUCAAAAAUUGAUAAUUGUGCUGCGAAAGAUUUGGUGAUUCAUUUGUCAGAGCUACAUGCAAUGUUGAAGGUAUAGUUAAAAGAAGUUCAAGAACAACAAAAGGUUAAUGCGGAUGUCUAUUGAAAGGAACAACCACCAUUCCACUUGGGUGAUAAGGUAUGACUACUUUGUCAUAAUAUCAAGACCAUUCAUCCUUGUGACAAGUUGGACUAUCGAAGGCUUGGACCAUUUUCUAUUUCUACACAAAUCAAUCCAAUUGCAUAUCGUUUACAUCUACCGGAGUCAAUGAAAAUCCAUCUUGUAUUCCAUGUGUUUCUUUUUCAACCAUACAAGACAAUGGACAUACCAAGAAAAAGACAAGCUCUACCUCAUCUUAUAGAAGUGGACAAUAAUGAAGAGUUUGAAGUAGAAGAAGUCUUAGAUUCAAGGUGGCGCUAAAAUAAAUUAGAAUAUCUUGUCUAUUGGCACGGAUAUGAUUUUAGUGAACGCACAUGAGAGCUAGUAAAGAAUCUUGGAAAUACAGCAAAGGCGAUGGAGGCUUUUUAUUGACAGCAUUUAUAAAAAUUAAGAUGAAAACCUUCUUUAUAAAAGAAACAACAUCUAGACAAGAUAACAUUCUACUUUCAAUCCUUGUUUGUAGCGUCUUUGUAGUUAUGACACUCAAGAGAUGGAGAACCAACAACCAAUGGAUUUGACUCAAGAGCCUUUAUUUGUUGACUUGUUAGAUGAGACAUUAUGAUUGUCUUAACCUUCAAGAUGAUGCAAUCGAGAUGAAGAUCUUUAAGAAUGAUAUAUUCUUCCUCGAAUAGAUGGCGAGAUAUAAUGCGUUUGGUAUCACGACUUGGGAAGGGACUCCCGAUGUUUGGUGAUUUUACUAGAUGUAAGAACAAUUCCUGAUGGUGUUCUAAAUGUUUUAUUUGAAGGAAGUUAUGAAGGCCUCAACAAUGAUCAAAUAAUUGGAUGGUUUUUUCGCCCUGGUAUGGGACACUACCAAUGGUUGAGAGGCCCUAUCAAUCAUCUUCGAAAAGAACAACGAUCAAAGUAUGUGGCGAAUAUAAUUUGUCGUAUCAUAGAUUUUUUUAACAUAUGAUGACAGAUCCUUGUGGAAUUCGUCCCUAGAAGGAAAGGUAAUGUCACGGACCUACUCAUAUAAGCCAAUAUUUACAUAUAUAAAUAAGUAGAAGUAAGUAAAAGUAGAUGAAAGUAAAUUAAUUCUAUAGUAUUUGGUAUAAAAGCUUCCUAGAAGCAUCAUAGAUGCUGCUUUGACUUUAUAGGUGUCUUUAAUUGAUUUUUUGGGACUAAAAACGUGGUCAACAAGUUGGCCAUGUGCCACACAUGUUGUUAGCUUCAAGACCAAGCUAACUAUGUGGCCCACACGUAGAAAAACUUGUCUUGUAAGUCAAGGCAUGUGUCCUAUAAAGUCAACACAUAUUUGAGGUCUUAUAGAAAAUCGCCACGUAGCCCUUAGUUAGAUAGUAUAUAUAGAGACAAGAGUGAAGCUUUCUUCACUCUUGUCAAUUCCUUUCUUGUUUCUAAUCUAGUUUCAAGAGUCUUCAUAUUUUCUAGUCUUUGGCAAUAGCCAUUCGAGUUUCUCUUUCAAUAUUCAUAUUUGUUUAUUUAUAUUUUGUUACCUUUCUUUGAGUGAAGGCUCACUUGUCUGAAUUACUUUUUCAUCGAAUUCUUAUCCUUGACAAAUGAAAGAAGUGUUAGAUUUAUGGAAAUAUCAAAAUAGAUUGAAAUAUCUUAUUCAUUGGCAUAGAUAUGAUUAUAGUGAAUGUACAUAGAAGCCAAUAAAAAAUCUUACAAAUGCAACAAAGAGAGUUGAAGCUUUUAUUGAUUUUAAUAGAUGCCAUCAAUAAAAGAUCUUGAUUUUAAUGGAUGCUAUAAAAAAAAUGAGAUAUAUGAAAUAUAGUAUUCUAUCUUUUUAUCCUUAUUUGUAGCUUCUGUAUAUUUGUGGCAUUAAGUAGAAAGAAAAGCAAUAAUUAGGAGAUUCAAUUUAAGACUUAUUAUUUAUUGAGUUAUCAAAUGAGACAUUAUAAUUAUCACAACCUUCAAGACAAAGUAGUCAAAGUGAAGAUCUUCAAGAAUAACAUAUCUUUCUUUGAAUAGAUGGUUGAGAGGACCUAUUAACCAACUUCAAAAAAAACAAAGUUCAAAAUAUAUGGCAAACACAAUUCAGUACAUUUUGGAUUUUUUUAACAUAUGAUGACUGCUCCUCAUGGAAUACGUUUCUAAAAGAAGAGCGUUGUUAUGGACAUACAUAUUUAUUCUAAGAAUUACCUAUAUGAUUAAAUAUAUAUAAGUAAAAAUAGAUUACUUAUCUAAUAUCUGUCACGGACACAAAAUACAGACUUGAAAUCUAACAAGAAAUUCAAGAAGAAGUGGCAGAACUAGAUUAAACAGAUGAGUACAAGAACAACACCAGAAAGGUGAGCUAGAACUCCAAGAGAUGUGUUGUCAAGAUUGAAGAACUCCUCAGCCUCGACUCCUAUAUAUACUACUGGCCUAUGGUUCUAAGGAAGCGCAUCAAGAAGCUUCCCAAGAACUAUGAAGCUUCUCGAGCAACUACCCAAGAGCUAGGAAGCUUCUCAAGUAACUUCCUAGAAUCUACUAGAAUAUUCUAAGAAUCUUCUAGAGCCUUCUAAAGGAAUCUUUAGGGAAUCUUCAAAGAAUCUUUAGGGAAUCUUCAAAGAAUCUUUAGGGAAUCUUUGAAGAAUAUUCUAAGAGAAUAUUCAAGGAAUCUUCUGGAAGUUUCUAGAGACUUCUUUCUAGAAGGUUCUAGAAACUUGUCUCUAGAAAGGUCUAAGGACUAUGUCCCUAACAUCACCUCCUCCUUUAGCUUCGAGGUCUCCGAGAAGUAAUGUUAUCGUCAGUCAAUAUCAACGCAAGAAAAUGAAGAUCUGUCGCAUAACCUCUGCUAUGAACUCCAAUUGUUGUUCACGAGGCAAGUGAUUCAAUGGUCCUUGAAGCCAACGGUAGUGGCCCACGCCUUCAACUUCUGACCAAGCAUGAACCUCCGUGUCUUCAUUGUGAAAUUGUCCUGCAAACACUCCUUCUGGCUGACCAUUGUAGGCAGGCUCUAUCACGGACACAAAAUACAGACUUGAAAUCUAACAAGAAGUUCAAGAAGAAGUGGCAAAACUAGAUUAAACAGAUGAGUACAAGAACAACACCAGAAAGGUGAGCUAGAACUCCAAGAGAUGUGUUGUCGAGACUGAAGAACCCUUCAGCCUCGACUCCUAUAUAUACUACUGAAUAAGAAGCUUCUCGAGCUACUUCUGCUAACUAGGACGCUUCUCCAACAACUUCUACUAAUUAGGAAACUUCUCGAGCAACUUCCUAGAAUCUAUCAGAAUAUUUUAGAACCUUCUAAGAAUAUUCUAGAACCUUCUAAGAGAAUCUUUAGGGAAUAUUCUAAGAAUCUUCUAGAACCUUCUAAAGGAAUCUUUAGAGAAUAUUUAGAGAAUAUUCUAAAAGAAUAUUUGAAGAAUCUUUUAAUGUAUGUCCAUGACAUCACCUCCUCUUCUAACUUCGAGGUCUCCGAGAAGCAAUGUUGUUAUCAGUCAAUACCAACGCAAGAAAAUGAAAAUCUGUCGCAUCACAUCCGCUAUGAAUUCCAAUUGUUGUUCGCAAGGCAAAUGAUUCAUCGGCCCUUGGAGCCAACGGUAGUGACCAACACCUUCAACCUCUGACCAAGCGUGGACUUCUGUGUCUUCAUUGAGAAACUGUCCUCCAAAUACAUCUUCUGGCUGACCAUCGUAGGCAGGCUCGACCUCAAAUACAAUUACUAGCGAUCUGUUGCUCGGUAUCUUCCGACGUCGUCGUGGUGCAGGCGGUUCUUCAUCUCGCGGUCGUCUUUGUGAGCUAGUCGCUUGAGAUGACAUAACAAGUGUAGUAUCUUGACUAUCCAUGUCCAAAGGCUAAAAUGAUGAGAGCAAACUAUAGUUGCUAACAAAGUUCUACACUAUCGAACUAUGGGUUUUGGAGGUGCCCUCCCCCCUUUUUAUGCUACUUGAUGAGCAAGCUUCAGCAAGAAGCUAUCGUUGAAUCGGCUUAGGUUUAUGAGGAUAUCGUUGAUGAAAUUCUUGUACCUUUUUUGGUGCAUUGGCAAGAUUUUCGGCACGCUCCCACGUUCGUUCAUUGAUGUCGUAUCCACUCCAAUGCACUAAAUACUCUAAUUUUCUCCUAUUACGCCGUGAAUCUAGUACCUUUUCCACCUCAUAUUCCUCAUGGUUUUCAAUUUCGAUACUUGGUGGCGGACUUUAUACUCUUUGGGGAAAAGCUGACUCUCGAUAAGGUUCCAACAAAGACACGUGAAAGACUGGAUGUACCUUCAUAGUAGCUGGUAACUCCAGACGAUAUGCCACCGGAUUGAUCUGCUUCCCGAUAACAAAUGGCCCUAAUCUCCGAUAGUCCAAUUUGUCACAUGGCCGCUUGGUCUUGAUAUUCCGUCGAAGAAGCCAUACUUUACUUCCAACUUUAAAAGUAGGCGCCUCAUUUCGAUAUUUAUCUGCAGAUGCCUUGUAACUCUCUUGGGCAGAUUGCAAUUGAAGCUUCAACGUCGCUUGAAGCUCCGAUAGUUGCUUCACAAAUCCUUCAGCUGCUGGGUUGUUAUUUGCUGAAGAAUUCAAUAAAUCGAGCUUGGGGUGGUAUCCGUAGUUGGAGAAGAAUGGUGUUUGUUGAGUUGACGCAUGAAGAGUGUUGUUGUAUGCGAAUUCAGCAAGCGGUAGAUAUGCAGUCCAAUCAUCUUGUUGAUAGUUGAUGGUGUAUCGUAAAUAUUGCUCUAAAACUUGAUUCACCUGCUCCGUUUGACCGUCAGUUUGAGGAUGAAAAGCCGAAGAGAGCUUAAUAUCCACCUUCAAUAUCUCAAAGAGGGACCUCCAAAACUUGGAUACAAACUGAGUACCUCGAUCCGACACGAUAUCAUCUGGUAGGCCAUGAUAACGAUAUAUGUUAUCAAGAAAGAGUCUUGCGGUGUCUUCACUUGACGAUGUUUUCUUGCAAGGCACGAAAUGUGCCAUCUUUGUAAAUCGAUCCACCACAACAAAGAUGUUGUCAAAUGAAUUCGAUGGCGGUAGGUCCGUAAUGAAGUCCAUAGAAACUGAAGACCAUGGUCGGUGCGGAAUAGGCAAUGGCUGGAGAAGUCCAUACGGACGAUGUCGAGGGAUCUUGGAUCUUGAACAAACAUCACAAGAAAGGACAAAUUCCUUCACAUCCUUCCACAUUUGGGGCCACCAAAAAUCUCGUGAAAUGAGCUCCAAAGUCUUGUUGAAUCCAAAAUGUCCCGCAGCUGGAAAGUCGUGGCGAGAUUGAAGUACUCGGAGUCGAGUUAGUCCUUUCGGGAUAUACAACCGCUCCUCAAAAUACAGAAGAUCUCCCUCCACCUUAAACUUGUCAUUAUCAACACGUUGUUUGAUGUCAAGAGCUAUAGAAUCCUCAAUGGUCGCAGUACGUACCUCGCUGAACAAGCCGUCAUCGAUAGUUGCAACAGUAGCAAAAAUCCUGAAUUUUUCUGGUUUCAACAAUGUUGUACAUUGUUGAUCAAACGCUACUUCUCCAGCCUUUGGUACAAGAUACGAUCUCCUCGAUAAUGCGUCAGAUAAUCCUUGCUGUUUUCCAGGGCGGUAGGUGAUAAUAAAGUCAAAUCGUGAUAGAGACAUAUUCCAUCGAGCUUGACGACGAUUCAAAAUUCGAGCUGUCAUGAAGGACUCCAAAUUCUUGUGGUCCGUAUAAACAGUCACUGGAUGUGCAGCUCCUUCGAAGAAGUGACGCCACUCUUGGAAGGCAUCCACUAUAGCAAGCAAGUCUUUGUCGUGGAUUUCGUAGUUGAUCUCAGCAGCAAAGAACUUUCGUGAAUAGAACGCAACUGGAUGAAGCUUCUUGUCUAUGCCCAUCUGUGAAAGCACAACUCCCAAAGCAAAAUCUGAAGCAUCGGUCUCUAAAUAGAAAGCCUUUGCAAAGUCAGGGUGUACCGAGAUUGGAGCCGUAGUGAAUGCCGUCUUGAGAUCUUGAAAUGCUUUUGCUGCUUGUGAUCCCCAUUCGAGCUUGUCUUUGCUUGUUAGACGCGUGAGUGGUGCAGCAACUUGAGAAUAAUUCUUGAUGAAGAUCCGAUAGAAGUUAGCAAAUCCAAGAAAACACUGAACAUCUCUAACCGUCUUCGGAACUUCCCAAGAUAUAAUUGCUUCUACAUUUUUUGGAUCCAUCUUCAAGCCCUCUGUAGUCGCAAUGAAGCCCAAAAAUUCCAUCUCAUUCUGGUGAAAUUGACACUUCUCCAACUUGGCGUAGAGUCCUCGUUCGCGUAGUUUUUCAAGAACCAAACAAACGUGCUUCUCAUGUUCUUCUUUAUUCUUGGAAAAUAUCAAAAUAUCAUCCAGAUAGAUGAUAACAAAGUCAUCGAGGUACUCCCGAAAGAUGUCGUUCAUCAUAUGCUGAAAGACCGCUGGAGCAUUGGUAAGACCAAAAGGCAUGACAUUGUACUCAAAAUGGCCAUACCUUGUACGAAAGGCUGUCUUCCAUUCAUCUCCUUCUUUGAUUCGGACAAGGUUGUAGGCUCCUCUUAAAUCAAUCUUUGUAAAAAUCCUUGCACGUCCAAGUUGAUCUAAGAGGCCGGAGAUCAAAGGUAAGGGAUAGCGAUUUUUCUUGGUCACCUUGUUGAGUCCUUGGUAGUCCACGCACAUCCGCAGUGAGCCAUCCUUUUUCUUCACGAAUAGGAUUGGUGCUCCAGCUGGCGAUUUUGAAUGUCGAAUAAAAUUCUUGGCUAGAUUCUCAUCGAUGUACUUCCGCAAUUCUGCCAACUCCGUCUGCGAUAGGUUGUAUAUUGGACCAAAAGGUGGUUGCGCUCCUUCUUCUAAGUCUAUGGCGCAAUCAUAUGGUCGAUGUUCCGGCAGUAUAUCGGCGUUCUUCUUCUGAAACACGUCUUCAAAAUCCCUAUAUUGCUCUGGUAUAUUCGAUGUUGAGAUAUUCUCGCCGCUAGUUGGAGCUGCAUAAAUGACAAAUGGUGCGCCUUCCUUGGACGAUCUUAGGAACGCUCUCGCUCCAAUAAACAUGGAUUUCUUCAUGUAGGUUCUACUAACAGGUUUAUUAUUAUUUUUUUCAGGAAAUGAUAUCCUUCGUAGCCUCUAAUCAAUGGACGGAUUAUGAUCUUCUAACCAAGAAAGACCAAGGAUAACAGGGCUUGAUGGGGUUCUAAUAAUAUUAAAAAUAACGUGACUACUAUAGUCCUUAAACACCACUUCUAUAGGUUCUGAUUCGUGGAUAACGUUGCCUGACAAUAAGGGUCGUCCAUCUAUCACCUCUACGUGAACAGGUUUGGACUUCUGUACUAAACGGAUCUUGUGGCGUUUAGCAAACUCUUCAUCUAAAAAAUAAGUAGAUGCCUCCGAAUCCAAUAAAGCUAAAGUUUUUUGUUUUUGAGGGCCUAAAAACAAAGGAAUUAUAAAACAACGGGCAGGUUGGACAGAGAAGGAGGAACCUGAUUGUUUUCGUGAUAUUACAUUGUCCAGCCGCACGGUUCCUACUGUGGCUGGGCGUCGUCGUUUUCCAGAAUCAUCGCACUUCUAGUCUUGACAGGGUGCCAAUUUUGCUUCUUUGGGCAAUUUCCAACCUUGUGACCUUCUUCUCCACAGUACAAACAUAACCCUUCCUCCAUACGUCGUUUCUUCUCUGUUGGAGUAAGAGAUCGGACACGCGCCGUGUCGAUUUGCAUGUCUGUUGCCUCCGAAUGUGAGUUUAAGCUAUUUGCAGACAUAGUCACGUCGUAACGAGUCAUUUGGUGUCUUGGACAUUGGUCUUGGCGACGCUGGAAUAGGCGGUUGUCACACUUUACAGCUUGGCUAAUAGCUUCGUUGAGCGUUUGAGGAUCAGGAAGAGAUAACAGCAAGUCCUUCACAUCAUCCUUCAAGCCCCAAUAAAACUGACUCACCAACGCCUCUUCACCCCAAUUAAUGUCACUUGCCAAUUGUCUGAAAUCCGAGGCAUAGACUGAUGCAGAGCGUGUUCCUUGUCGUAGCGAUCGGAUCUUUGUUGUAGCCCAUCGAACUUUAUCAUGCUCGCCAAAUGCUUCUACAAACGCCUCCAAGAACGUUUCAAAGUUGCUCAGGAUUGGCGAUCGCUUCUCGAACAAGGGAGUAAACCAAGACAGAGCUUGUGCUGUAAGCAAGGUUCCAACAAGCCCAACACGCGCUUCCUCCGUCGGAUAACGUUCGGGCUGUAAAAUUGUUAUCAACCUGAUUUGGUUGACAAAACCUCGAAACUUGGAACGAGUUCCAUCAAACUUAUCCGGAAGACUAACUCGAGGCUCCUUUCGUUGUAGGACUACUCGAUCUUGUUGAAAUGGAGGUAGAACUGCUUCUUCUGGGGCAGAAGUUUGAGGCUGAUAUGCUUUAGAUGGCGCUAUCCCAGAUGCUCCGUUGUUAUGGAGUCCUACCAUGACGCCUUCGAUCUCUGUUGUCCUAUGUGACAACGAGGCAAGAGCAUUUAUGAUGGCGUCUAGUUUGGAUUCCAAACUUUCAGCCAUUUUAAUGUCUUAACCUUCAGCUAACCUUCAGAAAGAAGAAAAAAGAGUUUUGACAAGAGGACAAUAUUGGUUCAGAGGAGAGUACUCCGCAACCUCUAAAACGCCUUAAGACUCCAAGAUGAGGGGUAAUCCACUCUCUCCAAGAAGAAUAAGGCUCCAAUAUUGAGAAAGAAGAGAUAUCAGUUUAGAGGAGGGUAAUCCGCAACCUCUAAAAUAUUAGCGCACCUUCAAGAAGAGGAGUAAUCCACUCUCUAACAAGAAGGAACUAGCUCUGAUACCAGUGAAAAUGCAGUCUCGACAAACUGUCACGGACACAAAAUACAGACUUGAAAUCUAACAAGAAGUUCAAGAAGAAGUGGCAAAACUAGAUUAAACAGAUGAGUACAAGAACAACACCAGAAAGGUGAGCUAGAACUCCAAGAGAUGUGUUGUCGAGACUGAAGAACCCUUCAGCCUCGACUCCUAUAUAUACUACUGAAUAGGAAGCUUCUCGAGCUACUUCUGCUAACUAGGACGCUUCUCCAACAACUUCUACUAAUUAGGAAACUUCUCGAGCAACUUCCUAGAAUCUAUCAGAAUAUUUUAGAACCUUCUAAGAAUAUUCUAGAACCUUCUAAGAGAAUCUUUAGGGAAUAUUCUAAGAAUCUUCUAGAACCUUCUAAAGGAAUCUUUAGAGAAUCUUUAGAGAAUAUUCUAAAAGAAUAUUCAAAGAAUCUUCUAAUGUAUGUCCAUGACAGGCUCGACCUCAAAUACAAUCACCAGCGAUCUGUUGCUCGGAAUCCUUCGACGUCGUCGUGGUGCAGGCGGUUCUUCAUCUCGCGGUCGUCUUCAUGAGCUAGUUGCUUGAGAUGACAUGACAAGUGUAGUAUCUUGGCUAUCCAUAUUCAAAGGCUAAAACAAUAAGAACAAACUUGGGCUACUAACAAAGUUCUACGCUAUCUUGGAGAGAAUGACUACAUCAACUAUGGAUUUUGGUGGUGCUCUCUCCUCUUUUCUGUUUUUUGGAUGAGCAAGCUUCAGUAAGAAGCUAUCGUCGAACCGGCUUGGGUUUCUCGAGAUAUCGUCGAUGAAACUCCUGUACCUUUUGCAGCGCAUUCGCGAGAUUUUUGGCCGGCUCCCAUGUUCGUUCAUUAAUAUCGUAACCGCUCCAAUGCACAAAGUAUUCUAAUUUACCCCGUCUUUGCCGUGAAUCCAGGACCUUUUCCACCUCAUAUUCUUCGUGGUUAUCUAUUUCUAUGCUAGGUGGUGGACAUUGUACUCUUCCAGGAAAAGACGAUUCUCGAUAAGGCUCCAACAAAGAAACAUGAAAGACAGGAUGUAUCUUCAUAGUAGCUGGUAACUCCAAACAAUACGCUACAGGAUUGAUCUGCUUCUGGAUAACAAAUGGUCCCAAUCUCCGAUAGUCCAAUUUGUCACAUGGCCGCUUGGUCUUAAUAUUUCGUCAAAGCAGCCAAACUUUGUCUCCAAUCGUGAAUUUAGGUGCCUAAUUCCGAAAUUUGUCCGCGGAAGCCUUGUAAGAUUCUUGGGCAGUUUGCAAUUGAAGCUUCAAUAUAGUUUGAAGUUGCGAAAGCUCCUUCACCAAUCCUUCAGCUGCCGGAUUGUUAAUCGUUGACGAACUCCAUAAGUCAAGCUUCGGAUGGUAUCCAUAAUUGGAAAAGAAUGGCGUUUGUUGAGUUGACGCAUGAAGGGCGUUGUUAUAUGCGAACUCGGCUAGCGGUAGAUAUGCGGCCCAAUCAUCUUAUUGAUAGUUGACGGUACAACGUAAAUAUUGCUCUAAAACUUGAUUCACUCGUUCUGUUUGGCCGUCCGUUUGAGGAUGAAAUGCUGAAGAAAGCUUGAUAUCCACCUUCAAUAUCUCAAAAAGAGAUUUCCAAAACUUUGACACAAACUGGGUUCCUCGAUCCAAUGCGAUAUCAUCUGGUAGACCAUGAUAUCGAUACACAUUAUCAAGAAAGAGUCUUGCUGUGUCUUCGCUUGACGAUGUCUUCUUGCAAGGGAUAAAAUGUGCCAUCUUUGUAAGCCGAUCUACGACUACAAAAAUGCUGUCAAAUGAAUUCGAUGGUGGUAGAUCCGUAAUAAAGUCCAUGGAAACCGAAGACCAUGGUCGGCGUGAAAUAGGCAAUGGCUGUAGAAGUCCAUAAGGUCGAUGUCGAGGGUUUUUGGAUCUUGAACAAAUGUCACAAGCUACAACAAAAUCUUUCACAUCCUUCCACAUUUGAGGCCACCAAAAAUCGUGGGAAAUAAGUUCCAAGGUCUUAUUGAAUCCAAAAUGUUCCGCAGCUGGAAAGUCAUGACGAGAUUGAAGAACUCGGAGUCGUGUUGGCCCUUUUGGGAUAUACAACCGCUCUUCGAAAUAUACUAGAUCUCCUUCCAUCUUGAAUUUAUCAUCACUAGCAUGUUGCUUGAUAUCAAGGGCUAGAGAAUCUUCAAUGGUUGCGGCCCGUACCUGGUCGAGGAAGUCAGCAUCAAUUGGUACAAUAGCUGCGUUGAGUCAAAAUUUCUCUGGCUUCAACAAUGCCUUGCACUGUUGAUCAAAUGCUGCAUCUCCAGCCUUUGGCGCGAGAUAUGAUCUCCUUGAUAAUGCAUCGGACAACCCUUGUUGCUUCCCAGGCCGAUAAGUAAUAACAAAGUCGAACCUGGAUAGCGACAUACUCCACCGAGCUUGACGCCGAUUCAAAACCCGAGCCGACAUAAAAUACUCCAAAUUCUUGUGAUCCGUAUAUACGGUCACUGGAUGUGCAGUUCCUUCGAGAAAGUGGCGCCACUCUUGGAAAGAAUCUACUAUAGCAAGGAGUUCCUUAUCGUGGAUCUCAUAGUUGAUGUCAGCAGCAGAGAAUUUUUGAGAUUAGAACGCAACUGGAUGGAGCUUCUCAUCUACGCCCAUCUGUGAAAGUACAACUCCCAAAGCAAAAUCCGAAGCAUCUGUCUCCAAAUAAAAGGCCUUUGUAAAGUCCGGAUGUACCAAGAUUGGAGCUGUAGUAAAUACCAUCUUCAAAUCUUGGAAUGCUUUUUCUGCGAUAGGUCCCUAUUCGAGCUUGUCCUUGCACGUUAACCGAGUGAAGGGGGCAGCAACUUGAGAAUAAUUCUUGAUGAAGAUCCGAUAGUAGUUAGCAAAUCCAAGAAAACAUUGUACGUCCCUAACCGUCUUCGGAACUUCCCAAGACAUGAUUGCUUCCACCUUCUUUGGAUCCAUCUUCAAUCCUUCCGUAGUCGCGAUGAAUCCCAAAAACUCCAUCUCAGUUUGGUGAAAUAAGCACUUCUCCAAUUUGGCAUAGAGUCCUCGCUCCCGUAGUUUUUUGAGUACCAGACGAACGUGCUUCUCAUGUUCUUCCUCGUUCUUAGAAAAUAUCAAAAUAUCAUCUAGAUAGAUGACAACAAAAUCGUCUAGAUGCUCUCGAAAGAUGUCAUUCAUCAUGUGUUGAAAGACCGCUGGAGCAUUAGUAAGACCAAAUGGCAUGACAUUGUAUUCAAAAUGGCCAUACCUUGUUCGAAAAGCUGUCUUCCAUUCAUCUCCUUCCUUGAUUCGCACAAGGUUGUAAGCUCCCCUUAGGUCAAUCUUUGUAAAGAUCCUUGCACGCCCAAGUUGUUCUAGAAGACCAGAGAUCAAAGGCAGUGGGUAGCGAUUCUUUUUUGUCACCUUGUUGAGACCUCGAUAGUCCACGUACAUCAGUAGUGAGCCAUCUUUCUUCUUCACAAAUAAGAUUGGUGUCCCAGCUCGCGACUUCGAAUGACGGAUGAAGUUCUUGGCUAGAUUCUCGUCAAUGUACUUCCACAACUCAGUCAACUCCGUCUGCGAUAAAUUGUAGAUUGGUCCAAAAGGUGGUUGUGCUCCUUCUUGCAAUUCAAUGGCACAGUCAUAGGAUCGAUGCUCUGGCAGCAUAUCAGCAUUCUUCUUUUCAAAGACAUCUUUGAAUUCUUCAUACUGCUUUAGAAUAACCAAAGUCGGAGUUGCAUCUUCUCGAGUCGGAGUUGCAAAGAUGACAAGAGGUGUAUUUUGCUUGGCUUCCUUCAUGAAAGCCCUUGCACCUAUAAACAAGGAUUUGUUUCUAGACAUUGUCUUGGCAGAUUCCACCUUCAAGGAGUUUGUUGGAAAUGUCACUUUUUGCAACUUCCAAUCUAUCAAUGGAUUAUAUCUAUCAAGCCAAGAUAGUUCCAAAAUGAUAGGACAUGAAGGGGUCUUGAUAACAUUAAAUACAAUAUUGCUCUCAUGGUUUUUAAGACGUACCUUCAAUGGUUUAGUUUCAUGGAUAACAUUGCCCGAAGACAAUGGUCGUCCAUCUAUGACUUCUACAUGGACAGGCUUAAGUUUCUUUAGAAGAGAAAUAUUGUGAAGCUUGGCAAACUCUUCAUCUAUAAAGCAAGCGGAUGCACCCGAGUCUAAUAAAGCAUCGACUUGUAGUUCUUGAAUACCCAGAUGUAAAGGUACCAUAAAACAAUCUGAAGGUUGAGCUGAGAGAAAGGGACCUUGAUUAAUUUUGGAUGUUGAGAUGUCCAGCCGCACGGUCCCUAUUGUGGCUGGGCGUCCUUGUUUUCCUGCAUGCUUGUACUCCUGAGUCUUGUUGUUUGAGGCUUCUGUUUCUUCCGACAAUCUACAGCUUUAUGGCCUGCUUCUUCGCAAUAUAAACACAAGUUUUGUUCAAACCGUCGCUUCAUUUCCUCAGCUGUGAGGGGUUUGAAACGUACUGCAUCAAUUUGCAUGGGUUCAGGAUCUGUGGAGUGAUUCUCUGGACCUUUUGAAAAUGUAGCAAAUACUCCAUCAUUUCUCCAGCCUGAUCGUCUUUCUUGUCGUAAUUCAAAGAGGCGGUUGUCACAAAUAAUUGCCUGAGAUAUAAGUUCUUCUAAAGUAUCCGCCUUAGGCAUGGUGAUCAAUAAGUUCUUGACAUCAUCUCUCAGUCCAUAUCAAAAUCGUGUCAUGAACGCCUUAUCAUUCCAAUCAAGAUCACAUGUAAGCUGUUGAAGUUCUGCAGCAUAGAUUGCAGCAGAACGUGAUCCUUGUCACAGAUUUUGUAUCUUUCUUUCAGCCACUUUUUCUCGAUCGCUAUCUCCAAACGCAGCAGUAAGUCUCUCUAUGAAAGCCUCUAGGUCGUACAAUAUUGGAGAAUCCUUCUCCAAUAGUGGAACAAACCAAGAGCGAGCAUUUCCUGAUAAAAGAGUACCUAUGAAAGCAACUUGGGUAAAUCCAUUCGGAUAACGAGAAGGGUAUAGGCGUAGGUAAAGCCGUACUUGUUGCAGAAAACCUCGAAAGUUGGCUCUUGUUCCGUCAAACUUGUCUGGCAUACUCACUUUUGGUUCUUUCGUACUAAUCCUUGAAGUAUCUAUAGGGGUCGUAUGUGACAUAUGUCUUGCUUCUCUCAGUCGAAUAAUCUCUUGUUGUAGGCUAUGAAUUUUGCGUCUAGCUUCUUCGGUCACUAGAUCAAUUUGAGGUUCUUUACUUGGAUUGCGAAGAAAUGCAAUCUCCUUUCGUACACUAUUCAUAAGAGCUUGAAGAUGUGCAAGAGUUGCCACUCUAUUGUCUACUUGUGGAGAUGCACUGUCUAUGACCUGGUCUACUUCCAUAUUUAGAGAAUAGAUGGAUUAAAAUUUUGAGAGAAGAAGAAAUUGCUAAGUCUCUUGGAGAAAAUUGUAGCACUACCUGUCACUAAAACCUACUCGGAGAAAAAGAAAAAAAAAAAAAACACUAAACGAUUUCAGUUUUAGAGGAGUGUAAUCCGCAACCUCUAAAAAUGCCUCAAUGCUUUCGAGAAGAGGGAUAAUCCGCACUCUAUCAAGAAGGCAAAGCUCUGAAAUCGAUGUUAACAGUCUUUUCUACUAGCUAUGCUAAACAAAAAGAAGGAAUUAAUAUCAGUCCAAAAGAGGGUAAUCCGCAAUCCUUAGAAUGCUCAAGUAUCUCUAAGGAAAGGGGUAGUCCACUCUCUGCCUCAAAGAACUAAGCUCUGAUAUUGUGAUUGAGAAAAUAUCAGUUUAGAGGAAGGUAAUCCGCAACCCCUAAAGCGCUAGAAUACCUUCAAGAAGAGAGGUAAUCCGCUCUCAAACAAGAAGGAUUCAGCUCUGAUAUUAAGAUAAAGGUAGUCUCGACAAACUGUCACGGACACAAAAUACAGACUUGAAAUCUAACAAGAAGUUCAAGAAGAAGUGACAGAACUAGAUUAAACAGAUGAAUACAAGAACAACGCUAGAACUCCAAGAGAUGUGUUGUCGAGAUUGAAGAACUCUUUAGCCUCGACUCCUAUAUAUACUACUGGCCUAUGGUUCUAAGGAAGCGCAUCAAGAAGCUUCCCAAGAACUAUGAAGCUUCUCGAGCAACUACCCAAGAGCUAGGAAGCUUCUCAAGUAACUUCCUAGAAUCUAAUAGAAUAUUCUAAGAAUCUUCAAGAGUCUUCUAAGGGAAUCUUUAGGGAAUCUUCAAAGAAUCUUUAGGAAAUCUUUGAAGAAUAUUCUAAGAGAAUAUUCAAGGAAUCUUCUGGAAGUUUCUAGAGACUUCUUUCUAGAAGGUUCUAGAAACUUGUCUCUAGAAAGGUCUAAGGACUAUGUCCCUAAUAAUAUCUUUUAGAGAAGCUUUUUAGAAGCUUUAAAGAUAUUUCUUUGAUUUUAUAUAUAUAUUUAUAGUUAAUUAGUAGGUUAAAAAUUUAGUCAAAAAGUUAACCUCAUGACAUAUAUGUUAUAAGCUUGAGAAACAAGCUAAUUAAGUGGUGCAUGUGAGUGGUUUUUUUCUCCCCUCACUUAAGUCUGAUUAAAUUAAAUUGUAAUUUAUAUUAGAGUCCAAUAUUAACUAAAAUGCACAAGCAAAUCAUAGAUAAGAAAAAUAAAAAUAAAAAUAAAAUGAUAUAAUUAUUAUAAUUUAUUCAAAAAAACAUAACUAAGUCAAUUACAUAUUUUUAUAAUUUAUUUUUUAGCAAUUGCAAUUCAUUUAGUUAAAUGCCUUUCAAGACUUACUUGAUUAAGUUUAAACUCUGAAAUUUAUAAGUUGGUAAAUUUUUUUAAAAAAAUAAUUGAUAAUUAGUUAGAGUGCUAGUCUAGGGCUUUUUGAAUUGAUAUCAAUCAUAUCAAUUAGAGUUAUAUCCAAGAAAUUAUCCAUGGAUGAAGUUUUGAUGGAAAAAUUUCAUCCAGAGUUGGAAAUUCUUUAAUAAUGAGCUCCAAAUAUUAAAAUUCAGUAUUAAUAUGUAGUUAGAUUUUUUAAGACAAAUGACAAAAAUUAAAAGAUAAAAAUAAAAUAAAUAAAAAUUUAAAAGUUAAAUAAAAAUGAAAUAACCUAAAGAUUAAAAGUUGAAGAUAAAAAAUAAAAUCAAAGUUAAAAGUUAAGUAAAAAUGAAAUAACCUAAAGGUUAAAAGUUGAAGGUAAAAAAUAAAAUCAAAAUUAAAAGUUAAGUAAAAAUAGAAUAACAUAAAGAUCAGAAGUUGAAGAUAAAAAGACAAAUUUAAAGUUGAAAGUUAAGUAAAGAUUGAUAUAACAUAAGAUUAAAAUUUGAAGGUCGGAAGGUAAUUGGAAGUUAAAAUUAACAAAUAAUUACUAAGAUAAGAUAAAAGGUUCAAUUAAGUAGUAUUAAUUAGAGGUAAUAAGAUGAGUGAAGAUUUAGUCCAGCAAUUCGUGCACUAAAAAGUGUGAUUAGGAGGUGACUAGCACAGAAAAACUUACAUUGAGUAUGUUGAGUGAAUCGAGUUGAGGACAACAAACUCUUGUUAUUCAAAAAAUUACCAGGAAUUCUCCACAACUCUUAUGGAUUUGAAUUUUUUUUUUUGGUUGGAUUUGACUUAAGCAUGCUUUUUUCGCCCAAAGUUUGUGGUGAUCCAAGGUUUGACGUUCAAGAUAUGAAUUUUUAAAAUAAGAUGACUUGAACUACCUAGGCAGCAGAUACCCAUCUAUUAAAGAUCCACAAAAACUUGGAUAAUGAUUCAAAGUUAAGAAAUCUAAUUGUUCCUAAAACUAAAAUUAAUAAAUCUUCUUUUCCAGAAAAUUUCAAUAGAAAAACUUAAGCAAACACUAAGAUAUAUUUUUUCCAAGUUAGUUGUUCUAAACUGCCAAGGCAGCAGACCCCUUUUCACCUAAAAAUUCAUCAAAAAUUUGUUAUCACUUGAAAGUUGGUGAGUUGAUUUUUCUGGAAGACUAGACUUCAGAGUGCAUUCAUUCAAAAAAACCAUAUUGAAGUUGGGUUAGAGGACUUCGAAUUAUAAAGUCGACACUUCAAUACUGCCAAGGGCAGUGGACCCCAUCUACUUGGAAAUUCGCCAAAAAUCCGUCCAAGCUUCAAAUUACUUGUGGCUUGCAUUGUUGGAAAGCUGGUGACUAGAAAAAGAUGAUUAUAGAAUAUUGCUUGAAAGUAUAAAAAAUUGAGUGACUGAGAGAAAAAAUACUGAGAUAGUGACAAGGUGGGAGAAAAUUCCUUCAAUUAAAACCCUAGAAACAAUUUGGCACGGCUUUUCCUUACAAAAGGAGGAAAAAAAGAAAAUGAGCUUGGCCACCCAAGUCCUCUUAACCAGGUGGGAGGAGGCCCAAAAGUGGCGAAUACAUCUCCACCAUCUAGAUUAAAAAUUCCUAACCAAGAUCAAAGGUCCAUAGUGAUUCUAAGCCUAAAUCCGAUUUCAAGUUUGGAAAUGCCUAUAUUUCAAAAAUGAAUGCCAUUUUGGCAAAACUAACACCACCAAUGUAUCCAAAACACAUUUUUAUUCUUGAAUUGACUUUUCACAAGCCCAAAUCUAAGUUCUAAAUCAUUAAAACUAAUUAAUUUGCUAAUCUAGUUGUAAAUUUUAACUAGAAUUCUAAUUCUAAUUAUACUAAUUAAAAGAUCAGCAAAGAUUCUUGCCAUCAAAGCCAUCAUGAUCACCAUUCGUCAAUUUAAAUUCCCUUAAGGACAAACUCUUGACAAAUCAUAAUCCCUAAUUUUAAUUUGGCCUUGAAAUAAUACACUUUUGAUUUUUGAUUUUUGAUUUUUUUUCUAUUCUUCAAUUCCAAAUAGUGAUAAAAAUCACUAUGAAAAGAAACUCCACCAUAAAAAUUAGCUCACCUCCAUUUUCUAGAAAUCAUCAGUAUUUUAAUAAUUAGAUUUUAUAUUUUUAAUCCAUUCAAAUUGUGGGAUGAAAUUUAACCUUAAAAAAUCUUAAAAAUUAAAUAGGAAGAUAGAGCAAUUAGACUUAAAGGAUUUUCUAACCAUAGUCAAAUUAAGAAUUAGCCUUGGAAUUUAUAAACUAAGAUUGUGGAUUAACUCAAGAUAUAAUUUUUAAGACUUAUAAGAAGAAUUCUAUUAAAAUCCUAAUUUUAGCACUAAAAGAGGAUUUAAACCAGAUAAAAAAAUAAAUUAUAAACCUUUUAAAUUUAAUAUUUUAGAAUUUUUAACAAACACUCAAUUUAAUAGUUAAAAGUAUCUACCUAAUUAAUAACCUAAAACUACAAAUUAAUUCAUAAUUAACUAAAAAACUAAUUUAGAUCCAUAAAUUAAUUAUAUUAGCAUUAAAAUUAGUAAAAAUAUGUUAAAAAUUACAAAAGUGAUUAUAACUAACUAUUAGAGCUAUUAAUUGUGCUCACAAUGCACAUGUAGAUAAUAUGCCUUGUAACUUAAGUCAUGUGUCUAAUAAAGUUUACAUGUGUUGAAGGUUCUUUAGAAUAUCGCGGCAUAGCUUUUAGUUAGAUAGUAUAUAUGGAAGUAAGAUUGAAGCCUUCUUUAUACUUGUCAAUGCUUUUUUAAUCCUUAGUCUUAUUUCAAGUCUUUUUAAUCUUCUUGUCUUUGGCAACAACCAUUCUAAUUUAAUAUUAUAUCCUCUUUGAGUAAUUUUUUAAUCUUUUUGAAUGACACAUGAAUAUAUUAACUUUUUAGUUCUUUGAUGUUCAUGUCCUUGAUAUAAGUGCCAUACAUAGCUAAUUAAUUGAUCAAUUUUUAAACCUACCUAUCAUUUAUAAACACAUAUAAAGUCAAAUCUACAUCCAUGGACCUUUUUCACGAGUUAUUAUAUAAUUUACUUACUUUUAUUUACUUCUAUCUAAUUCUUCUUAUCAAAAUAAUUAUUUUUGUUAAUUAAAUUAGUAACAAUAUAACUUUUUUAGAAACAAAUUUUAUGAAGAGUUAUAUUUACAUAUUGAAAAAAAUCCAAGAUACAAUAUAUUAUAUUUGUGAUAUAUUCUGAUCUUUAUUCUUCUUGAAGGUAAUUAAUGGAUUCUCUCAAUUAUUGAUAGUAUUUUUGUAAUGGCGCAUAGAUAAGAUAAUUAUAGUAUUGACGCAUAGAAAUACGAAAUUGGGGUCAUUUUUUGAAUUUUUUUUAGAAGUUUUUAAAAUUGGGGCCAAAUUAGUGGUUCAUGUGGAGUCCACCAUAAUACAUCAUAGAAGAAUUAAAGGCAACAUUAUGAUAUAAUACGUCUAUAUAUUGAAAAUAUAAUUAAAAAUAAAAUUUUAAUUAAUAUAUAAUUAAAAAUGAAUUUUUAAUUAAUAUAUAAUUAACUUGAUUCAAUAAUAAUUCAAGAUAUUUAAACAUGGAUUUUACAAAAGCCUCAUAUUUUAUUUUUUUGUCUUAAUAGUUAGUAGGUUAAAAGUUGGUCAAUAAUUUUACCUUCUACGUUGUAAAGACUCUUGUAUUGCUUUAGAAAGUCCAUAAAUUCAUAAAAUCAACUUAGAAGAGAUAAAUAAUUAACAUGGUUGAUAUUAGAGUUAAUUUGAAGGUAGGAUUGGGCUAAAAAAUCCCUAGAGUAGGUUAGAUUGAUACUCGGGGUCGACCAUUUGUAAAACAGGGUCAAAAUCAAACCUCCAGCUAGUAAUAUAACAAACUAGGAUAAAAUAGGAUUUCAUUUGAAGAUUAGAGAUUAAGAUUUGAGAGUUAGAUUAAAUCUUAUUUCAAAAAAAUAAGGCUUAUUUUGGUUGGAUUUUUUUGAACUUAGUAAUUAUUAUUCAAAGUCAGAGUUUGUAUUAGCAACUUGGGAUUUAUGCAAUACAUUAGAGAUAACAUUCUUGGUUAGUUUGUAAAAUUGUUAUCACAUCUACAGUUUAAAAUUUGAUAGUACUUUGUUAGUUAGGUGUGCUAUGUGUAUGUAAAAAUUUGUAAAAAUCUAAUGAUGCAAUUGGGAGAUAUAUAGAUUUUGAUAAAAUAAAGUAUUAAAAGUUGGCAGUUUGGAGUUGGAUAGGAUUUCUAUGAUAUCUCAAGAUAUUUUAGUUUGAUCAAGGUGAAAUUCGGCAUGAUAUCAGAAGACUUAAAGAUCAAGCUAUAUACCAAUUUUAAGUUGAAGUUAAUAAUUAGUGAAGGAGAAAUCAUUGCUGGAAUAUUUGCAUCAACUUUCAAAUUGGUAGCCGAGUAACAUCAAUGUAGUUUUUGGGAAUUUUCUUACAAUAUGUAAGUUGGAUUGGAGUGACUUCUUUUUGACCACAUAGAAGAUUUAUAGUGGCAUUUGUAUGCAAAAAUUUUCUCUAAGUAGAUAGUUAGAUUAGGAGCUAUAGCUUGCUAAAACUUAUUGAUGAUUAAGAUAAAGAUUUGCAAAGAAAUUUUUAAAUUGCCUAAUUAUAAAAGUAAUAAGGUAAUUGGAGUUUAUGUAUUAUUGAAAUUACUAAAAAGAGUAUUUUUGAGUACUUUGUAUUGGAUUUAAGCACUUUUAAAUUAAAAUUCUGAUUACAUUCUUCUUAUAAGAGAAAAACAUAUUAAGAUUCUUAGAUACUUGUAAAACACAAUCCCACCUUCUACAGACAAAUGCUUGGUGUAUUUCUAAAUAGGACAACAUGUAAUACGACAGUGGUUAUUUAUAUUGAACCUACUUUUAAAACCUUCUAGGAAGGCGAUUAUCAAGAUGAGGCCCACUUUUAGAAUCUUCUAAAAGGGCAAUUAUUUUGGUAGGAUUCACCAUUAGGAACAUUCUAAAAAUUUUCAAGAUAGUUGGACAAAGUAUAAAUAGGACUAAUUGAGGCUAUUUGAGGCAUUUGGUAAACUAUGGUUUUGAUUUGUUUCUCUUAGUAAAGUUUAAUUUGUAUUUUUUGUUUUGUUCUAUUCUAUUUCUUAUUGCUCUAUUUUUUCUUUUAUAUUAUAUUCUGUUUAGUUUUAUUCAAUUUUGUUCUGAUCCAUUUUGUCCUAUUUUGUGAUAGAAUUUAUAUUGCUAUAUACUAAUAAGAUUUUAGAUCUUUAAGAAAAUUCAAUCAAGUUUUAAUUUUGUACUACAUGAAGAUGACUACCUUAUUAUUUGAUCAUUAUUGAGACCUUCAUAACUUUCUUCAAAUAAAACAUUUAAAUUACCAUUCAAAGUAAUUCUUACCUACAAUAAUAUUACCAAAUACUGAGAGUCUCUUAUAAUGCUGUGAUAUCAAAAUUAUUAUACUUUAUUAUUUAUUUGACAAAAGAUAUGUAGUUCUUGAAGGUCUUUGUUUCUAUUUUAUUAUUUAGAAGAUUGAAACAAUUACAAUACCUCAUCUAAUAAUUCAGCAAAUAAUAGCUUUUGACUUAAAUUUAUUGGUUUUUUAUUUUUUAUUUUCUUGACACAAAAAAUACAUAGAAAUUAUAAAUAAUGACAAAAAAUAUAAUAGAAUAUUUUUUGAACAUGGUUUACUUUAUAGUAAUUUCUUAACUCUUUAUAUUGAUUUUGAUAAAUAUUAUGAAUAAAAAUCAUCAUUUUAUUUAUUUUUUUUAUUAGAUUAUUAUGUGACUUUCAUAUGAAUUUACUAAUAUUGUAUCUACACCAAUAUAAAAUAUAUUUCAACCUAUUUUGAUACUAUUUUAACUCUAAGACUUCUUAUUUCAAAUUCUUGAUUGUUAUCCACUUCCAUAGAAAGAAGUAGAGUUUAUCUUCUUCUCUAUUCAUCCAUAAGCUUGUAGAGUUGAAAAAGUAAUAUAUAAAGCAUGGAAUGGAUCUUUAUAGAUUUUCAUAGGUAUAAUCAAUAUACAAUUGGAUUGAUUUUUUUACAAAUAAAAAAUAUAAUCUAACUAGUAAUAAGGAAAAAUAGUCUUAAUGUUAUAUCAAAGUAAUCAUACCUUAUUUUCAAUGUAUAAUUAAGAUUAUUCUUAGUAAUAGACAUCAACAUUAAUUUUUUUUUUGUUCAUCAACUUUUUUAAUUUUAUAUUUACUAUUGCAUAUAACUUUAACAAAUAAUUUACCAAAUCUUCAUAUGCUAAAUUAUUGACUUUUAAAAAAUUAUUUAUUAAAUUAUAUAACUUUGAUGAAUAUUUUAUUAAGUCAAAUAUAUUAUUUUUCCAAAUAAUAAUCAUUUUUAGUAUAAAUAUUUUUUAUUGAAUAGAAGAAUGUAUCUUAUUAUUAUAGGAAAAACUUCCUAAUUGAAAAAUAAUUAUUCAAUCAUCUUAAUGGUAAUUGAUAGUACAUCUCAAAUAUUGUUUCAAAAAUUUAUUUACUUAUUCUAUUUAUUCAUUAAUUUAAAGAUGAUAAAUCAAAGAUAGUAUAAUAUCUACCUUCAAUAUUUUGAAAUGAAUUCUCCAAAAUCUACAUACAAAUUGAAUUCUUCUAUUUGAUAUAAUAUCCUUGGCAAUCUAAGAUAGCGAUAGAUAUUUUUUAAAAAAAAUUAGUUAUUUCUUUUCUUGUAACAAUCUUUAUAUAUUAUGCAAAACAUCCCAUUUUAAUGAAAUAAUUUAGUAUUAUAAAUACAAAAUUAAAAGAAAUUAAGAUAAAAAAUAUUAAUAAAAUUUAUAAAAUCAAAUGAAUAUAAUUAUUUUGGUAUAAAUAAUUGGUAAAAAAAUCUAUAAGACCACCUAUGAAGAAUUUUUAAUUCUAAACAAAAAUUAUAUAUAGGUACAAAUUCUUUAAUUUCUUCUAUAAUUGAAGCGACGAAAAUCUAUUAAAAAUAAUUUAAAAAUCUCGUUAUAUCCAAAAUAUUCUAUAGCUAAAAAAUUGUGAUGAAUUUGAAUUUAGAAUUUAAUUAUACUUCACCUUUUGAAAUAUAUAAUUAUCCUUAAAAAAAAGAUAAAUUUUAAAUUAAAAUUUAGAAAUAUCAUAAAAUUUAGAAGAUUUAUUUUUAAUAUUAUAGCUAAGAGGAUCUAAAAAUAUACCUGAUUGAAUUUCAUUAAAAAAUAUUUAAUUAACACUCAAAGAUGAAAUUACUUGAUUUUAUAGCUCAAAUCUGAAAUUAUUUUUAAUUCAAAAGAAUUUUUUUAUUAUUGAUAAAAAGCUACAUCUUUUUUUUUUGGUAUGAGAUAAGAAUAUUUAAAAGAAGAGUGUAACAAAUCUUAUUACCUAUAAAUUAUAUUGAUUACAAAUCUUUAUAAAAACAUGCUCCACUAAGCUUAGCAAUGAUUCAAAACAUAUAUUGACAUGAAGCACUUGAGAUUAUUCCAAUUUGUAUGCUUAAUAACUAAACUUAAAGUAUUUUCUAAAUAAUGGUGCUAUUCUUGAAAUGAAUCUACAAUUGCAAGAAGUAUUUUUUUUGUAGAUCUUAUAAUUGAUUUCAAUUGUUGAAAUUUUUCUCGAAUGAAAAACUAUUAGGUAAAGUUUGUUAUUUGUUUAUAAUUAUGUCAGUAAUAUAAUAAAGGAAAAAUUUGAUAUAUCUAUUUUUAUCAAACAUAUCUUAAAAAAGGUGACUCAAUAUAAGAUUGGUGUAGAAAUUAAAAUUAUUUUCAAAGCUUCAAAUAAUAUAUUUUUUUCUUUAUUCUACCUAAAUUUUUCUUUAUAAGUUAAAUGUAUAAGUAGAAAUAUAAUUUUAAAAUAGUUCUUAUUAAAAAUUUAAUAGUAAUUGGAAUUUUUAAAUUUUUUUUAGAUAUUUUUUAUUAUUUUUAAAAUCUUCCAAUUCACAAUAGUAUCACAAACAUAUUUAUUUUUUUCGAUAAAAGGAAUUAGAUAGAAGUAAAUAUAAAUAAAUAGAUUUAUUAAUAUCUUAUGAAAAAGCUUCUUAGAAGUUUUAUAAAUGUGGAUUUGACUUUAUAUAUGUUUGUAGGUGAUUUGUAGGUUAAAAAAUAUUAUUACCAAAUUAUUCUUGAUUUAUACUUAAUUUCAAUAUAUGUCUUUUAAAUAUUUAAAUUUUUCAUAUUUUUUAAAAUUUUAUCACAAGAUUCUUGAAAAUAUAUAUUUAUAAUCCUAUUUCUUUCUUAUAAUCUACAUUUCAAUAGAUAAUUUGUCAAGGACAUGAAUCUCAAAGAAAAAAAUCCUUAAUAUGUUCUUGUUUCAUUCAAUAGAUUUAGAAAUUCACUCAAAGAUGAUAUGGUAUUAAAUUAGAAUGGCUAUUAUCAAAGAUUAGAAGACUAGAAAGUCUUGAAAUGAGACUAAAGAUUAGAAAGGCAUUGAUAAGAGUGAAGAAGGCUUCACUCUUGCCUCCAUAUAUAAUCUUAAUUAGGAACUACAUCACAAUGUCCUAUAAGACUUCCAAAAUAUAUUAACUUUGCAAGACAUAUAUCUUAACUUUCAAAGCAAGUUUUUUAUAUAUAUGCUAUAUAAUUAGCUUAUUCUACAAGCUAUCAACACACGAUUAACUUAUUGACUAAGUUUCUAACCUACUAAUAAACUAGAAAUACAUAUAAAGUCAAAGCAGCAUCUAUGAAGCUUUUAGGAGUAUUUUUUAAGAAAUAUUAUAAAAUAAAUAUACUUUUAUCUACUUCUAUUUAAUCAUAUGAAUAAAUAUAAGAAUAAAUAUGUAUAUUCAUGACAUAAUCUAAUUCUUCUAUAUUAAUUAAAAAUCUAACUUCAAAUGUUCAUGAAAUAAAUUCAUUAUCAAUAAAUUUUCUAUUUUCUUUCAAAUUUUAGUUUUAUUUUAUUUUUUUUCCAUUAUUUUUUCUUGUCAAUAGUUUUAAAUAAUAAGAAACUCUCUUAUGAUAAUCUAAUAAUUUUAAUAGACUAUACAUUCUUUUUAAAACUAAGUAGAAAUUAUUUUUAUUUAAAUCAUUGCAAUUCUACUUUAUAAUUUAUAAUGAUAUAUUAUGAAAAUCCUUAUGGUCUUUAUAAUCUUUUUAUAUUUUUUUAUUUUAUUUUUUAUAAAUUAUAUUUAUUUAUUUUAUAAUAUACAAAAAUAAUUAAAAAUUAAUUAAUUUUUUUUCAUCUUUUCUUUUUAUCAUUACAUAAACUAAACUAUAAUCGAUAAUAUUUUUUUCUAUUUUAAAGGUAGUAAUAUAUAAUUUUCUUACUAUAAUGUGAUAUCUAGACAUAUCUUGUAAUUAAUUAUUUUAAUAAAUAAUAUUUCUUAUCAUCACCUUGAUAUUUCAACAAGUUCUAUACAAAUUUUCAUUUAAAUUUUUUAUAAAUCUUAUCAUCCACUUAUACUUAGUAUUAAUAGGAUAUUUUAUUCUAUAUUUUUUUCAUAUCUAAUUAAUUUAAAACCAUAAUUAAUCAAUUCUACAAUAAAUGCUUCUAAUUCUUCUAAUUUUAUCAUUUUUUUUGAAAUAUCUCAUAUCCAAUGAUUUUGAAAAUAAUAACUAGAGGCUUGAAUUAGAUCUCAAAAAAUUGCAUUCUAACAUCUUUAUUUGCAUUGCUUCUAAUUUCUUUUAUUCUUUAAGUAUUUGAUGUCAUAAUAAUUCCUAUAGAUUGUCAUUUCUUCUUUAAUGUAUCAAUAGAAACUUCAUAAAAUUCAUUUAUUGUAAUUCUUAGAAUUUUAUUAAUUUCAAAUUCAACCUUUCUAUCUAAAAUCUAUUUUUGUAAUAUCUUCCUUAAAUUUGUAGUAGCCUUGAUAUCUAGUUGUAAUUCAUAAACUGGAGUUUUUUUGUUUUUCUUUUACAAUUUGUUUUUUCUUUGAAGAAAUAUUCUUUGUUGACUUCUUAUGUGUGGAAUUUUUUUUUUAUCAUUCUAUUUUUUUUUCUCCUUGUAGUCAUUUUUGAUGACCCUUUAUUAUUUUUAAUUUUUAAUUAUUUUUCUUCUAUUACUACUUUAUCAUGAUUCCUUGUAAUAUAAGCAUAAAUUAAUAAUCCAUCUAUUGAAUCAUGCUACUUAAUAGUUUUUAAAAUAAUAUUGCCAAAAUUUUAUAAAUCACAUAUUAUUAUUUUUAUUUGUUUUUAUUUUUUUAUAUAAUUUAUUUUACUUAACCACAAAAAAAUUAGAUUUGUAAAGAUAUUUAAUGUUUAUGAUUAGAAAUUUUCUUAGAUUUGCUCCUACCUAAUAUGUUGAUGCAUCAUUUCUUAAGAUUUCUUGCACUUUAAAGGAUCUCCUACAAACACUUUCAUCCUUCUUUUAUCAAGUUUGUUUCCAAUUCUUCUCCACUUUCUAUUAAAUGUAGCAUACCAUCUUUGAAAAGAACAAUUCUUUUGUGCAAUGCCUCCAUAAAAUCUUCACACUCCUUUCGUGAAUAAUCUAUGCUAUCACACCAUUAGUCCUGAUUUUAAUUCAUAAUAUUAAAAAUAAGUUUUAUUAUUAAAAAAUAUAAAUUUUACUAACAUGAAUAAAAAUAAAUUAAUUGAUAAUAAUAUAUGUAUGUAGUAUUUAUUUUUAUAUUGCAAAAAUUAAUUAUUAGUUUAUGAGUAUAAUUAGAAAUUAUAAAUAUAUUAACAAAAGUAGUGCUUUUAAAUUUUACAAUCUUUUGAGCCUAUAAUUUUAAUAAAAUUUCAUUGUGUUAUUAUGCUAUUUUAAUAUUAUUGAAUUAAUUUUCUUAUAGAUUUAUAUUUAUAUAUAUAUAUAUAUAUAUAUAUAUAUUCAGACACAUAUAUAUUCAAGGAAUUAGAAGCUUUAAUGAAAAAAAUCUACAUCCAUAAAACUUCAUUCCAUACAAUAAUUUUUUUUAAUGAUUUUUGCUAAAACAUCUUGUUACUUCCCACACAAAUCCUUUGAAAGCAUUAGCUGAUAAAUCAGAAGGUGUCUUGAAAUAAUAUUUUUUUAUAGAAACUCUUUUUAAAAUUUUGAAGAUUUCAUAUUAUUUUUUAAGUAUUUUAUAACACUUAAACAAAAAAAUUAAAGAAAAUUUGGUUUCAAUUAGAAUUAAUAUCGUUUAAAGCUAUUAUACACUAUUAAGAAUUUUGAAUACGCAUUCCAGACCUUAGAGAAACAUCAUAAUCACCUUAUUCAUAGCAUUCUCUAAACAUCAUAAUCACCUUAUUCAUAGCAUUCUCUAAACAUCAUAAUCACCUUAUUCAUAGCAUUGUCUAAAUAUAUACUUAUGAUCCAUAUCCUUCCUCAAACACCCCCAUUUGUGGGUGGCAUAGUAGAAUACUUACACACACAUACAUUCUUGUAAAAUAUAUAAACCUAUCAAUUAAAAAGUAUAAAGAGUGGAAGAUUAGGGACAAUCAGGGGAGAAAACAUGAUUCAAAAUUUUGCAUUUUGUGAAAAAUAGUAUCCAUCAGAAUUCCCUUACUUUGACGCUCUCUAUUGUUAACAAAUAAUCAGCAACAUUGAGAAUCAUAGCUGAAGCGGGAGCAAUUUCAAUGAAAGUGUAAACUGGUGUUGCCAAUUAUGAUAAAGAAAAGCGGGCUAAUGUGGCACUGCACUGGGUGAGUGAAGGAGUAGGUGAGGGCCGCAGGGCUUGUUUCUAGGGGGAAAGAGACCGUUGAGACACCACUACAGCCAAAAGGCUAUCAAUUGAAUAGCAUUGGUUGCAAUCAGCGUACAACAAACCCACACCAUGCGAGAGCCUUUUUGGACAAAAAUCCACUUCUCUCCUGAAAAAGAAGAAGAAUAAUAACAGCGGAAGAAAUGAGAGAUUUAUUGAGUGCUGACUGGGAGAUGGGCUCGGAGGUGGACAAUUCACCCUCCUUCAUCAUGCAUGGUGGCUUUUUGCGUUGAAGACCCUAUACCUGAGCUUUGACCAAAUUCUAACUUGUAUCUGCAAUAAUGAUGGCACUGUGUUUGUGCAGAUUAUUCGAGUUGUAAGUUCAUCUUGUCACGACUGGUGUGAAAUUUGAUCCUCUAGCAAUCUCGGUCAACUCGAUCUUAGUAACAUCACAGACAUUGGGUGUUGGAUGGAUUUCGUGAGGUUUGGUAGAGAUAUAAUCAAGUGUGAGGAGGGAGAGACGGAGCGGUUGUGCAUUAAGUGGCACCAGGGGUUGGUAAGGGAGCCAGAUAGCAUGCAUCGUAGCAGUCUUGCAGCGAGGUUGCAGGUGAGAGGUGACGUGAGAUGAUAGGCACCAAGAGGUUUGGAGUCAGUCACCCAGGCAGCAUGCGACCAACAUCUCUCCACUCCAAACAAAAGAAUAGAAAAGAAUUAAAAAUACAGAAGAGAUACAACCAUUGCUCCAUCAUACACUCUUGGCUUUGAAUGCAGUGUAGAUUUGGCCCAAUUUGGAUUUUAUUUUUUAUUUUUUUAUUUUUUUAUAAAGAAGGUUUUCAUCUUGAUUUUGAUGGAUGUCGUCAAUGAAAAGCCUCCAUUGCCUUUGCUGCAUUUCCAAGAUUCUUUACAGGCUCUCAUGUGCAUUCACUAAAAUCAUAUCUAUGCCAAUAUACAGGAUAUUCUAAUUUAUUUCGGCCCCGCCUUGAAUCUAAGACUUCUUCCACUUCAAACUCUUCAUUAUUGUCUACUUCUAUAAGAGGAGGUAGAGCUUGUCUUCUUCUUGGUAUGUCCAUUAUCUUGUAUGGUUCAAAAAGAGACACGUAGAAUAUUGGAUGGAUUUUCAUUGACUCCGGUAGAUGUAAACAAUAUGCAACUGGAUUGAUUUGUGCAAAAAUAGAAAAUGGUCUAAGCCUUCAAUAGUCCAACUUGUCGCAAAGACGAGUGGUCUUGAUAUUGCAAUGAAGUAACCAUACCUUAUCACCGAUGUGAAAUGGUGGUUGUUCCUUUCGAUAGACAUCCGCAUUAAUCUUUUGUUGUUCUUGAACUUCUUUUAACUACGCCUUCAUCGUUGCAUAUAGCUCUGACAAAUGAAUUGUCAAAUCUUUUGCAACAGGAUUAUCAACUUUUGAAAAGUCAAAAAUAUCAAGUCAUGGAUGAUAACCAUGAUUAGCAAAGAAAGGUGUUUAUUUUAUAGAAGAAUGUACCGUCUUAUUGUAAGCAAACUCUGCCAAUGGCAAAAGAGUUGUCCAAUCAUCUUGUUGGUAGUUAAUGGUACAUCUUAAAUACUGCUCCAAAACUUGAUUAAUAUGCUCUAUUUUUCUAUCAAUUUGAGGAUGGAAUAUCGAAGAUAGUUUUAUAUCUAUUUUUAGAAUCUUGAAAAGAGUCCGCUAAAAUCUUGAUACAAAUUAAGUUCCUGUAUCUGAUAUAAUAACCUUGGCUAAUCCAUAAUAGCGAUAGAUAUUGUCAAGAAAGAGCUUAGCUGUUUCUUCACCUGUGAUAGAUUUUGUAUAUGGUACAAAAUGUGCCAUCUUGGUAAAACAAUCUACUAUCACGAAUAUAGAGCCAUAAGAACCUGAGAUUAGAAGAUCCGUGAUGAAAUCCAUAAAAAUAGAAGACCAUGGUUGUUCUGGAAUAGAUAAUGGCUGAAGAAGUCCAUAAGGUCGAUGAUUAGGAGUUUUUUUAUCUCGAGCAAACAUUACAAGAUUGUACAAAAUCUUUUAUUGCUUUCUACAUUUUGGGCCACCAAAAGUUUCUAGAUAUUAGUUUCAAAGUUUUAUUGUACCUAAAAUGUCUUGCUGCUGAAAAGUCAUGACAAGCUUGAAGAACACGUAAUCGAGCUUCACCUUCUGGAAUAUAUAGGCGUCCCUCAAAAUAUAAUAGAUUCUUCUUGAAUUCAAACUUGGAAGUAUCAUGAGACUUUGAAGGAUUUUCCUUAAUAUAACAAAUAAGAGGAUCAGAAGACUUACUUGACUGAACUUAUUUAAUGAAUCAACAGUUAGUGUUGAUUUUAUUGCUUGAUGAUGAAGAUGCUCUAGCUUCAAGAGAAUUAUCCAUUGUUGAUCAAAAGUAGCAUCUUCUUCCUUUGGUGUAAGAUAAGAUUGUCUAGGGAGUGCAUCUGACAAACCUUGUUGUUUUCCUAGUCAAUAAGUGAUCUCGAAUUCAAAUCUUGACAAAGACAUACUCCAACAAGCUUGGCGACGAUUCAAAACAUGUACUGAUAUAAAAAUAUUCAAGGUUCUUGUGAUCCGUAUAGAUUGUGAUUGGACUAGAAGCACCUUGUAGAUAAUGGCGCCAUUUUUGAAACGAAUCCACAAUUGCAAGAAGUUCUUAGACAUGGAUUUCAUAGUUGAUCUUGGUUGCUGAAAAUUUUUUGGAAUGAAAAGCUAUUGGGUGAAGUUUAUCAUCUGUUCCCAUUUGUGACAAUACAACAUGCAAAGCAAAGAGUGAUGCAUCAGUUUCCAUAAAACAUGGCUUAGAAAAAUCGAUGCAAUACAAGAUUGGUGCAAAAACAAAGACUGUCUUCAAAGCUUCAAAUGCUACUUUUGCUUCUUGAUUCUAUUGAAGUUUGUCUUUGUAAGUCAAAUGUAUAAGUUGAGUUGCAACUUGAGAGAAGUCUUUCAUGAAGAUCCAAUAGUAGUUGGCAAAUCUCAAAAAGCAUUGGACAUCUCUUAUCAUUUUUGGGAUCUUCCAAUUCGAAAUAGCUUGAAUUUUCUUAGGAUCUAUCAAAAGUCCAUCAUUUGAAAUGGUGUAUCCUAAGAAGUCGACUUGAGUAGUGUGAAAUAUACACUUUUCUAUCUUGGCAUAGAGUCCUGUAUCUCUUAGUUUUUGUAAUACUUGGCAAACAUGAAGUUCAUGUUCUUCUAGAUUCUUAGAAUAGAUUAAGAUGUCGUUUAGGUAACAGAUAACAAAAUCAUCUAAAAACUCCCGAAGUACAUCAUUCAUUAGAUGUUGGAAUGCUGUUGGUGCAUUUCUAAGUCUAAAAAGCAUGACGUUGUAUUCAAAAUAUCCAUACCUUGUUCAAAACGCAGUCUUCCAUUCAUCUCCUUCUUUGAUGCGUACCAAAUUGUAUGCUGUCCAUAGAUCUAUUUUUGUAUAGAUCUUAGCUUGAUUCAACUGAUCAAAAAGUCCAGAUAUCAAAGAUAGCAGGUACCUAUUUUUGAUAGUGAUUUUGUUGAGUCCUCAAUAAUCAACACACAUCCGCAAUGAUCCAUCUUUUUUCUUCACAAAUAAAAUUGGAGCUCCUGUUGGAGAUUUGGAAUAGCAAAUAAAAUUCUUGGCCAAAUUUUCUUCAAUAUACUCCUUGAGUUCAGCUAAUUCAUUUUGAGAUAAAUUAUAGAUUGCUCCAAAUGGCGGUUGUACUCCUUCUUGAAGGUCAAUUGAGUAGUCAUAAGAACGAUGUUCUGAAAGAGUAUCCAUAUUCUUCUUCUCAAAUACAUCUUGAAAAUCUUGAUAUUGGCUUGGAAUGCCACUUGAAGUCUUUCCACCAAAAGAAAUAGGUGUGGCAUAAAUGUCACAAGGUGAUCCUUCUAUUGCAGCAUGCAAGAAAGCACUUGCACCUAAAAAUAUAGGUUUAAUUAUACUAGACUUAUGACUUUCUAUUUGAUUAACUACACUCUUAGUUAUACUUUCAGAAAAGUCAAGACUACAAGAAGUCCAAUCUAUUUUAGGGUUAUAUUUUUCUAGCCAUGAUAAACCUAAAAUGACUGGAUUAGAAGAAGAUGUAAUGAUAUUAAAUAUUAUAAAGCUACUAUGACCAUUAGUUGCUACUUUUAUAGGAAGGGUUUCAUGAAUAACAUCUCCUGAAGAUAAUGGACGACCAUCUAUGACUUCUACUUGAACAAGUUUAGUUUUCUUUACUAAAACUAUGCUAUGUCUUUUAGCAAAUUUUUCAUCUAAGAAACAUGUUGAGGCUCUUGAAUCUAGCAAGAUAGAGGCUUUGAGAUGUUUAGGUCCUAGAAUAACAUUUAUUGUAAAACAUGGAGAGGGUUCCAAGGAGAGGAUAGGACCUUCACUAGGUAUACCAAUGAAAUGUUCGAGCUGCAUGGUCCCUAUUGUAGCUAGACAAAUUCGUUUUCCGACAUGCUAUCUUCUUUGAUCGCCGUUCUCCUCAUUUUAUGGUUGCAUCGCUUCUUUAGACAAUGUUGAGCAUUGUGUUUAGGUUCUCCAUAAUGUAAGUACAAUCCUUCUUGACGACGAUGAGUCUUAUCUUGCUCAGUAAGUGAUUUAAAACGUACUGCAUCAAUUUGCAUAUCCUCUACUUCAGAAUGUAUGUGUUGAAGAAGUGUUAGUGUUGCCAUUGAAUUAUAGUAACGUUGAGGUCCACAUGUACAGUUCUCAGAUCAGAAUUCAAAAAGGCAAUUGUCGCACUUCAUAGCAAAGUCAAUUGCUUGACUCAAUAUUUGAGUAUCAGGUAAGUUGAGCAUUAAUUUUUUUACCUCAUAUUGUAAUCCGUAGAGAAAUUGGCUAAUAAAUGCAACAUCAUUCCACUUGAUAUCAGUUGCAAGUUGUCAAAAUUGUAAAGCAUACAACGUUAUUGAUCAAUUGCCUUGUCGUAAAAUAUGGAUCUUAUUGGUUGCAGUACGAAUUGCAUCAUGUUCUCCAUACAUGGAUCAAAACUCCGCCAGAAAAGCCUCUAGAUUAUCCAAUAUUGGAUCUCGUCAUUCAAGAAAAGAUGAAAAUCACAAUAGUGCUGAACCUGAAAGAAGUGUAUCAAUGAAUCUAACUUGCGAUCCUGGAGUUGGAUAGCUUUGGGGUUGAAGUUCAAUCACAAGUUGUACUUAAUUGAUAAAUCCUCUAAACUUGGAUCUGGUGCCAUCAAACUUCUCGGGUAGGGCAAUUCUUGGUUCUCUAACAUUGAAAGGAUGUUCCAUCAUAGACACCCAAGGUUGAUAGAAGGAGGUGAAGAAAGGUGUUGUGAAUGUGCUGGUGGAGAGGAGGUUUGUUUGGUGUGAGAUCGAAUUCGAGGUGAAGACUUUUGAUGUAGGAGCCUUAGAGGAGGAGAGUUUGCUAAGGUUGGUAGCUAGUUUUUGGAAUGUGGUGAGAAUGCCGCAGAGACAGUUUUAUGUGAUGCUAGUUUGCUGCUGGACUAUGUAGGACUGGCUGGUUGGAAGUGGAAAGAUGUUAUGUGAUGCGAGUUUGCUGCUGCACGAUGUAGGACUGGCUGGUUGGAAGUGGAAAGAUGUGAUUUGAACGUUGUGAGAGAUUUGAAGCAUGGGGAGGGCGAUUUGUAGCUAGCUUUUUUUUGUCAAGGGGGAAUUGAUGGUGGCGGUUGGACUCGAGUUUGGCCUCCACAGAGAAGAGAAGUUGGAAAAGGCUCCCGUUUCUGAAUUGGUAUCUUUUGUACGAGGUCGGAAUUGAGACGGGAUGCGAAAUCAGAAGCAGAAAGCGAGGUUGCAGCAGUCGAGAGGUCAGCUCUUCAUAUGCUGCAUGUUUGGAAAUUGCGGCAGCUCGGUGUUGAGUCCUCGCAUUCCGCGUGGCAUUCCCGACUGUGGUCACAAAGUCGCACCCGUUUGGGCAGAGAAUGAUUGUGAUUUGCAGCAGCAGCUGCAGGUCGGGGAUGUGUAUCCCCAAUGCGAGAGGUCCGAGAUAGAUUUACCAUUGUCGGGCCCUGUUCCCGACUCCCCCACUGCUAGCGAAGAAGACAAUGCAUCCUCCUCUGCUUCUGACCGGACGGUGGAUCCAUGCAAUGCGCAUGUUAGGUCGUCCAUCCCUUCCACUUUGAGAGGUUUGGAUUUGGAGGAGCUUCUUGCAGAGAUCAAAGCUGGCAAUUGUACCAAAACGACGAUCCGGAGCUUGAUUAGUAAAUUGAGUGAGGAUAAUCAGGCAUCGAGAGAACUAUUUCGAUCGUCAGGUGUAGCGCCAUCUCUCAUUUCCUUGUUUUUUUCAGCAAACUUGGCUGUGACGGAUGGCACCGGCGCUCGAGACUCAGUUGAUGAGAGGCAAGUCAAUCACGUUCUGGAGGAGUCGCUGAGUGCUUUGACUCUACUAGUCGAAGACGGAUCCACGUCGCACCUGAUGGCUACACCGGAAUUUCUGGAAGUCGUGACGUGGUAUAUGUCCUUAGGGAGGAAGGAUGCGAGAGAGAACGCCUGUUCACUCUUGGAGAAGCUAUCCUUGAAUGAAGCGUUCAAGGGAACGAUAGGCGCAUGCUCAGGCGUGAUGGAGGCGCUAAACACUACGCUGCCCGAUGAGAAGCAUCUAAAGCUCGUGAAAAUGGCCACCAAGACAUUGUUAGCACUCUGCUUGCUGCAAGAGAACAGAUUCCGGUGAUUAUUUAUUCACAAUUACUUUGAUCCUCGAACUCUGGACACUUUCUUAUAAUUCUUUGCGUAGGGAGAUCAUAGCUCUCUCUCUCUCUCUCGCUUUCUCUCACUCCACUGCUUUUUAUGCUCUACUUCAGAAAAAGGCCUCCUGUACUGUAAGGGCCCCAAUAUUCUUUAAACGUGACAUUUAGCUCGCCAUUUCCUUGUGCACAGUGCCGUCGAGGUGGGCGCGGUGGCUUCCCUGCUAGAGAUGCUUCCGCGGACCAGGUCUGCAACAGCGGAGAAAGCUCUCGCAACUUUGGAACUUCUAGGCACCAUCGAAGAAGGAAAAGCUGCCAUAAUCGACCAUGCUCUAGCAGUGCCGGUGCUCGUUGAGCUCAUCCUGACAGUCUCUGACAGAGGAACAGAGUAUGCUGCCGGGACACUGAGCUCCAUGUGCAGAGACAACAUGGCCAUGCGAGAGGCGGCUGUCGCACAUGGAGCUCCAACGAAGCUGCUGCUUCUCAUCCAAAGUGACUGCACGGCUCGUGCUAACAGGAAAGCUAACCAGCUUUUGAAGGUGCUCCACAAGCUCUGGGUGCAAGAUCCGUGCACGGGAGGCACCAAGGCAAUCCACUACUAAUCUAUCCGCUGAGCAUUCCUUAAAGAAAACCUCAAACUACCAAGUUCUUCUGAAAAUCACAAUCUAAGUUAGCUACUAUAGGAACGCGAAAUCUGCUGCGAUCAAGUGCCAAAAUCUUGUGCAGUGAGCCGCGAUCAGCAAGGUUGCGAGGCCCCGAGGUCCUUGACUGCAUGGCUUCGAGACAGCAUCAACCCAAAAGCUGUCGAUGAAUUAAAUAUCAUUUCAUUCAUCAAACGAACAAGGGCUAUGGUGCACGGUCAACACAGCAUGUUUGACUCAAAGAAGUUAUUGGUGGAUGUUGAAUUGGGGUUAACUGUCUGUUAGGUCCAACUGCAUGUAAAGCAUAUGUAAAAUAAAAUAAAAAAGCAUAUAUACAUAGAGUAACUUCCAGGAUGUAUACUGAAGUUUGUACUAAUUUAGGAAUGCUUUAGAUUGUGAAAUAACACACCAAUUACAUACAAAGCUUCAAUAUUACAAUGUUAGUGAGUUGUACAAAUAGACUUGCUGUGUAAACAAAGAUUGUAAAACACAACACAUUAAGUACUACAAACCAAUCACAAAAUAUGUCAUCUAAACUAAAUACAAAGACACAACCAACACACUCUCAAGGAAAGAUAAGAGAUCUAAACCAAACUAAGUCAAGCUAUCUUUCACAAUACAAAUUAUAAUGUAUAAAAUCAUCAAUAGGUAGAUAAUAAAGAAUACAAUUUUUUGAAUGUUCUCGAUAUUUUUGUCCAUUUUUGCCUUUUUGCAAAAAAAUACUAUUAGGCAAUACAUCUUUUAUACAUAAAAUUAUAUGCCUUAUUGGUGAAUAGGUAAAUAAACUUUGUAGUAAGUUACUAGUUGGUUAUUGAUAACCUUGAGAAUUAGAGUGAUGGCUAGGCAGUUUAGUUGGUAAUGGUAGGUUGUUAGAAGAAUAAAUGGUUAAGAAUUCAAAGGGACAUAACCUUUGGAAUCCGCUGGCCGAUGGAUCAUCUUUUUGGUAGAAUAAAGAGGUUGAGGAAAGAGAGAUCGGAGCCAGACUGUGAAAGUCGUAAGCCGAGAGCCAGAGUACUACUCCUCCAACUACUCCUUAGGAUUUUUUUUUGGAGAUUUUCUUAGGAUAUAUUUUAAAUUUAGAUUUGAGAUUUAAUUUUUUUUAUAAGCUUUUCAUAAAGCUUUCAUUUGCUCUAAAAAUAAUUAUUAUGAAGAAGCAAUACCUUUUUGGAUAAGGUAAGAACUAGCCACUCUUCAAGGUUUUUAUUUGGAGGUUUUUCAUUGUAUAUUUCAAAUUUGGAUUUAAAAAUUUGAAAGAAGAUUCCUCUCUCUAUUAUAUUUUCUAAAAACUCUCAUUUAUUCCAAAUUUAUAAAUGUAUAAAGAUACAAUGUAUUUUUGAAUAAAGUAGAGUUAGCCACUCUUUAGGAUUUUCUUUUGAGAUUUUACUUUAGGAUUUUUCUUUGGAAUUUUUUAUAGUAUAUUUUGAAUUUGAAUUUGAAAAUUUGAGAAGUUUUUUUUUUUUUUUUUAUUUAUUUAUUUUUUUUUCUUUAUAAUCUUUUUAAAAAGAUUUUAUUUUUUCUAAAAAUAAUUAGUUUAAAAUUGUAGUAUUUUUUAGGAUAAAGAAGAAACAAUUGCCUUGUGUUAAUAUAAACAAUGAUUUUUUUUUGUUUAUAAAAUAUGUUAUAGAGAAUGUAUGGAGCUAUAGCAACUAGUUGAAUGAAAAAAGGGAGACGACUCCUAUAUAAUAUCAUAAGUAUGAAGUAGUGAAAUUCAUUCGAAUGAAAGAUAUUAUUUGACUAUAUCUUGUUGCAGCCAUAAAUCAUAUGAGUUUCUAAAGUAAAUGCUAUCACUUCAACAUUUAGUGCUUCCAUUGAGAGAAGCUUUAGGGCUAUUAGGUUAGUCAAGGCCAAAUAGGGAUUACAAAACAAAGAAGCUCAAAUAAAAGAUGUAGUCAAAACCUUAUAGAAGAAUUUUUAAAGGCUAUACAAAUAUUUAUAGACCAAUAAGUUGCCAAUAUAAAUAAAGAAGAUGCCACUAAAGUAUUGAGAAAUAUUAUUGGCAAAGUGGAGAGGUUUAAUAGAAAGAAUACUACUUUAUUUUGAAGGUCUAUAUGGAUAAAAUAGAAAUCUAUCAAGUUCCAAAAGAUAAGUAGAUUGAGACUUUUGAUUUAGUAGAUGUUCCAUAAACCAAAGAAAGGAUGAGAUAGCUACAUGGAAGCAUCUAUAUAAACAAAUAGAUUAGAUUUGAGGAGAGAUUGAGAGAUGAAUACUAUAAUAAAAAUAUUGAAAGAAUAUCCAAACAAGGCUUUUUUGAUUGAAUGGAAUAACAACAAGGUAAACAUAUAGAACCAAAUAAUCUACUAAAAGAAUUUGAAAAAAAAAUUGAACAACUUCUAUUAUUUAAAAAUACCUUUUAGAGGUGAAGAAAUUAGAGUUAUUUUUGUAAGUUGUAAAUGAUUUACUAGAAGAUAGAUUUGAUCUUCUUAUUCAAGAUAAAACAAUAGAAGGUAGUUUUACCACCAAUUGAAGAAGAUUGAAAGAAGCACUGAACCUUACUGCUAAAUAAUAUCAUGGAAAGGAUAGAAGAUAAGAGCAAGAAUAAAAACAACAUCAAUGAUAGUUGUAAAGGUUCUUGUAACAACUACGCAUGCUUCUAUUCUAUGAAGCUCUUUAAAAGAUAAAUUUGUAGAUAAAGAUAUCUUUGAAGAAUUAAUGAGAGGCAUGAAAAAAUUGAAAGUAGAAAUAAAUGUUUUGAAAAAAAACAAAAACUCAAGCAGUUCAUGAUCAAUUGAAGGAUUAAAAAGAUUUGUGGUGAGGUGCAUUUGGUAUGAUGAUCUAAAUUAUAAAUUUAGUAAGUGAAGAUUAUAAAAAGAUGCCAUAAAGAAUUGUAUUAUUAUCUUCCAAUCGGGAAAAAUACAAGAUGUUGCAACAAAUGAGCCUUUAGAGACAAACUUUGGAAGAGGUGGGAGAAAAAAAUUUAUAGAGGAUAGAUUGGAAAAGAGUAGCUCUUCAUGUCCUAGAAAGAUAAAGACUUUUAUCAUUGAAGUUGAGUACAAUAAAUUAGUAAGUGUUAUAUAUAUAUAUAUAUAUAUAUAUAUAUAUAAGUAAUGGUGAAGAGAGCAUAAGCUAUUAAAAAACUAUUUAGAUAAAAAAUCUAAUAGAUACUAUCACCAUCAAGAUCUACUUGAUAGAUAAGUUUCACGAAUAUAGAAUACUGAUUGGAAACAAGAAACUUAAGAAGAAUGGACAAGAACUAGAUUAAUCAGAUGAAUACAAGAACAACACUAGAGAGGUGAGCUAGAGCUCCAAAAGGUGUAUUGUCAAAACUGAGGAUCCCCUCAAUCUCAACUCCUAUAUAUACUACAAGCUAGGAAGCUUCUCCAGUAGCUUCUACAAACUAGGAAGCUUUUCAAGCAGCUUCUACAAGUUAGGAAGCUUCUCAAGUAGCUUCCACAAUCUAUGAAGCUUUUGAAGCAGCUUCCACAAAUUAGAGAGCUUCUCAAGCAGCUUCCACAAACUACAAAGCUUCUUUAAACCUUCUAAAAUAUUCUACAACUUCUUAGUGUAUGUCCUUGAUAUAAUCUCCUUCCUUUUAGCUUUGAGGUCUCCAAGAAGCACUCUUAUUGCAAGUCAGUACCAUCAUAAGAAGUUAAAAAUUUGUCGCAUAGUGUCUGUAAUAUACUCCAAUUAUUGUUCACGUAGCAAGUAAUUCAUUGGUCCUUGAAACCAACGAUAGUGUCCUAUGCCUUCGAUUUCUAACCAAGCAUGAACUUCCGUAUCUUCAUUGUAAAAAUGCCCUACAAACACUCCUUCAAGAAGAUCACUGUAGGCAGGUUCUACCUCAAACACAAUCACUAGCUAUCUAUUACUAGGUAUCCUUCGUCGUCUUUGUGGUACAGGUGGUUCUUCAUCUUGGGGUUGUCUUCGUGAGAUAUUUGGUUGAGAAGACAUAACUGAUAUGGUAUCUAUCUCUUGGCUAUCUAUAUCAUACCAAAAAAUACAAGCACUAAAUAUAGAAGAAUAGACUCAAGUUACAGAUUUAUAGUCUCUAAUUUUGUCUUUUAGAGGUUCCUUCUCUCCCUUCUUUGUAAGGCCAAGGAUUAAGAGGCUUUAAGGAGAAGGAACUUCUCUGAAAAACUUUCAUUAAAAGGACUUAGGUUUCUGAGGAUAGCGUCGAUGAAACUCCUGUACCUUUUGUGACGCAUUGAUAAGAUUUUCCACUGGUUCCCAUGUUCACUCAUUGAUAUCAUAGCCGCUCUAAUGCACUAGGUACUCCAAUUUUCUCCACUUACGUGGCAAAUCUAGUACCUUUUCUACCUAGUAUUCCUUGUGGUUUUCAAUUUCAAUACUAGGUGGCGGACAUUGUACUCUUUUAGGAAAAGAUGACUCUCGAUAAGGUUCCAACAAAAAAAUAUGAAAGAUUGGGUGUACCUUCAUAGCAGCUAGUAAUCCCAAAUGGUAUGCCACCAGAUUGAUUUGCUUCUGGAUGACAAAUGGUCCCAAUCUUCAGUAGUCCAACUUAUCACAUGGCCGCUUGGUUUUGAUAUUCCAUCAAAGUAGCUAUAUUUUAUCUCCAAUUUUAAAAGUAGGUACCUGAUUCCGAAAUUCAUCUGCGGACGCAUUGUAAGCUUUUUGGGCAAUUUACAAUUGAAGUUUUAAUGUAAUUUGAAGCUCCGAUAGUUGUUUCACAAAUCCUUCAACUGUGAGGUUAUUAUUGGUUGACGGAUUCAACAAAUCAAGCUUCAAAUAAGACCCAUAGUUGGAAAAGAAUGGUCUUUGUUGAAUCGAUGCAUGAAGGAAGUUGUUAUAUGUAAACUGAGCUAAGGAUAGAUAUGCAGUCCAAUCAUCUUGCUGAUAAUUGAUGUUGCAUCAUAAAUAUUGCUCCAAAGUUUGAUUCAUCCGUUUCAUUUGGCCAUCAGUUUGAGGAUGGAAAAUCAAAGAAAGCUUGAUAUCCACCUUCAAUAUCUCAAAGAGAGAUCUCCAAAACUUUGAUACGAAUUGGGUUCCUCGAUCUGACAUGUUAUCAUCUAAUGAACCAUGAUAUUGAUACACACUAUCAAGGAAGAGCCUUGCUGUGUCUUUGCUUGAUGAUGUUUUCUUACAAGGAACAAAGUGUACUAUCUUUGUAAGCCGAUCUAUCACAACAAAGAUACUGUCAAAUAAAUUCGAUGGCGGUAAGUUCGUAAUGAAGUCCAUAGAAAUUGAAGACCAUAGCCAACGUAGAAUAGGAAAUGGCUGAAAAAGACCAUAAGGACGAUGCCGAGGAUUCUUAGAUCUUGAAGAAAUGUCAUAGGAGAGGACAAAAUUCUCAACAUCCUUUCACAUUUGGGGCCACCAAAAACUUGAAAAAUAAGUUCCAAGGUCUAAUUGAAUCCAAAAUGUCAUGUAGUUAGAAAAUCAAGUCAAGAUUGAAGAACUCAGAGUCGUGCUAGUCCCUUUAGAAUAUACAAUUGCUCCUCAAAGAAUAAAAGAUCUCUUUCUACCUUGAACUUGUCAUUAUUUAUAUUGCAUGAUAUUGAGGGCUAUAUAAUUUCCAAUAGUGGCAAUACGUACCUAAUUGAGGAAGUCAGCAUUAAUUGGCACUAUAGCAGAGUAAAGCCUGAAUUGUUCUGACUACAAUAAUGUUGUACACUGUUGAUGAAACGCUGCUUCUCCAGCCUUUGGCACUAGAUACGAUCUCCUUGAUAAUGCAUUGGAUAGUCCUUGUUGCUUCCUAGGUCAAUAAGUAAUAACAAAGCCAAUCAUGGAUAGCAACAUAUUCCAUCGAGCUUGACGAGGAUUUAGAACCUGAGUCGACAUAAAGUACUCCAAAUUCUUAAGAUCUGUGUAUAUGGUCACCGAUGUCGUGAUGUAAUAUGACUAGUACGAAAAAGAGUGAAGAAAUAUAUCAUUUUUUGAGGAUCUCACUUCAAAAAUAUUGUAGCAAAUUAUCUUGGAAAAAUAGAUAUUAAUAAAAGGGUAGAAAAAUUAAAGGUGCUAAUGCUGCCUUUUUACAAAUUAUGCUUCUAUUUACUUUGUAAGGUCAUAAAUAAGGCAAAACAAGGUAUAUUAGAAAAAAAAAAGAUUUAGACAUAUGUAGGGAGAAAUUAGGAGUGCUAAUUAGUAAAAAUUACCUCAAGAAGACGAAAUUUGAUACCCGAAGAAGGCCGGUUAUGAACCGGGGUCGAAAUCAGACCCUGAGGCACAAAACCGAGUCUCGAUGACGACUCCGAGAUUCUUUGGCAGAUCGGAGAGUGGAGUUUGAUAGAAGAUUGGAUAGGGUUUCUAUGGGCGUUGAUUUUGGGUGAUUUGGAGUUGAUAUGACUUUGUAAGAGCUUUGCAAAGUGGAGGUUUGUUUUGGAUGACUUGGGUUUUAUGAAAUAAAAUAGGAUUUAUGUUUUGAGUGAUUUCGAGAGUUUUGUUGCAGAUCUACAAGUGAAAUUUUUUGGAUUCAUGAUUAUAGUUGUUUUAAAUACAUGUUGUGAAUUUGAGCACGAUCUAAUGGUUGAAGUGAGAGAUAUUGAGGUUUAAGCAGGUUAAGGUCUCAAAAAGUAGAAUUUUAGGUCCAAUAAGAGUUUUUAAGAUUUCAUGCAAUCUACUAGUUGGAUUGGAGUAAAACUUAUGUACGAGGGUAUUAGACUUAUGUUUCUAUGUCCAUGAGAAAUUUGAAACCAAUCGAACGAGGCAAAGAAGAGAAAUUGGCUUUGGAAGGUUGGCAUCAAGAUUGGAGAAGGAGGCCGGCUAACACCCGAAUACAUUUUGAGGUUUUCGUCAAUUUGGUAACUCCGAUCCUUUUCAAAUUUUUUUGUACUUGUUUUAAACUUGAUUUUUAAGAAGUAUGCAAAUUUUGAAUUGAGAUCAACGGUUUAUUCAUUAGAUAUUGAGGUUUAAAUCUGACAUAAGAAUUACUAGGAUUUGGAUUAGGAUUUGGCUAGAGUUUGAUUUAGGGUUUGAUUUAGAGUUUAGGAUUUGGAUUAGGGUUUGGUUAGGGUUUGAUUUAGGAUUUGGAUUAGGGUUUGGAUUAGGAUUUAGAAUUUGAUUAGGGUUUGAUUUAGGGUUUCGAUUAGAAUUUGAUUAGGAUUUGAUUUUGGGUUUGGAUUAGGGUUAGGAUUAGGGUUUAGAGUUUGGUUAGGAUUUAGGGUUGGAUUAGAGUUUGGAUUAGGGUUAAAAAUUUGGUUAUGAUUUGAUUUAGGAUUUGGAUUAGGGUUUGGAUUAGGUUUUAGGAUUUAGUUAGGAUUUGAUUUAGGGUUUGGAUUAGGAUUUGAUUUAAGGUUUGGUUUAGGGUUUAGGAUUUGGAUUAUGGUUUAGGGUUGGAUUAGAGUUUGGAUUAGGUAUAAAGAUUUGGUUUAGAAUUUAGGGUUUGAAAUAGGGUUUGAUUUAAGAUUUAAUUUAAGGUUUGUUUAGAAUUUGACUUAGGGUUUAGGAUUUAUUAGGGUUUAAGAUUUAAUUAGGUUUGGUCUAAAGUUUGAAUGAAAUUCAAUAGGAUUUUAACUAGAAUUAAAUUAAGAUUGAAUUGACAUAUAUUUGAGUAAUAUUUGUGAUCAUUCUAAUAUUUUUUUAAGAAUUUUAUUGUUUGUUUGAAAUUUCUUUGAGUUGUUUUGAAUUUUAUUAUGUUUGUUUACCAUUAUUAUAGUCUAAUUAGAGCAUUGUUAGUAUUGUAUUAGAAUUAGGAUUUUUUUAUCACAAUUUCUAUUCUUCCUUCUAUAGCUAGGUGCCCAAAGCAUUCUCAAGCAAGACUUCAUACAUUACAACUUAUUUGGUAAUCCCAACGUGAAAUGCUUGAGGUGGAAGGAAUUUAUUAUUAUUUUUAUUAUUUGAAUUUUGGAGAAGGAAUUAAAGGAGAAUGGAAGGAGGCAAUUUGGAUAGUGCUUCAAGUAGAAUUGGAAGAAGAGCUUCAUUUGGAGGACAAGGUAUGCAUUUUGAUCCUAACUUUGCAAGCAUGUUUGAAGCUUUGACCUUAUUCAUGCAACAACAAGAACAACAAGUUAAAGAUCGCAAAGAGAGUAUGGCUAACAAAGCAUUACAAGCGAUCGUGGACAAGAAUGAUCAAUUUGAAGGAAAGGAUAUUACAAAAUAUUUAAGAUGUUAUGUAAAAGAAUUGGAAUUGAAACGUAUUUCAGAAAGCGAGAUGGUUCAAUUAUUUGAAUUAGCCUUUGCAAGAGAGAUAAGAAAUCAAGUUAAGUUUCUUAUACAACACUUUGGAGGUUCAUGGGAGAAAUUUUCUCAAGCUUUGAAGGAUGAGUUUUUUUUAGAAGAUAGUGAUAGGGUUACAAAAAGGUCUUUUUUUGAAUGGAUUGAAAAGCCAAAGAAGGAUCUUCUAGCAAUAGAAUUAUUAAGGAAGUUUGAAAAGCAAUAUUCUUCUUUAUCAAAGAAAGAAAGACAAUUAUUGGAUCCAAGUAAGGUGGAGCUCUUUCUUCAAGAAACUGAUGGAAAGUUGCAAGAGAAGUUGGAAUUCAUGCUUGAAGAUAAAGAAGAAGAUGAAGGAUUGACAAUAAAUUGGGAAAGGAUAGAGGAUGUUGUAAGGACGUUGAUAAAAAGAAAAAGGAGAAAAGAUAUGGGGGGUGAUCAAAGAUCAUUACAAGCAUCUAAGGUAAAGGUGUCUAGUAUCUAUCCAACAUCUUUGAUUCAACCUUCAAUGGCUACAACAAAAAAAGAAGAAAUGGGAAUUGAUAAAAUCAUAUGUGGGAUGAGAGAUUUGUAAAUAAAAUUUACAAAACUUGAAGAGAAAGGUCAAUCAUCAAGAAUAUCAACAAAACAAAGACCAAGGCCAAUGGAGGAUGUAGUACAUAGAUGCAUGUGGUGUGAUAGCAUAGAUCACUCGAAGAGGGAAUGUGAAGAAUUUACAGAGGCAUUACGUAAAGGAGUUGUUUUUUUUAGAGAUGGUAUGAUACACUCGAAAGAAAAUGGAGAAAAAUUGGAAACAAAUUUUGAUAAACGAGGAAUGAAGUUAUUUACUGGAGAUACUUUUAAAGUGCAAACAAUCUCAAGCAAUGAAGCAUCAACAUAUUGGGUGGAAGCAGAUCCUAGUAGAUGUUUAAGUAUAAAUCUUGAGUUUCCGGAAGAAUUUAAUUCUUUGUGGAUAAGUGCAAUGAGGUAUGCUAAAAAGAAAAAUUUUACUGGAGAUGAUUUAAAACGUGUUGGUAAUAACAUUCGACAAAUUACUGGGUGGGAUGAUCCAGUAGAUAGAUUAUCUGUACAUGCUCAUAUUGCAAGGAGUCAAUAUGAAGCAUUAAUAGAAGNNNNNNNNNNNNNNNNNNNNNNNNNNNNNNNNNNNNNNNNNNNNNNNNNNNNNNNNNNNNNNNNNNNNNNNNNNNNNNNNNNNNNNNNNNNNNNNNNNNNGAUGAAAAUAAUGAAGGGCCCUCAAAAAGAACUACAAGGGGGAAAAAAGCACAACAACAAAAGAAUUCUAUUCAUGAAGAGACAAUUGGGAACAUUUCUACAAAAGAGAGGGAAAUUAGAAAAGAAAAAGCAAUGGCUCCCACUUAUAAAUUACAAUCAGAUAUUGAAGCAGCUACAGAUUUGAAGAAGGUAUUGGAGGAGCAGAUUUUAAGUGAAAAGGUUGAAUUCAUAAUUAUUGAAAUUCUAAGAAUUGCAAAGAGUGAAUUUAAUGAAGUUAUUAUUGAUACAAUAAAGAAAAAAUGACAAUCUAUAGGAGACUCUAUGACAUCAAAUGCACAAGGAACAAGAGCAAUGGAAAGAAAUCAAAAUGAAGAAGAUGAAAUACAAAAUUUUGGAGAUGUCUUGCGAGUAAGGUUUGCAGAAAAAGAAGAUGUCAUUCAAGCUUCUAGCCAUUAUUCUAGAAGUCAUUGGGCAAAGGCUACAACGGAGACUUUAAUAAAAUUGAGAAAUUUAGAAGAACCAGUUGUAGCAUUAAUUGAUCAUGGUUUUGAAAUCAAUUUGAUGUCAAAGGAAUUAUAUAACAAGGAAAAAUGGCCUAUUGAUAUUGAAUAUGGGUGGAUGAUAAGAGUUGCGAAUAAUUCAAAAGGAGAUUUGUAUGGAGCAUGUCCAAAUAUCAAAGUGACAAUUGAAGAUGUUAUUCAUAAACAGAAUUUCUUUGUGCAAGACAUGUCUACAUACCCUAUUAUAUUCAAAAAACCAUAUAUUAUUUCGAUACGAAUGGAAACAAAAAUAAUGGAUGAUGGUUCAGCUUAUGCAAGAAUAAGAAGCUAAGAUGGGAUGAAAGUAGUUCAAUUUUUAACUAUUUGUGCUAAUCAUGAGAGAAAUCGUGAUAAGUUGAGAGAGAAACCAAUAUCAAAUAAGAAAUUUGAAGACCUUGAGGAUUUUUACCACACACCAUUGUAAGGUGGAGUUGCAAUAGAUUAGAGAAAGAAAAGCUCCCGCUUAAUUUUGAAAAAGAAUUGUUAUCUAUUGGACUUAUUGGGAUGACACAAGAUUGUAUGUUGACUUUUAAGACUAUUGACAAAAUAAAAAAGAGGGACAGAUGUUAUAUUAAAAAUAUUGAAAAAAAUUUGAAAGAAAAUGGAGAAUUGGUUGAAAAUGAAUUUAUUUCACGAGCAUAUGAAGAAGUAGGUUUUAGAGGAAUGGUUAAGCAAUGUCACGGCCAUAAGCAUGUAAGCUAAUAAUUACAUAUACAAAUAAGUAGAAGUAAGUAAAAGUACGUAUGAUGAAAUUCAAGGAUUUAAAGAAAAUUUAAGUUGCCAAGAGGUAUAUGUUGAAACUAAGUAUAAAUCAAUAGCAAAGAAGUAUUUGGUACUUGUUGGCACGUGGUCAACAAGUUGGCCAUGUGCCACACAUAUUGUUAGCGUGAAGAUCAAGCUAACUAUGUGGCCCACAUAUAGAAAAACUUGCCUUGUAAGUCAAGGUAUGUGUCCUACAAAGUCAACACAUAUUGGAGGUCCUAUAGAACGCCGCCACGUAGUGCCUAGUUAGAUAAUAUAUUUAUAGAGACAAGAGUGAAGGCUUCUUCACUCUUGUCAACUCCUUUCUUGCUUCUAGUCUAGUUUCAAGAGUCUCUAGUUUUCCUCUCUUUUGGCAAUAGCCAUUCCAGUUUCUAUUUCAAUAUAUAUACUUGUUUAUAUAUAUUUUGUUACGUCUCUUUGAGUAAAGGCUCAUUUGUCUGAAUUAUUUUUUCAUCGAGUUCUUGUCCUUGACAGAUUGAGAAGAGUACACCUAUAAUAUUAGAGCUUUGUCUAAAUCUUGAUUUAGAGUGGAUUAACCUUUUUUCUUGAUAAGAUAUAAGCAUAUUAGAAGUUGCAGAUUAUCCUCUUCUAAACUGAUAUUGUCUUUAGUAUUUUUUUUGUCCUCAAGUCCUCUCUUCUAUUUGUCUUUAGUGAUAUUAGACAUCUUCUCUCUUCUAAGUGUUAUCAUGGCAGAACUUCUUGAAAUGAAGAGUGCAAUGGCACAAAUACAAGAGCAAUUCAGGGAGUUAAUGCUUGCGAUGCAUCAACUCAAUUUACUACCACAAGGAGCAACAAGAUUGGCAGGAAGUGAAGAUAUAGAAAUGGUUGGAGUUGCUUCAACAUCUGUACCAAACCAUGUCCUUUCUUCUAUGGUGGAACGCCCUUCAAAUGUUAGAGAACCAAGAAUUGUUCUACCCGAGAAGUUUGAUGGCACCAGAUCCAAGUUUCGAGGAUUUAUCAAUCAAGUGCAACUGGUGAUUGAACUUCAACCCCAAAGCUAUCCAACUCCAGGAUCACAAGUUAGAUUCAUUGAUACGCUUCUUUCAAGUUCAGCACUAUCGUGGUUUUCAUCUUUUCUUGAAUGACGAGAUCCAAUAUUGGAUAAUUUAGAGGCUUUUUUGGCGGAGUUUUGAUCCAUGUAUGGAGAGCAUGAUGCAAUUCGUGUUGCAACCAAUAAGAUCCGUAUUUUACGACAAGGCAAUCGAUUAGUAAUGUUAUAUGCUUCACAAUUUCGACAACUUGCAAUUGAUAUCAAGUAGAAUGAUGCUGCACUUAUUAACCAAUUUCUCUAUGGAUUACAAUAUGAGGUAAAAAAAUUAAUGCUCAACUUACUUGAUCCUCAAAUAUUGAGUCAAGCAAUUGACUUUGCUGUGAAGUAUGACAAUCGCCUUUUUGAAUUCCGAUCUGAGAACCGUACAAGUGGACCUCAACGUUACUAUAAUUCAAUGGCAAUACCAGCACCUCUUCAACACAUACAUUCAGAAGUAGAGGAUAUGCAAAUUGAUGCAGUACGUUUCAAACCUCUUACUGAGCAAGAAAAGACUCGUCGUCGUCAAGAAGGAUUAUGUUUAUAUUGUGGAGAACCAAAGUAUACUGCUCAAUAUUGUCCGAAGAAACGACACAAUCACAAAAUGAGGAGUAUGGCUAUGAAAGAAGACAAUAUGUCAAAAAAUGAGUUUGUCGAGCUACAAUAGGGACCGUGCGGCUGGAACCUUGCACAACAUCUAGUAAAGGUCAUAUUCUCUCCUCAGAGCCCUCUCCUUGUUUUAUAUUAAAUAUUAUUUUAGGACCUAAACAUUACAAAGUCUCUGCCUUGUUAGAUUCAGGAGCCUCAGCGUGUUUUUUAGAUGAAGAAUUUACUAAAAGACAUAGCAUAUCUUUAGUAAAGAAAACUAAACCUGUUCAUGUAGAAGUCAUAGAUGGUCGUCCAUUUUCUUCUGGAGAUAUUACUCACAAAAUCCUUCCUAUAGAAGUAAUAAUCAAUGGUCAUAAUAGUUUUGUAGUAUUUAAUAUUAUUAGAUCUCUUUCUAAUCCAAUCAUUUUAGGUUUAUCGUGGUUAGAAAAAUACAACCCUCAAAUAGAUUGGAUUUCUCGAACUCCUACUUUCUCUAAAAGUAUAACUAAUAGUAUAGUUAAUCAAGUAGAGAGUCAUAAGUCCAGUACAAUUUUACCCGUAUUUAUCUGAGGUGAAGAAACAGCUAAGCUCUAUCUUGACAAUAUCUAUCGCUAUCAUGCAUUACCCAAGGAUAUUAUAUCAGAUAGGGAAACUCAAUUUGUAUCAAGAUUUUGGCAGACUCUUUUCAAGAUUCUUAAAGUGGAUAUAAAACUAUCUUUGGCAUUCCAUCCUCAAACUCAUGGAUAAACGGAGCGUGUUAAUGAAGUUUUGGAGCAAUAUUUAAGAUGUACCUUUAAUUACCAAUAAGAUGAUUGGACAACUCUUUUGCCAUUGGCAGAGUUUGCUUACAAUAACAUGGUACAUUCUUCUACAAAACAAACACCUUUCUUUGCUAAUUAUGGUUAUCAUCUAUGACUUGAUACUUUUGACUUUUCAAAAGUUGAUAAUCCUACUGCGAAAGAUUUGGCAAUUCAUUUAUCAGAGCUACAUGCAACGAUGAAGGCGCAGUUAAAAGAGACUCAAGAACAACAAAAGGUCAAUGCGGAUGUCUAUAUAAAGGAACAACUAUCAUUUAUCUUGGGUGAUAAGGUAUGGCUACUUCGUCGUAAUAUCAAGACCACUCGUCCUUGUGACAAGUUGGACUAUCAAAGGUUGAGACCAUUUUCUAUUUCUACACAAAUCAAUGGAGUUGCAUAUCAUUUACAUCUAUUGGAGUCAAUGAAAAUCCAUCCAGUAUUCCACGUAUCUUUUCUUGAACCAUACAAGAUAGUGGACAUAACAAGAAGACGACAAGCUCUACCUCCUCUUUUAGAAGUAGACAAUAAUGAAGAGUUUGAAGUAGAAGAAGUAUUAGAUUCAAGGCGGCGCUGAAAUAAAUUAGAAUAUUUUGUCCAUUGGAAUGGAUAUGGUAUUAGUGAACGCACAUUGGAGCCAAUAAAAAAUCUUGAAAAUGCAACAAAAGUGGUGGAGGCUUUUCAUUGACGACAUCCAUCAAAAUCAAGAUGAAAACCUUCUUUAUAAAAGAAACAACAUCUAGACAAGAUAACAUUCUACUUUCAAUUCUCGUUUGUAGCUUCUUUGUAGUAGUGACUCUCAAGAGAUGGAGAACCAACAACCAACAGAUUCAACUCAAGAACCUUCAUUUGCUAACUUGCCGGAUGAAACAUUAUAAUUAUCAGAACCUUCAAGACAACGCAUUCGAGAUGAAGAUCUUCAAGAAUGACAUGUUCUUCCUUGAAUAGAUAGCGAGAUACAAUACGUUUGGUAUCACGAUUUGGGAAGGGACUCCCAAUGUUUGGUGAUUGUACUAGAGGUAGGAACAACUUUUGAUGGUGUUUUAAAUAUUCUAUUCGAAGGAAGUUACGAAGGCCUCAACAAUGAUGAAAUAACUAGGUGGUCUUUCCGCCCUGGUAUGGGACACUACCGAUGGUUGAGAGGUCCUAUCAAUCAUCUUCAAAGAGAACAAAGAUCAGAGUAUGUGGCAAAUAUAAUUUGUCGCAUCAUAGAUUUCUUCAAUAUAUGAUGAUCGCUCCUCGUGGAACUCGUCCCUGGAAGGGGGGAUAAUGUCACGGACAUAAUCUUGUAAGCUAGUAAUUACAUAUACAAAUAGGUAGAAGUAAGUAAAAGUUGAUAAAAGUAAGUUAAUUCUAUAGUAUUUAAUAUAAAAGAUUCCUAGAAGCUUCAUAGACGCUACUUUGACUUCAUAGGUGUCUUUAAUUGACUUUUUGGAUUAGAAACGUGGUCAACAAGUUGGUGUCACGGACAUAUAUAUAAUUACCUAUAUGAAUAGAUAAAAGUAUGUAAAAGUAGAUAAAAGUAGGUUAAUUGUGUAAUAUCUUCUAGAGAAGCUUCUUAGAAGCUUCAUAGACACUGCUUUGACUUUAUAGGAGUCUAUAGUCGACUUUUAGGUUAGAAACUUGGUCAAUAAGUUAGCCAUGUACCACACAUGUUGGAAGCUUAAAGAACAAGCUAACUACGUGGUCCAUCCAUAGAAAACUUACCUUGCAAGCAAAGGCAUGUGGCCUAGAAAGUCAACAUAUAUUGGAGGUCUUAUAGAACAUCGCCACGUGGCUUCUAGUUAGAUAGUAUAUAUAGAGGCAAGAGUGAAGCCCUCUUCACUCUUAUCAACUCCUUUCUUGCUUCUAGUCCAGGUUCAAGAGUCUUUAGUUUCUUGUCUUGCGGCAAUAGCCAUUCCAGUUUCCUUUUAAUAUACAUACUUGUUUAUAUUUUGACUUAUUAUAUCGAGAUAGCCUUUUGGUGUAUAUUUUUCCUCAUCGAGUCUUUGUCCUUGACAGAUUGACAAGAGUACACUUAUAAUAUCAGAGCUUUGUUUUUUCUUGAGUAAGAGUGGAUUACCCCUUUCUCUUGACAAGACAUAAGCAUAUUAGAAGUUUGCGGAUUACCCACUUCUAAACUGAUAUUAUUCUUAGUAUCUUCUUUGUUAUCAAGUCUUUCUUUUCUUUUGUCUUGAGCAAUAUCAAACAAAUUUUUCUUCUUAGUGUCAUUAUGGCAGAGCUUGUUGAAAUGAAGAGUGCAAUGGCACAAAUGCAAGAGCAAAUGAGGGAGUUAAUGCUUGCGAUGCAUCAACUCAAUUCACCAACAUAGGAAAGAACAAGAAUAGCAGAAAGUGGAGAUAUAGAGAUGAUCGGAGCUGCUUCAACAUCUACAACAAAUCACGUUCCUUCUCCAAUUGUACAACAUCCUAUAAGCACUAGAGAACGAAGAAUUGCCUUACCUGAGAAAUUUGAUGGUACGAGAUCAAAGUUUCGAGGGUUCAUCAAUCAAGUACAAUUGGCAAUUGAACUUCAACCGCAAAGCUAUCCAACUCCAGGAUCACAAGUCAGGUUUAUUGGCACUCUACUUUCUGGUUCUGCUUUAUCGUGGUUUUUGUCUUUUCUUGAACACUGAAAUCCAAUAUUGGACAAUUUGGAAGCUUUUUUGGUGGAGUUUCGAUCCAUGUAUGGUGAACACGAUGUAACUCGUGUUGCAACAAAUAAGAUCCGAAUUCUACGACAAGGAAAUCGCUCAGUAACAGUAUAUGCUUCACAAUUUCGACAACUUGCAAUUGACAUCAAGUGGGAUGAUGCUGCACUCAUCAGUCAAUUUCUUUAUGGAUUGCAAUACGAAGUAAAGAAAUUGAUGCUCAACUUACCUGAUCCUCAAACUUUGAGUCAAGCAAUCGAUUUUACGGUAAAAUGUGAUAAUCGACUUUUUGAAUUUCGAUCUGAGAAUCAUUCACGGGAACCUCAACGUUAUUACUCAAUGGCAACAUCAACAUCUUUGCCAAACGUACAUUCAGAAGUAGAAGACAUGCAAAUUGACGCGGUACGUUUUAAACCUCUAAGUGAGCAAGAAAAGAUUCGUCAUCGUCAAGAAGGAUUAUGUUUGUAUUGCGGAGAACCUAAGCACACUGCUCAACAUUGUCCAAAGAAACGACGCAACUAUAAAAUGAGGGGUACGACGGUCAAAGAAGACAACAUGUCGGAAAACGGAUUCGUCCAGCUACAAUAGGGACCGUGCAGCUGGAACCUUGUACAAUUCCUAAUGAAGGUCCUAUCUUCUCCUCAGAACCCUCUCCUUGUUUUAUAAUAGACUUAUAUUUAGGACCUAAGAAUUACAAAGCCUCUGCUUUAUUAGAUUCGGGAGCCUCAGCAUGUUUUUUAGAUGAACAAUUUGUUAAAAGUCGUAAAAUACCCUUUGUACAGAAACCUAAACCAGUACAUGUAGAAGUCAUAGAUGGUCGUCCCUUGUCUUCUGGAGAUGUCACUCAUGAAAUUCAUCCUAUAAAAGUAACAAUAGACGGUCAUGAUAGCUACAUAGCUUUUAACAUAAUUAAAUCCCCGUCCAAUCCAGUUAUUUUAGGUUUAUCCUGGCUAGAAAAAUAUAACCCUCGAAUAGAUUGGAAUUCGCGUAAACUUGACUUUUCCAAAAGCAUUAUUAAUAGUUCUAUGAACCAAGUAAAAAAAUAUAAGUCUAGUACAGUAAAACCCGUACUGAUAGGUGCAAAAGCAUUUAUACACGCAGCAAAAGAAGGAUCAACUUUUGCUAUUUAUGCUGCACCUAUUUCUGAAAACGUAAAGACUUCAAGUGGCAUUCCAAGUCAAUAUCAGGAGUAUCAAGACGUUUUUGAGAAAAAGAAUGCAGAUAUUCUUCCUGAGCAUCGUCCAUAUGAUUGUUCAAUCGACCUCAAGGAAGGAACUCAGCCACCAUUUGGACCAAUUUACAGUUUAUCGCAAGAUGAGUUGGCUGAACUCAAGACAUAUAUUGACGAGAAUUUAGUGAAGAAUUUCAUACGCCAUUCAAAAUCUCCAGCAGGAGCUCCAAUUCUAUUCGUAAAGAAAAAAGAUGGAUCUUUACGAAUGUGUGUUGAUUAUCGAGGACUCAACAAGAUCACAAUCAAGAACAGGUAUCCAUUACCUUUGAUAUCAGGACUCCUUGACCAGUUGAAUCAAGCUAAGAUCUAUACAAAAAUAGAUCUAAGAGGAGCAUAUAAUCUAGUACGGAUCAAAGAAGGAGAUGAAUGGAAGACUGCGUUUCGAACCAGGUAUGGACAUUUCGAAUAUAAUGUCAUGCCCUUUGGACUCACGAAUGCACCAGCUGCUUUUUAACAUCUCAUGAAUGAUGUAUUUCGUGAAUUCUUAGACAAUUUUGUCGUCUGCUAUCUAGACGAUAUCCUGAUCUAUUCCAAGAACGUCGAAGAACAUGAAAUACAUGUUCGUCAAGUAUUACAAAAACUUAGAGAUGCAGGAUUGUACGCCAAGAUGGAAAAGUGUGUAUUUCACACUACUCAAGUUGACUUUUUAGGAUACAUCAUUUCAAAUGAUGGUCUCAUGAUGGAUUCUAAGAAAGUCCAAACAAUCGUGGAUUGGAAGAUUCCAAGGACGGUAAGAGAUGUCCAAUAUUUCUUGGGAUUUGCCAAUUACUAUCCGAUCUUCAUCAAAGAUUUCUCACGAGUUGCAGCUCCACUUACACGCUUGACUAGUAAAGAUAAAUUUCAAUGGAAUCUAGAAGCGGAAGCAGCAUUUGAAGCCUUGAAGACAUCGUUUGUCUCUGCACCAGUCUUAUAUCGUGUUGACUUUUCCAAGGCAUUUUUUAUGGAAACAGAUGCAUCAGAUUUUGCCUUGGGUGCAGUUUUAUCACAAAUGGGAACAGAUGACAAACUCCAUCUGAUAGCUUUUCAUUCAAGAAAAUUCUCAACAGCCGAGAUCAAUUAUGAGAUCCACGAUAAAGAACUUCUUGCGAUCGUGGAUUCCUUUCAAGAAUGGCGUCAUUAUCUAGAAGGCGCUUUUAGUCCAGUCACUGUGUAUACAGAUCACAAGAACCUCGAGUAUUUCAUGUCAGCACGUGUGUUGAAUCGUUGUCAAGCUCGUUGGAGUAUGUCUUUGUCAAGAUUCGAGUUCAUUAUCACUUAUCGGCCAGGAAAACAACAAGGUUUAUCCGAUGCCCUAUCUAGACGUUCUUAUUUUGCACCAAAAGAAGGAGAUGCAGCUUUUGAGCAACAAAGAACGGUCCUCUUGAAACCGGAGCAAUUUCAUCUCCGAGCAAUGAAAUCAACAUUGACUGUUGAUUCAACUUUUCUCAAGCAAAUCCAGUCCAGUAUGUCCUCAGACCCUCUUGUUUAUGAUAUCGAGAAUAAUUCUUCCAAGUCUCAUGAUUCUUCUAAGUUUGAGUUCAAGAACAAUCUAUUAUAUUUUGAAGGACACCUAUAUGUUCCAGAAGGAGAAGCACGUUUACGUGUUCUUCAAGCACGUCAUGACUUUCCAGCAGCAGGGCACUUUGGAUAUAAUAAGACUUUGGAACUCAUAUCAAGAGAUUUUUGGUGGCCACAAAUGUGGAAGUCAGUCAAAGACUUUGUACAAUCAUGUGAUAUUUGUUCAAGAUCAAAAAUUCCUCGUCAUCGACCUUACGGACUUCUUCAGCCAUUACCUAUACCAAAACAACCAUGGUCUUCUGUUUCUAUGGAUUUCAUCACAGAUCUUUCAAGCUCAAGAUCUUAUGAUUCUAUAUUUGUGAUAGUAGAUCGUUUCACCAAGAUGGCACAUUUUGUGCCAUGUACAAAAUCUAUCACAGGUGAAGAAACAGCUAAGCUUUUCAUUGAUAAUAUCUAUCGCUAUCAUGGAUUACCUAAAGAUAUCAUAUCGGAUAGGGGAACUCAAUUUGUGUCAAGAUUUUGGAGGACCCUUUUCAAGAUUUUAAAAGUGGACAUAAAGCUAUCUUCGGCUUUCCAUCCUCAAACUGAUGGACAAACAGAGCGCGUAAACCAAGUCUUGGAGCAAUAUUUAAGGUGUACUAUCAACUACCAACAAGAUGAUUGGACAACCCUUCUACCAUUGGCAGAGUUUGCUUAUAAUAAUACGGUACAUUCUUCCACGUAACAAACACCUUUCUUUGCCAAUUAUGGCUAUCAUCCACGACUUGAUACUUUUGAUUUUUCAAAAGUUGAUAAUCUUGCAGCAGAAGAUAUGGCAAAUCGGUUGUCAGAGUUACAUGCAAUAAUGAAGGCGUAAUUGAAGAAAGCUCAAGAACGACAAAAGAUAAACGUAGAUCUAUAUCGUAAGGAGCAACCACAAAUCAACGUGGGUGAUAAGGUAUGGCUACUUCGUCGCAAUAUCAAGACUACUCGACCUUGUGACAAGUUGGACUAUCGUAGGCUUGGCCCCUUUUCUGUUUCUGAACAGAUCAACCCAGUUGCAUAUCGGUUACAUCUACCAGAGUCAAUGAAGAUCCAUCCUGUAUUCCACAUAUCUCUUCUUGAACCAUAUAAGACAGUGGAUAUACAAGGAAAAAGACAAAUGCCACCGCCUCCUAUAGAAGUAGAUAAUAAUGAAGAAUUUGAGGUGGAAGAGAUAUUAGACUCAAGGCGGCGCCGAAAUAAGCUGGAAUAUCUUGUUCAUUGGUGCGGAUAUGAUAUUAGUGAGCGCACAUGGGAGCCAUCUAGGAAUCUAGCAAAUGCAUCAGCUAAAGUCAAAGUUUUUCAUCAACGACAUCCAUCAAAACCAAGAUGAAAACCUCUCUUAUAAAAGAGACAAGAUUGAGGCAAGAUAACAUUCAAUUUCCUAUCCUUGUUUGUAACUUCUUUGCAUUUUGUGACGCUAAUUAGAUGGAGAGUCAACAACCAGCGGAUUCAACUCAAGAACCUUCGUUUGCUGACUUAUCGGAUGAGACAUUGCGAUUGUCACAACCUUCAAGACGACGCAAUCGAGAUGAAGACCCUCAAGAACAACAUGUUCUUCCUCGAAUAGAUGGUGAGAUACAACGCGUUUGGUAUCAUGACCUUGGAAGAGAUUCUCGAUGUUUGGUGAUAUUAUUGGAGAUAGGAACGACUCCUGAUGGUGUUUCAAAUGUAUUAUUUGAAGGAAGUUAUGAAGGCCUCAACAGUGAUCAAAUAACAGGGUGGUCUUCUCGCCCUGGAAUGGGACACUAUCGAUGGCUAAGAGGACCCAUCAACUAUCUUCGAAGAGAACAAAGAUCAGAGUAUGUAGCAAAUAUAAUUCGCCGCAUAUUAGAUUUUCUCAAUAUAUAAUCACCGCUCCUCGUGGAACUCGUCCCUAGAAGGGGGGGUAAUGUCACGGACAUACAUAUAAUUACCUAUAUGAAUAGAUAAAAGUAUGUAAAAGUAGAUAAAAGUAGGUUAAUUGUGUAAUAUCUUCUAGAGAAGCUUCUUAGAAGCUUCAUAGACGCUGCUUUGACUUUAUAGGAGUCUAUAGUUGACUUUUAGGUUAGAAACUUGGUCAAUAAGUUAGCCAUGUGCCACAUAUGUUGGAAGCUUAAAGAACAAGCUAACUAUGUGGUCCAUCCAUAGAAAACUUACCUUGCAAGCAAAGGCAUGUGGCCUAGAAAGUCAACAUAUAUUGGAGGUCUUAUAGAACAUCGCCACGUGGCUUCUAGUUAGAUAGUAUAUAUAGAGGCAAGAGUGAAGCCCUCUUCACUCUUGUCAACUCCUUUCUUGCUUCUAGUCCAGGUUCAAGAGUCUUUAGUUUCUUGUCUUGCGGCAAUAGCCAUUCCAGUUUCCUUUUAAUAUACAUACUUGUUUAUAUUUUGACUUAUUAUAUCGAGAUAGCCUUUCGGUGUAUAUUUUUCCUCAUCGAGUCUUUGUCCUUGACAGUUGGCCAUGUGCCACACAUGUUGUUAGCUUGAAGAUCAAGCUAAUUAUGUGGCCCACACGUAGAGAAACUUGCCUUGUAAGUCAAGGCAUGUGUUCUACAAAGUCAACACAUAUUGGAGGUCCUAUAGAAUGUGACCACAUAGCCCCUAGUUAGAUAGCCAUUAUAGUUUCUCUUUCAAUAUACACACUUGUUUAUUUAUAUUUUGUUAUCUUUCUUUGAGUGAAGGCUCACUUGUCUGAAUUUUUUUUUCAUCAUGUUCUUGUCCUUGACACUUGUACGAGAAGAUUUAUCGAAUAUGGUUGAAGGACGAGCAUUAAAAACAGAAGAUACAAAGGUAUAUGUCGAUUUCUAUUAGAAGAAGUUAUUUGUCAUUAUGGAUGUAUUGAAAAAAUUAUGACGGAUAGAGGUGAAUUGGAUGCAAAAGAAGCACGAGAGUUUUUUAGUAGAAUAGGAAUUAAACUUUCUUUGACAACAGCAUAUAACCCAGAAGGUAAUGGAAAAAGUGAGCAUGGGCAUUCACCUAUUGUUAAGGCAUUAGUAAAGGCAUGCAAUGGCAAAGCACAUGAAUGGCCUAGACUAGUACCAUUUACAUUGGCGGCAAAUUGUACAACUCAUAGUUCAAUAAUAGGUUAUAUGCCUUCUGAAUUAAUAUAUGGACAAAAGUCAAUAAUGCCAAUAGAAGAUGUAGUACAUACAUGAGGUAUAUUGCCUUAAAAAAAUGAUCUCAAUAGAGAAGAACUUUUAGCAUUAUGGAUUCAAAAGCUAGAAAGAAGGCCCAAUGAUAUUUAAAUAGCAAUAGAAAAAUUGAAAGAAGCAAGAAAAAAGAAUAAAGAAAGAUUUGAUAAAAAACAUCGACUACGACCUAAGGCUAUUGAAGAUGGUGAUUGGGUAUUAGUUUAUGAUAGUAGCUUAGAAAAUCAACAUAGCACUAUGAAUAAGUUUGCAAAGAGAUGGUUUGGACCAUAUAUUGUCAAAAAGGCACACAACAAUGGAACAUAUUCAUUACAAGAACUUAAUAGUACAGAAUUGAAGGUAGUCAUAGCAGGCAAACGAAUCAAGUUAUUUAAACAAAGAAAUGAAGAUAUUUUCUUUGAUGAAGAACAAACUUUAAUACAAGAUAUUCAGAUUGGGAUAGAAGAGCAUACUGAAAAUCAAGAAUUGUACCAAGAUGAAGAACAUUCCACAUCAACAUAUUGAAGAAUUGUUGGUGCAUGCCGGAGGAUGCACAGAUUCGAAGGGGGGUGGAUGUUGUGAUAUAAUAUGACUAGUAGGUGAAAGGGUGAAGAAAUAUAUCAUGUUUUGAGGAUCUUACUUCAAAAAUAUUGUAGCAAAUUAUCUUGGAAAAGUAGAUAUUAAUAAAAGGGUAGAAAAAUUAAAGGUGCUAAUGCUGCCCGUUUACAAAUUAUGCUUCUAUUUACUUUGUAAGGUCAUAAAUAAGGCAAAACAAGGUAUAUUAGAAAAAAAAAGAUUUAGACAUAUUUAGGGAGAAAUUAGGAGUGCUAAUUAGUAAAAAUUACCUCAAGAAGACGAAAGUUGAUACCCGAAGAAGGCUGGUUAUGAACCAGGGUCGAAAUCAGACCCUGAGGCACAAAACCGAGUCUCGAUGACGACUCCGGGAUAAUUUGGCAGAUCGGAGAGUGGAGUUUGAUAGAAGAUUGGAUAGGGUUUCUAUGGGCGUUGAUUUUGGGUGAUUUGGAGUUGAUAUGACUUUGUAAGAGCUUUGCAAAGUGGAGGUUUGUUUUGGAUGACUUGGGUUUUAUGAAAUAAAAUAGGAUUUAUGUUUUGAGUGAUUUCAAGAGUUUUGUUGCAGAUCUAUAAGUGAAAUUUUUUGGAUUCAUGAUUAUAGUUGUGUUUAAUAUAUGUUAUAAAUUUGAGCCUGAUCUAACGGUUGAAGUGAGAGAUAUUGAGGUUUAAGCGGGUCAAGGUCUCAAAAAGUAGAAUUUUAGAUCCAAUGAGAGUUUUUAAGAUUUCAUGCAAUCUACUAGUUGGAUUGGAGUAAAACUUAUGUACGAGGGUAUUAGACUUGUGUUUCUAUGUCCAUGAGAAAUUUGAAACCAAUCGAACGAGGCAAAGAAGAGAAAUUGGCUUUGGAAGGUUGGCAUCAAGAUUGGAGAAGGAGGCCGGCUAACACCCGAAUACAUUUUGAGGUUUUCAUCAAUUUGGUAACUCCGAUCUUUUUUAAAUUUUUUUUUACUUGUUUUAAACUUGAUUUUUAAGAAGUAUGCAAAUUUUGAAUUGAGAUCAACGGUUUAUUCAUUAGAUAUUGAGGUUUAAAUCUGACAUAAGAAUUACUAGGAUUUGGAUUAGGAUUUGGCUAAAGUUCGAUUUAGGGUUUGAUUUAGAGUUUAGGAUUUGGAUUAGGGUUUGGAUUAGAAUUUAGAGUUUGAUUAGUAUUUGAUUUAGAGUUUGGAUUAGGAUUUGGCUAGAGUUCGAUUUAGGGUUUGAUUUAGAGUUUAAGAUUUGGAUUAGGGUUUGGAUUAGAAUUUAGAGUUUGGUUAGCGUUUGAUUUAGAGUUUGGAUUAGGGUUUGGUUAGGAUUUGAUUUAGAAUUUGGAUUAGGGUUUGAAUUGGGAUUUAAGAUUUGGUUAGGAUUUGAUUUAGGAUUUGGAGUAGGAUUUGGAUUAGGAUUUAAGAUUUGGUUAGGAUUUGAUUUAGGGUUUGGAUUAGGAUUUGGAUUAGGGUUUGAUUUAAGAUUUGGUUUAGGGUUUAGGAUUUUGGGUUUGGAUUAGGAUUUAGUUUAGGAUUUAGGAUUUGGUUUAGGAUUUAGGGUUUGAAAUAGGGUUUGAUUUAGGAUUUAAUUUAAGGUUUGUUAAGGAUUUGACUUAGGGUUUAGGAUUUAUUAGGGUUUAAGAUUUAAUUAGGUUUGGUCUAAAGUUUGAAUGAAAUUUAAUAAGAUUUUAACUAGAAUUAAAUUAAGAUUGAAUUGACAUAUAUUUGAGUAAUAUUUGUGAUCAUUCUAAUAUUUUUUUAAGAAUUUUAUUGUUUGUUUGAAAUUUCUUUGAGUUGUUUUGAAUUUGAUUACGUUUGUUUACCAUUAUUAUAGUCUAAUUAGAGUAUUGUUAGUAUUCUAUUAGAAUUAGGAUUUUGUUAUUGCAAUUUCUAUUCUUCCUUCUACAGCUAGGUACUCGGUGCAUUUUCAAGCAAGACUUCACACAUUAUGACACCGAAUGCGAAGCUCCUUCGAGAAAGUGGAGCCACUCUUAAAAAGAAUCUACUAUCACAAGAAGUUCUUUAUCAUGCAUCUCAAAGUUGAUCUCGACAGUAGAAAACUUUUGAGAGUAGAAUGCAACUAGAUGAAGCUUUUCAUUUAUGCCUAUCUGUUAAAGUACAGCUCCCAUAGCAAAAUCUGAAGCAUCGGUUUCUAAAUAGAAGGCCUUUACAAAGUCUGGAUGUACCAAGAUUGGAGCCAUAGUAAAUGCUGUCUUAAGAUCUUGAAAUGCUUUUUCUACUAGAAGUUCCCAUUCGAGUUUGUCUUUACAUGUCAACCAAGUGAACGGAGCAGGAACUUGAGAAUAAUUCUUGAUGAAGAUUUGAUAGAAGUUAGCAAAGCCAAGAAAGCAUUGUACAUCUCUAAUUGUCUUUGGGACUUCCCAUGAUACAAUUGCUUCUACUUUCUUACGGUCCAUCUUCAAACCUUCCAUAGUUGCAAUGAAUUCCAAAAAUUCCAUCUCAGUUUAGUUAAAGAAGCACUUCUCCAAUUUUACGUAAAGUCCUCACUCGUAGAAUUUUUCAAGGACCAGACAAGCAUGUUUCUUAUGCUCUUCUAUGUUUUUGGAAAAUAUCAAAAUAUCAUUUAGAUAGAUGACAACAAAAUCGUUAAGGUGCUUUCGAAAGAUGUCAUUCAUCAUGUAUUGAAAGACCGCCGAAGCAUUGGUAAGACCAAAAGGCAUGACAUUAUAUUCAAAAUGGCCAUAUCUUGUAUGGAAAGCUAUCUUCCAUUCAUCUCCUUUCUUGAUUUGCACGAGGUUGUAAGUUCCUCUUAUAUCAAUCUUUGUAAAGAUCUUUGCAUGCUCAAGUUGUUCUAGAAGACCUGAUAUCAAGGAUAAUGGAUAACGAUUCUUCUUUGUCACCUUGUUGAGACCUUGAUAAUCCAUGCACAUCCGUAGUGAGCCAUCUUUCUUCUUCACAAAUAAGAUUGGUGCCCCAACUGGUGACUUUGAAUGACAAAUGAAGUUUUUGGCUAGAUUCUCGUCAAUGUAUUUUUGCAACUCCGUUAACUCCAUGUGUGACAAAUUAUAGAUUGGACCAAAAGAUAGUUGUGCUCCAUCCUGCAAGUCUAUGGUACAAUCAUAUGGUCAAUGCUCCGGUAGCAUGUCGGCAUUCUUCUUUUGAAAUACGUCUUUGAAAUCCUUAUAUUGCUCUGGUAUAUUUGCUAUCAAAAUCUUCUCUCCGCUAGUUGGAGUCGCAUAAAUAACAAACGGUGUACAUGUCUUGGACGAUGUUAGAAAAGCUCUUGCUCCAAUAAAUAAGGAUUUUUUGAUUCAGGAUCUUCUAAUAGGUUUACUCUCAAGAUGUUUUAUAGGAACCUCCAAUCUAUGGAUGGAUUAUGCAUUUCUAACCAAGAAAGAUCAAGAAUAAUAGGGUUUCACGGAUUUUUAAUAAUAUUGAAAAUAAUAUAACUACUAUGGUCUUUAAACGUCACCUCUAUAGGUUCUGAUUCAUAGAUGAUACUACAAGACAAAAAAGGUCGUCCAUCUAUUACUUCUAUGUAAACGAAUUUAGAUUUUUAUACUAGAAGAAUCUCAUGAUGCUUAGCAAAUUCUUCGUCUAAAAGGUAAGCAGAUGCUUCUGAAUGUAAUAACCUUAAGGUUUUUAGUUUUUGAAGGCAAAAAGAUAGAGGAAUGGUUAAGCAAUGUCACGGCCAUAAGCAUGUAAGCUAAUAAUUACAUAUACAAAUAAGUAGAAGUAAGUAAAAGUACGUAAAAGUAAGUUAAUUCUAUAAUAUUUAAUAUGGAAGCUUCUUAGAAGCUUCUUAGACACUGCUUUGACUUCAUAGGUGUCUUUAAUUGACUUUUUGGAUUAGAAACGUGGUCAACAAGUUGGCCAUGUACAACACAUGUUGUUAGCUUGAAGAUCAAGCUAACUAUGUGGCCCAUACGUAGAGAAACUUGCCUUGUGAGUCAAGGCAUGUGUCUUACAAAGUCAACACAUAUUGGAGGUCCUAUAGAACGCCACCACGUAGCCCCUAGUUAGAUAAUAUAUUUAUAGAGACAAGAGUGAAGGCUUCUUCACUCUUGUCAACUCCUUUCUUGCUUCUAGUCUAGUUUCAAGAGUCUCUAGUUUUCCUCUCUUUUGGCAAUAGCCAUUCCAGUUUCUAUUUCAAUAUAUAUACUUGUUUAUAUAUAUUUUGUUACGUCUCUUUGAGUAAAGGCUCAUUUGUCUGAAUUAUUUUUUCAUCGAGUUCUUGUCCUUGACAGAUUGAGAAGAGUACACCUAUAAUAUUAGAGCUUUGUCUAAAUCUUGAUUUAGAGUGGAUUAACCUUUUUUCUUGAUAAGAUAUAAGCAUAUUAGAAGUUGCAGAUUAUCCUCUUCUAAACUGAUAUUGUCUUUAGUAUUUUUUUUGUCCUCAAGUCCUCUCUUCUAUUUGUCUUUAGUGAUAUUAGACAUCUUCUCUCUUCUAAGUGUUAUCAUGGCAGAACUUCUUGAAAUGAAGAGUGCAAUGGCACAAAUACAAGAGCAAUUCAGGGAGUUAAUGCUUGCGAUGCAUCAACUCAAUUUACUACCACAAGGAGCAACAAGAUUGGCAGGAAGUGAAGAUAUAGAAAUGGUUGGAGUUGCUUCAACAUCUGUACCAAACCAUGUCCUUUCUUCUAUGGUGGAACGCCCUUCAAAUGUUAGAGAACCAAGAAUUGUUCUACCCGAGAAGUUUGAUGGCACCAGAUCCAAGUUUCGAGGAUUUAUCAAUCAAGUGCAACUGGUGAUUGAACUUCAACCCCAAAGCUAUCCAACUCCAGGAUCACAAGUUAGAUUCAUUGAUACGCUUCUUUCAAGUUCAGCACUAUCGUGGUUUUCAUCUUUUCUUGAACGAUGAGAUCCAAUAUUGGAUAAUUUAGAGGCUUUUUUGGCGGAGUUUUGAUCCAUGUAUGGAGAGCAUGAUGUAAUUCGUGUUGCAACCAAUAAGAUCCAUAUUUUAUGACAAGGCAAUCGAUUAGUAAUGUUAUAUGCUUCACAAUUUCGACAACUUGCAAUUGAUAUCAAGUAGAAUGAUGCUGCACUUAUUAACCAAUUUCUCUAUGGAUUACAAUAUGAGGUAAAAAAAUUAAUGCUCAACUUACUUGAUCCUCAAAUAUUGAGUCAAGCAAUUGACUUUGCUGUGAAGUAUGACAAUCGCCUUUUUGAAUUCCGAUCUGAGAACCGUACAAGUGGACCUCAACGUUACUAUAAUUCAAUGGCAAUACCAGCACCUCUUCAACACAUACAUUCAGAAGUAGAGGAUAUGCAAAUUGAUGCAGUACGUUUCAAACCUCUUACUGAGCAAGAAAAGACUCGUCGUCGUCAAGAAGGAUUAUGUUUAUAUUGUGGAGAACCAAAGUAUACUGCUCAAUAUUAUCCGAAGAAACGACACAAUCACAAAAUGAGGAGUAUGGCUAUGAAAGAAGACAAUAUGUCAAAAAAUGAGUUUGUCGAGCUACAAUAGGGACCGUGCGGCUGGAACCUUGCACAACAUCUAGUAAAGGUCAUAUUCUCUCCUCAGAGCCCUCUCCUUGUUUUAUAUUAAAUAUUAUUUUAGGACCUAAACAUUACAAAGUCUCUGCCUUGUUAGAUUCAGGAGCCUCAGCGUGUUUUUUAGAUGAAGAAUUUACUAAAAGACAUAGCAUAUCUUUAGUAAAGAAAACUAAACCUGUUCAUGUAGAAGUCAUAGAUGGUCGUCCAUUUUCUUCUGGAGAUAUUACUCACGAAAUCCUUCCUAUAGAAGUAAUAAUCAAUGGUCAUAAUAGUUUUGUAGUAUUUAAUAUUAUUAGAUCUCUUUCUAAUCCAAUUAUUUUAGGUUUAUCGUGGUUAGAAAAAUACAACCCUCAAAUAGAUUGGAUUUCUCGAACUCUUACUUUCUCUAAAAGUAUAACUAAUAGUGUAGUUAAUCAAGUAGAGAGUCAUAAGUCUAAUUCAAUUAAACCCGUAUUUAUAGGUGCAAAAGCUUUUUUGCAUGCUGCUAUGAAAGAAUCAUCAUACAUUAUUUAUGCUACACCCGUUUCUACUGGUGAAAAGACUUCAAGUGGCAUUCCAACCGAAUAUCAAGAAUUUCAAGAUGUAUUUGAAAAAAGAAAUGCGGAUACACUCCCGGAACAUCGUCCCUAUGAUUACUCAAUUGACCUUCAAGAAGGAGCACAACCGCCAUUCGGACCAAUCUAUAGUUUAUUAUAAAAUGAGUUGGCUGAAUUCAAGGAUUAUAUUGAAGAAAAUCUAGCCAAGAAUUUCAUACGCCAUUCUAAAUCUCCAACAGGAGCUCCAAUUCUAUUUGUGAAGAAAAAAGAUAGAUCAUUGCGGAUGUGUGUUGAUUAUCGAGGACUCAACAAGAUUACCAUCAAAAACAGGUAUCCACUACCUUUAAUAUCUGGACUUCUUGAUCGACUGAAUCAAGCUAAGAUCUAUACAAAAAUAGAUCUUCGGGGAGCAUAUAAUCUAGUAUGCAUCAAAGAAAGAGAUGAAUGGAAGACUGCGUUUCGAAUCAGGUAUGGACAUUUUGAAUACAACAUCAUGCCUUUUGGACUUACAAAUGUACCAGCAGCUUUUCAACAUCUAAUGAAUGAUGUUUUUCGAGAGUUUUUGGACGAUUUUGUAGUAUAUUAUCUAGAUGACGUCUUGAUCUAUUCUAAGAAUCUAGAAGAACAUGAACUUCAUGUUCGUCAUGUGUUACAAAAAUUAAGAAAUGUAGGACUCUAUGCCAAGAUAGAAAAGUGUAUAUUCCACACUACUCAAGUCGAUUUCUUAGGUUACAUCAUUUCAAAUGAUGGACUUAUGAUGGAUCCUAAGAAAGUUCAAACUAUUAUAGAUUGGAAGAUCCCAAAAAUGGUAAGAGAUGUCUAAUAUUUUUUGGGAUUUACCAACUACUAUCGGAUCUUCAUCAAAGACUUCUCUCGAGUUGCAGCUCCACUUACACGUUUGACUUGUAAAGAUAAACUCCAAUGGAAUCAAGAAGCUUAAGUUGCUUUUGAAUCUUUAAAGACAUUGUUUGUUUCUGCACCAAUCUUGUAUCGUGUUGAUUUUUCCAAAGCAUUCUUUAUGGAAACAGAUGCAUCGGACUUUGCUCUGGGUGUAAUUUUAUCACAAAUGGGAACAGAUGACAAACUUCAUCUAGUUGCCUUUCAUUCAAGAAAAUUCUCAAGAGCCGAAAUCAAUUAUGAGAUCCAAGACAAAGAACUUCUUGCAAUUGUGGAUUCUUUUCAAGAAUGGCGUCAUUAUCUAGAAGGUGCUUCUAGUCUAGUCACCGUAUAUACGGAUCACAAGAACCUCGAAUAUUUUAUGUCAGUACGCAUAUUAAAUCGUCGCCAAGCUCGUUGGAGCAUGUCUUUAUCAAGAUUCGAGUUCAUCAUCACUUAUCGGCCAGGAAAACAACAAGUUUUAUCCGAUGCCUUGUCUAGACAUUCUUAUCUUGAACCAAAAGAAGGAGAUGUAGCUUUUGAGCAACAAAGAAUGGUUCUUUUGAAGCCGGAGCAAUUUCAUCUUCGAGCAAUAAAAUCAACAUUGAUUGUUGAUUUUACUUUUCUUAAGCAAGUCCAGUUAUGUAUGUCUUCAAACCUUCUUGUUCGUGAUAUCAAGAACAAUUCUUCUAAAUCUCAUGAUUUAUCUAAAUUUGAAUUCAAGAAUAAUCUACUCUAUUUCGAAGGACGUCUAUAUGUUCCAGAAGGAGAAGCACGUUUACGUGUUCUUCAAGCUCGUCACGACUUCUCAGCAGCAGGACAUUUUGGAUAUAAUAAGACUUUAGAACUGAUAUCUAGGGAUUUUUGGUGGCCUCAAAUGUAGAAAGCAGUUAAAGAUUUUGUACAAUCAUGUGAUGUUUGCUCAAGAUUGAAAACUCCUCGUCAUCGACCUUUUGGACUUCUUCAGCCAUUAUCCAUUCCAAAACAACCAUGGUCUUCUGUUUCUAUGGACUUCAUCACGGAUCUUCCAAUCUCAAGUUCUUAUGAGUCUAUAUUCAUGAUAGUAGAUCGUUUUACCAAGAUGGCACAUUUUGUACCAUGUACAAAAUCUAUCACAGGUGAAGAAACAGCUAAGCUCUUUCUUGACAAUAUCUAUCACUAUCAUGCAUUAUCCAAGGAUAGUAUAUCAGAUAGGGGAACUCAAUUUAUAUCAAGAUUUUGGCAGACUCUUUUCAAGAUUCUUAAAGUGGAUAUAAAACUAUUUUCGAUAUUCCAUCCUCAAACUGAUGGACAAACGGAGCGUGUUAAUGAAGUUUUGGAGCAAUAUUUAAGAUGUACCUUUAAUUACCAACAAGAUGAUUGGACAACUCUUUUGCCAUUGGCAGAGUUUGCUUACAAUAACACGGUACAUUCUUCUACAAAACAAACACCUUUCUUUGCUAAUUAUGGUUAUCAUCCACGACUUGAUACUUUUGACUUUUCAAAAGUUGAUAAUCUUGCUGCGAAAGAUUUGACAAUUCAUUUAUCAAAGCUACAUGCAACGAUGAAGGCGCAGUUAAAAGAGACUUAAGAACAACAAAAGGUCAAUGCGGAUGUCUAUAGAAAGGAACAACCAUCAUUUAUCUUGGGUGAUAAGGUAUGGCUACUUCGUCGUAAUAUCAAGACCACUCGUCCUUGUGACAAGUUGGACUAUCAAAGGCUGGGACCAUUUUCUAUUUCUACACAAAUCAAUCGAGUUGCAUAUCAUUUACAUCUAUUGGAGUCAAUGAAAAUCCAUCCAAUAUUCCAUGUAUCUCUUCUUGAACCAUACAAGAUAGUGGACAUACCAAGAAGACGACAAGCUCCACCUCCUCUUAUAGAAGUAGACAAUAAUGAAGAGUUUGAAGUAGAAGAAGUAUUAGAUUCAAGGCGACGCUGAAAUAAAUUAGAAUAUCUUGUCCAUUGGCAUGGAUAUGGUAUAAGUGAAUGCACAUGUGAGCCAAUAAAAAAUCUUGAAAAUACAACAAAGGCGGUGGAGGCUUUUCAUCGACGACAUCCAUCAAAAUCAAGAUGAAAACCUUCUUUAUAAAAGAAAGAACAUCUAGGCAAGAUAACAUUCUACUUUCAAUUCUUGUUCAUAGCUUCUUUGUAGUAGUGACUCUCUGAAGAUGGAGAACCAACAACCAACAGAUUCGACUCAAGAACCUUCAUUUACUAAUUUGUCGGAUGAGACAUUACAAUUGUCACAACCUUCAAGACAACGCAUUCGAGAUGAAGAACUUCAAGAACGACAUAUUCUUCCUCGAAUAGAUGGCGAGAUACAACACGUUUGAUAUCACAAUUUGGGAAGGGACUCCCAAUGUUUGGUGAUUGUGCUAGAGGUAAGAACUUCUCCUGAUGGUGUUCUAAAUAUUCUAUUCGAAGGAAGUUACGAAGGCCUCAACAAUGAUCAAAUAGCUGGGUGGUCUUUUCGCCCUGGUAUGGGACACUAUCGAUAGUUGAGAGGUCCUAUCAAUCAUCUUCGAAGAGAACAAAGAUCAGAGUAUGUGGCAAAAAUAAUUCGUCGCAUUAUAGAUUUUCUUAACAUAUGAAGAUCGCUCCUCGUGGAACUCGUCUCUAGAAGGGGGGGGGUAAUGUCACAGCCAUAAUCAUGUAAGCUAAUAAUUACAUAUACAAAUAGGUAGAAGUAAGUAAAAGUAGAUAAAAGUAAGUUAAUUCUAUAAUAUUUAAUAUGGAAGCUUCUUAGAAGCUUUUUAGACACUGCUUUGACUUCAUAGGUAUCUUUAAGUGACUUUUUGGAUUAGAAACGUGGUCAACAAGUUGGCCAUGUGCCACACAUGUUGUCAGCUUGAAGAUCAAGCUAACUAUGUGGCCCACACGUAGAGAAACUUGCCUUGUAAGUCAAGGCAUGUGUCCUACAAAGUCAACACAUAUUGGAGGUCCGAUUGAACAUCGCCACGUAGCUUUUAGUUAGAUAGUAUAUAUAGAGACAAGAGUGAAGGCUUCUUCACUCUUGUCAACUCCUUUCUUGCUUCUAGUCUAGUUUCAAGGAUCUCUAGUUUUCUUGUCUUUUGGCAAUAGCCAUUCCAGUUUCUAUUUCAAUAUAUAUACUUAUUUAUAUAUAUUUUGUUAUCUCUCUUUGAGUGAAGGCUCACUUGUCUGAAUUGUUUUUUCAUUGAGUUCUUGUCGUUGACAAGCAAUGGACAGGCUGAGCGGAAAGAGAUGAACCUUAUUGUUGUGGUAUUGAAUUGUCCAGUCGUAUGGUCCCUAUUGUGGCUGAGCAUCCUCGUUUUCUUGAACAAAUACACCUCUGGUCUUGACAAUGCAUCAAUUUUACUUCUUAAGGCAGUUUCUAGCUUUGUAGCCUUCUUUAUCGCAAUACAAGCAUAGUCCUUCCUCCAUACGCUAUUUUUUUUUUCUUCUAGAGUUAGGAAUUUGACAUGUACUGCAUCAAUUUGCAUGUCUUCUACCUCUGAAUGUGAAUUUAGGCUGCUUGUUGACAUAGUUGGAGUGUGAUGAGCUAUAUAUUAUCUUAAGCGUUAGUCUUGGUGACAUUGAAAUAGGUAAUUAUUGGACUUCACAACUUAGCUAAUGGCUUUGUUGAGUGUUCGCAGAUUGGAAAGAGAUAAUAACAAAUCCUUCACGUCAUCCCUCAAGCCCCAAUAAAAUUGACUCAUCAAUGCUUCCUCGUUCUAAUUGAUGUCACAUGUUAAUUGUCCAAAAUUUGAUGCGUAGAGUGACGCAGAGCGUGCUCCUUGUCGUAGUAAUCAAAUCUUUAUUGUAGUCCAUCGCGCCUUGUCAUGUUUGCCAAAUGCUUUCGCAAAUGCCUCCAAAAAAGUUUUGAAGUUAUUCAAAAUUGAUGAUCCUUUCUCAAACAAAGGAUCAAAUGAUGAUAGAGCUUACUCCAUGAGCAAAGUUCCAACCAGUCCAACACGUAACUCCUUCGUUGGAUAGCGUUCAAGCUAUAAAGAUGUUAUCAAUCUAAUUUGAUUGAUAAAACCUCAAAACUUGGAACACGUACCAUCGAACUUGUCUAGAAGGCUAAUUCGGGGCUCUUUUUGUUGUUAGACCAACAGCCCUUGUUGAACUAGAGGCAAAGUUGCUUCUCUUGGUGCUGAAGCUUGAGGUUGGUGAAUCCUCAAUUGUGCCAUCUUGGAUGCUCUAUCAUCAUGAAGUCUUACAAUUAUUCCUUCAAUCUCUGCAGUUCUCUGUGAUAAUUUAGCAAGAGCAUUCAUAAUGGCGUCCAACUUGGACUCCAAACUUUAAGUCAUACUAAUAUCUUGUCCUCCGGCCAUUCUAAGAGAAGAAAAAAAAUGACUCUAUAAGAAGCCAGUAUUGGUUUAGAGGAGGGUACUCCACAACCUCUAAAAUACCUUAGAAUCUUCAAGAAGAGAAAUAAUCCACUCUCUCUAAGAAAGAUAAGAUUUCAAUAUUAUAAUAGAAGAAAUAUCAGUUUAGAGGAGGAUAAUCCGCAACCUCUAAAAUGCCAAUACCUUCAAGCAGAGGGAUAAUCCACGCUCUAACAAGAAGGAACUAACUCUGAUAUGAAAAAUGAGUGUAGUUUCGACAAACUGUCACGAAUAUAGAAUAUUGACUAGAAACAAGAAACUUAAGAAUAUUGGGCAAGAACUAAAUUAAUGAGAUGAGUAUAAGAACAAUACUAGAGAGGUGAGCUAGAGCUCCAAGAAGUGUGUUGUCGAGAUUGAGGAUCCCCUCAAUCUCAGCUCCUAUAUAUAUUACCAGCUAGGAAGCUUCUCAAGCAGCUUCUACAAUCUAUGAAGCUUCUAAAGCAGCUUCCACAAACUAGGGAGCUUUUCAAGCAGCUUCUACAAACUACAAAGCUUCUCUAGAACCUUCUAGAAUCUCUUACAACUUCCUAGUGUAUGUCCUUGACAAUAAGUAUGAUAAAAAAGAAUCCUAUGAUGUAUCAAUAGAAGUCAAGAAGGUCAUAAUUUGUGAAGAAGAAAAGGUAGAAGGACCAAUUAAUAGGAAAAAGGCCUUAAUUGAUAGAAAAGAUGCUUUAAAAAAUUAAUCAGCAAGUAACAUGAUACAAGAAGUAUAUCCCUUUGCUUCAUAUUCAAGAACUAAUGUUCUAUUUUUAAAAGAGAAGUGAGAGGAAAGAAUAAACAAUAGCAAGAAUAGGAAAAAAGAAGACAAUAUCAAAGAAAAAGAUAAGGUAUUAGCCUAUAAAUGCCAAUUUAAUAUUGAAUCAUUAAUUGACAUGAAGGGUAUUUUGAAAGUUAGGAUUUUGGAUGCUAAGAUUGAAUUUAUUUUAAAAGAAGUUCUUAAUAUUGCUUAGAAUGAUUUUUAUGAGCUCAUCAUUGAUGUCAUCAAGAAGAAGAGACAAAUAAUAAUUGAAAUAGUAUUCACAAAGAUACUAGAUGCUAUGAUGACCAAUGAAGAAGAAGAAGAGAUUGGAGAAGUAUUUCCUUUGAUCUGUGAUAAUAUGGAUAGUAAUAAUCAAAGCAAAAAACAUGGAAUCAUUUUUAGUAAGACUUAGAAUACAAAAAUUGAAGUUAUGGAGGAAGUUUUGUAUGAUAAAAUAAAAGAUAAAGUAUUAAAAAUAUUUUUAUAUGAUAGAAAAGUCAAUAUUAAGGUAGAAGAAAAUAUUAGUAAGAACUAAGAAGAAAGAAUUGCAAUAGAGGUUAAGGUAUCACAAUGUGAAAUUGAUAAGCUAUGGAAGAGUGAUGAUGAAGUUUUGACAAUUUAUACUCAUCCAUUCUAGGCAAGAGUUACAACAAAAAUACAAGUAAAGAUUAGAGGUUUUACAAAACCAAUCUUAGCAUUGGUAGAUCAUGGCUCUAAAAUCAAUAUCUUAUCUGGAAAGGUUUAUGAGAAGUACAAAUGGCCAAUUGACACUAACUAUGGAUAAGUAUUAAAAGCUACCAAUAAAGAAAGAAAUAACUUUUAUAGAGCAUGUUUAUUAAAAUUGAUGAUGUCGAAGUGGAAUAAAAUUUUUUUGUACAAAAUCAAGGAAGUUAUUUAAUGAUUUUGAAACAACCAUAAAUUAUUGCAACAAGGAUGGAGAUGUUAGAAGAUGGCUCAUGUUAUGCUAGAAUGCUUAGCCUUGAUGGUAAGAGGUUAGUCCAAUUUCUUAUAAUAAGGCCAAAUCAGGAAAGGCAUAGAGAUUAAUUUAGAAAAACUUCUAUAAACCAUAAACAUGAUGAUUUUUUGGAUUUUUAAAUUAAACACAUAGAGUAUGAGAUUCCACUAAUACAAAAAACUCAUCUACUAUUGUAUACCUCAAUAUAUUAAUUUAAAUUUAAUUUAAUCUAUUUUUUAUUUGAAAGGAAAUAUGAUCUAAAAAUUCAAAAUUCAUUCAAGGAAAGUUUCCAUCCAUAAAUGAGUUUUCAUCUACAAAUAACUUUUCAUCCAUAAAUGAAAAAGCAUCCACCUUAAAUAACAUUCAUCUGUAGUUUUUUCCAUCUAAUAAGAUUUGUUUAUCUGAGUUAACGUGCCAUCUGAAUUUAAAUUUUUCUCACUAUGAAUUGCACCUAAUUACAAUUGAUUGCCACAUAAGUUAUUUUUUGGGAACUCUCACGAAAAAGUGAUGGCUGUCGGAGAGAACUCUCGAAUUCUCUUGCUUGCUUCUGAAUGUGCAGCAGCUGCUUUUCAAAGCAUCUCUGAAGCUCGAUACUUGGGCCCUCCGAUACCACGAACCGAGCAGGCCAUUGAGCUCCUUCUUAAUAAUAGCACCUACUACCUAAUGAUUGCAUGAGCUCCUAUUCAACACUAUCAGCCAUUAAGCGUAGCUUUGGUUCUACUGUGAUUCUCCAAAGUGAGCUUGCUUCACGAGCUUUGACUACACAACUUAAAGCUACCUGUCAUUAGUGGAUAGCAGCAACAAUUCACGUAAUCAAUUAACCUCACUUCAAUUACAAUGUGCCACGACCUUCGUAGUGUUUUCUUGGAAACGUUGAGGAUUCUCCGCAAUAGUGACCCUUCCUUCAUUCCAUGUGGAAAUCCAGAUCGUUCACUUGCAACAGCUAGUCAACUAAGCCUCCGGGUUGCAAGAAGAACCGCACCUCAAGGAAAUUAAAGAUCUAACCGACACAACACCGCAUUAUCACUGCAAUACGACUGCCAAAACAACAACCAUAGAACAGCAGCCACAUUUGGAUUCAAUACAACAACUAGAGGAAUUACGACUAGCUAGGAUGCCAAACUAGGCACCGUCAAUUGAGGAGAGCACGACUGCAACCCUUGUUGAUUGGAACAAAAAUUUAAUGAACAAGUGAUUAGGACCACUACUCCGCUAGAGAGUAGCCAAAAUCAACGAAACGUGAGCACCAAACUGUUAUUGAACAACCAGCUUCCUUAGCCGUGAUUGUUAGCACCUUAGUAGUGACUUCAAAAUUUCAAUUAUCCUCAAACCCGAUUUCAGCACUACCACCGCGGUAUCCUCAAAGGGAGUAAAUGAUCCUGAACCACUAGUGCAAAAGGAGUCAAAAAUGUGCAAAUAGCAAUUUGGAGUCCACCAAGUGCUAAUUUUCUUUAAUCAAUACUAGUGUAUCUGAUCUUCUGCUGUCUUCAAUAUUCUCUUCUACGACCAUUAACACAACCUUUAAUUUUGUCCUCGAGAUAAGACAGCAACGGCCGACGAUGUUGACCACCAAAAUUCUAGUGCCUCAAAACAACAAGAAAGGAAAAACAGAAUAGUGCCACUAGAUCCACUACAAUUGUCAAUAGAGUUAUGAGCACUUGUAGACGGGGUGGAGCAGGAAUUGGAGUACAAAUUGCUCCAUUAAUGAUACAAUUAUCACAAUUAGAAUCAGUUGCACGCCUCCUAGAGAACUAGAAGUGUUUCACAAGCCUCCACAAGUCCUUUGCAGCUUGAGAGCAACUGUCUAAGGACACCUAUAAUGCUCCUACCACAUGCACUUCCACGGCAAUCCCAUACUACUAAACCUAGAUCUUGGAGGAGAACAAAAUCGUCCUUGAUGCCACUCCAGCACGAGGAGUCACCAACAAGGAACCACUAGGAAGUGCUUCUCCACUACAGCCGUCGAAAAAAAAUCAAAACACGGAAGACCAGGAUGUAGUUGCAACACAGCACUUUGCCCACGCCGAGACUUCAAGAGCUCAGGAAGCAAAACAGUACAACAUUAGAGGAGAGAACACAAAACGUUGUCCUACACCACUUCCACCAUGGCACUGACACAAAUGCAAAGAAAAAAAAAAAAAAAACACAGGAAAAAGUUUUGGGGCACCCAGAGCUCAUGAACCGUGAAGAGAGGAAAUAAAACAAAAAUAUGAGAAUCAGGGAUCUUGGCGGGCCGGACCCCUAUCGACAAAGGGGCUACCAUUGUUCUUGGGUAGCCUCUUGUCUUUCUCAUCACCUUAUCUUUUUUUUUUUUAAUAUCUUUUUUCUUCUUUUUCUUUUUCUCUUCUUUUCUUUCUUUUUUUCUCCUCAUCUUUUUCUUCUUUUUAUAUUUUUAUUUUUUAUAUAUAAACAUAUAAAAACAUAUAAAAUAUAUAUAUAUAUAAAAAAUAAAAAUAUAAAAAGAAGAGAAAGACGAGGAGAAAAAAGAAAGAAAAGAAGAAAAAAAAGAAAAAGAAGAAAAAGGAUAUAUAUAUAUAUAUAUAUAUAUAUAUUUAUAUAUUUUAUAAAUUAUUAAUAAAAUAGGAUUUUUUUCUUUCCUUUUUACCAUGAGGAAUACUACUAUUGGCCAUCAUCUAAUGUUUGCUAUAAAAAAAUCUAUUCAUUAUAGAAAUUGACUUAAUAAAUUCUAUUUUAAGUUACAUAUCGACUAUUAACAAUCUAUUUUCUAUUUCUAUUAAAAAUUCUACUACUAAUUCACUAAAUCUGUGAUUUUAGGCACCACGAGUGCAUUUUUUAUUCUAAAGAAGUUUGAAAUUUUGAGAUUCAUCUAAGACAUGCAAUAAGUUAAGAAGGUGACAAUUAGAAAUAAGAAGAUAAGAUUGAUUGCAGAUGAGGUUGGUGAGACUUUUUCAAGAUAUGCUACCCAUUCUAUUGGAGAUCUUUAUUUUGGUUAUGAUCAAUUUCAACUUGCACCAAAAAAUAGAGAUUUGACAACUAUAAAAAUUCUAUUAGGACUUAUGAGGAUGUGCACUUUACUUCAAGGUGCCAUAAAUUCAGUAAUUCACAUGUAUAAUACCAUGAAUCAAAUUUUGAGAGAAUUUGUGCUCAAGAAGACUAACCUUUGUGUGGAUGAUAUAUCUAUCAAUGGUUGUAGAGAAGAGGCCCAAGACUUGACAUUAGAUGUUGAUGGAUACAAAAGGUUUAUGAAUGAUUACAUUAAAGAUAUAGAAAAGAUUUUGAAGAAACUUGAAGAGAUAGAUUUAACCUUGUUCAGUAAUAAGUCUAAGUUUAAAGUAGAUGAUAUUGUUGUAGUUAGAUAAUUGUGUGAGAAGUAUGGCAAAAAAUCUAAUCUUCAGAAGAUUGAUGCUAUUAUUAGGAUGAAGGCAUGUAGUAGCAUCACUAAAGUAAGAAGAUUUUUGGGAGCUUGUAUCUUAUAUCAAAUUUGAAUUCCAUACUUUGCUUACAUAGUUGAGCUACUAUAAAAUUUCUUAAGAAAAGAGACUAAGUUUAGAUAGAAUAAAAAAUAAGAAUUAGCCAUAGAAGGUUUAAAAUAAAUUUUGAAGUCACCAUCAAUCUUAAAGUAAGUUGACUAUGAUUAUCAGAGAUCAAUUAUUGUUAUUGUUGACAUAAGCCAAAUUGCCAUUGAUUUAACUAUUGGUCAAAAUGAUAUAGAAGAAAAAAGGUUUGCCAUCAAAUUUGGAAUAAAAACUCUUGUAAAUAGGCAAAAAAAUCUGGCAAAUUAGAACUUUUCAACUCCAGUUCUAUAGCACUAACAUGAUUAACAACUUGUCUAUUCAUCCAAUAUACAAUCAUAUGAUUAGAAUCGUCAAUAAUAUCUAGAGGAACUAAAUACUCUCCCGGUCCCAUGCAUUGGUAUUUCAUUCUAGUGUACUCAACAACUUGCCUUGUAUCAGCAUAAAUUAGGUCAAGUAUACCAAUUUCUUCUUUUGUAGACUCAUCUUUAUAAUCCGAUGUGAAUUUUGAACUGACAAAUUGAAUUUCUCUGUGAUAUGAGACAGGGUACAUUUGAAGCACAAUUUUAUCAUUACCUUUCCUAAUUGUCAAUGUACCACGGUGUCGUAUUACGUGCUUUCCUGCUCGAGAACGCGCCGGGCAUCUUGUUGUAGAAGGUAGUAUGGAGAUUUACUAAUAUUCAAGUAGUCUAUUGAUUUUUGACUGUUGGAAUAUAAACGACUACAAGAAUAUACUAUAAAUCUAUACGAAUGUCCUUCGACUGCUCGCCGAAAUCCUUUUUACCCCAGUCGGUAGGUUUCUAGACGUUACAGAGAACCUCGAACAACCCGAUCUGCUAAUCUCUGAUACCGCUUUAUACUCGCGACCUUGUAUCCACCAACUGUCUUGUUAGAUUAACCCAAUAAAUUUCAUUCACUCUGCAUACUCAAUCCUAUAGACAUCCUUUUAAUUCUUCAAUCACAGACAUAACUUUGAUUUUACAAAACAGUCAAGAGUAAUCACACCCACUUCAUUAAAACCCCGAUUCACCAGUACAACACAUCGACUAUUCAGCAAUGAUUGCCUCAGUCUUUCCAAAACCCUAUGAAAAAAAAAAAAAAAAAAAAAAAAAAAACCCCAAUUCUCUGUCUUUUUUCUCCGCCCCCGAAGCACAAAGCUAGCUCUCCAAUCCUUUAAAAAACCCUUAUUCUCUCCCCUUCAUUUCUUAACCUAUCCUCCCCUUUAAUCCUAAUUCUCCCCUCUUUCAAACCCAAGCCUUUGAAUUUCUUCAAUCUUCCCUCUUGGAUCCGGAAUUGGCUCUGCCGUCAGAGCUUUCUCCUUCGUUUUUAUCUUUAAGAGAUCUUUUUAUCGAAAGGACGUUCUUGGAACGACACAAAGGACGGAACAGCCUGAAAUGGAAUCAGAGCCCCGUAAUCGGGACCACAUUGAGUCGCCCGACCAAGUCAGGUCUCAUAUUGGACAAGCGGCCCGUAGUAAGACCUGGAUGUUCCCGUAAUUGGACCGCAUUGGAUUGCCGGAUCAAGUCAGGUCUCAUAUUGGAUAAGAGGCCCGUAAAAAGACCUGGAUGUUCCCAUAAUUGGACCGCAUUGGGUUGCCUGACCAAGUUAGGUCUCAUAUUGGGUAAGAGGCUUGUAAUAAGACCUAGAUUGGAUGUCUUAAAAUUGGAUCCAAUUGGCUCUUCAAACCAGGCUCAUCCGUCAUUGAAUUGGUCCUUUCUCUUCUUGCUAACUCCCGUUAUUGAAAUUGAACAGAGCAUUUCAGUAUGCCCCGGCUGACUGUAACGGGGUGACUGAACCUCGCCUCUCAGUAUUUGCACUGGAAUUGGUCGUUGCUCCCAAUAUUCGAGGUAACUGAACAUUAAAAAAAGUCCCCUUUCUUUAUAUUUUUAUGGUAUACUUGUGUUACAAUACGACAUCCACCCCCUCUGAACCUGUACAUCCUCCAAUAUGCACCAAUUUUCCCAAUUGCUGUUUGAUUUAUAAUAUAUUCUCUAUGUCUUUGUCCAGUUCGUCUUUGUCACCUUCAUUAUCCAAAUCACUUUCAACUUCUUACUGCGGACCUAACUUGCAUAAUUCUCCUUCAAUAUUAUAUAAUCUUUUUUUUUCUUUUCUUUUAAAAUCAUCAACUUUCUUAUAUAUAAUAUUUCCAUUCUCCAAAAUAUCAAUAAACUCGCAUCAAAGGCACCUUCAUCUCGUGAGAGUACCUCCUCUUUUGUACCUCCAUAAUCUCACUUUACAGUGGUACCUCUCCAAAAUCCUUUAAUCCUUCAACAAUCUUUGGCAAUGGUUUCUCCCUCAACGUAUCUCGAUUUUGUUCAUGGUUAGGAGGUACUGUUAGAAAUUAUACAGCUUUCCUCCCAUCUUUGCUAUGUACCCUUGCAUAAGCAAAACCAUCAUCAAGUACUUUUGUUUCCAUUCGUGUUGCCAUAAUAUAAGGUUGUUCUAAAAUCAACGGAUAAGACGUUGUAUCUUGAACAAAGAAAUGUUGCUCCGUCGCAACAUUCCCAAUCCGAAUUUUGACAUCUGGACAUGCUCCAUAUAAUUCGCCCCGUGUGUUAUUAGCUGCUCAUAUUGCCCAUCCAUGUUCUAUAUCAAUUGGCCAUUUUUUCUUCUUAUAAAGAUCUUUAGACAUGAGAUUUAUUUCAGAACCAUGGUUGACUAAAGCAACAAUUGGUUCUUCUAUAUCUCCUACUUUCACCAAUACCUCAGUAGUUGUCCUUGCCCAAUGCUUUCGAGUAUAAUGGCUCAAAGUUUCUAUUUCCUUAUCACUAUAAUCUUCGAAACAUACUCGUUGAUUAUACCCAUUCUUUUCAUUUGUUGGUUGCUUGUAAUCAAUAUCAACCUCUUCUUCAUCUUUAUAUAUUUUUGCAUCAAUAGCAUGACUCAUUCCAGUUUCGCUCAUUAAUUACCUCUUUCGCUUAAUGCUGUCAAUGAUAACAUCAUGAAACUCCUUCUUUGCAAUUCCCAAGACUUCUUUCAAUGUGAAUUCCACCUUAGCGUUUAAUAUACGUUCUUCCAACACCCCUUUCAAAUUUGUUGCCGCUUCAAUGUCAGAAAGUAGCUUAUAGGCAAUUGAUUUGCCCUUAUCUUUUGUCUCUGUUGUUUUUUCUCCCAAUGAUGAUGAGGUAUCCUUUACAGGCAAUUCUUGUGAAGCUGCCUCCCGAGCCUUGUCUCCUCGAGUUUGCCUCUUAAAAGAAUUUCCUUCUCUAGUAUCAUCAAAAUUUUCUCGUCUCUUUUCUUCCAUCAAAGCUUCAUGUUGGCUCUUAGCAAUAUAUGCAUGAACUGAAAGAGACUCAACAGGAUCCUCCCAAUCUGUUCUACCUCGUAUUGUAGCUGCAGUUCUCAAUAAUGCUUCUCGAGGUAAUUUCCCUUCUUGCAUUGUAGAAACGGUAGAAGCCCAAAACUCACUAGUUUUCGUACUUCCACUAAGGUCAUCAUCUACUCUAGCACCAUAACUUGCACUUUCUCUUGCUAUUGUUUCAUACUCUUUUAAGUAAUCUUAAACCAAUGCUCUCAUACCUCCCUUGUAAAAAUUGGUUUGAAGAAGAUCCUCCCUAUCUUUUAAUGCUAUCUUCUCAUCUUUUCAGCAAAUAAUUCCUUGCCGUAUCAUAUUAUUAAAUUCAUUGCAAUCUUUCCUAGUGUGUGAAGCGUCAUCACACCAAAUGCAUCUUUGUACAUAUCCUUGUUUUGAAACAUUCUUCAAAUUAUUUGUAGAAGUAUUCUCUUCAAGUCUUGCCAAUUUGAUUUGAAGAUCUCGCAUUCCUCGGAUAAUUUCUUCCAUCCUCAUAUCUGCUUUCUUUGAUAAGGAUGUCGAAGGUUAAACUGUAGGCAUUGUUGGUGGUGUUGUACGUACUGGAGCUUUGGGUGCUUGUAUUGUUUUCGGAAUAUUGCUCCUAUCCUUCCUCCUUUUUCUUUUUGUAAGCAACCCCACCACAUCUUCAAUGUUCUUCCACUUUGUUGUCAAUCCUUCAUCUUCUUCUUUGUCUUCAAGAAGGAGUUCUAAUUUCCCUUGCAAUUCUCUAUCAACAGCUUGAAGAAAUAGAUCAACUUUGUUCGGCUCCAAUGUCAAUUUUUCUACCUUCGACAAUUGAGAGUACUGCCUCUCAAAUUCCCUUAGUAGCUCUGUUGCUUGUAAAUUCUUAUUACGCCGUUCAAUCCAUUCCAGAAACAACUUCUUAGUAACGUGAUCAACAUCUUCCAAGAAAUAUUCGUCUUUCAAUGCAUAUGAAAAAAUCUCCCAUGAAUUCUCAUAAUGAUCCGUAAUCGAUGUAAUAUGGUCUCUUAUCUCCGGUAUGGUGGCAAGUCCAAAUAAUUCAACCAUUUUCUUCUCAGAAAUCCGAUUUAAUUCCAUUUCAUGAACUUAAUAUCUUAAAUACCUUGAUAUAUUCUUUCCAUCAAAUUGAUCAAUUUUAUUGACCACUGCUUGCAAUGCUUUGGUUGCCAAAGCUUUCUUUCGAUCAUUGCUUUGUUGUUGGUGCAUUGAUAAUGAGAAGGCUUGAAACAUAAUAGCAAUAGACAGAUCCAUGUGCAUACCUUGUCCUUUAGAAGAACCCCCACCAGAAACUCCUCCCAAAGAUCCUUCAAAAUUUUUAUUUUCGUUCUCCAUAAAAAUAAAAAUAAAAUCAAACGAAAUUCAAUACCUUCUACCUCAAGCUUUUACGUCGGGUUCACCACUUUUUUUGUAUUACGUGCUUUCGUGCUCAAGAAUGCGCUGGACUUCUGGCUGUAGAAGGUAGUAUGGAGAUUUGUUAAUAUUCAAGUAGUCUAUCGAUUUUUGAUUGUUAGAAUAUAAAUGACUGUAAGAAUAUACCAUAAAUCUAUAUAGAUGUCCUUUGACUGUUCGCCAAAAUCCUUUUUGCCCUAGCCGGUAGGUCUCUAGACGUUACAAAGAACCUCGAAUAACCCGAUCUGCUAAUCUCCGAUACCGCUUUAUACUCGCAACCUUGUAUCCACUAACUGUCUUGUUAGAUUAAUCCAAUAAAUUUCAUUCACUCCGCAUACUCAAUCCUAUAGACAUCCUUUUAAUUCUUCAAUCACAGACGUAACUUUGAUUUUACAAAAAAUUCAAGAGUAAUCACACCCACUUCAUUAAAACCCCGAUUCACCAGUACAACACAUCGACUAUUCAGCAACGAUUGCCUCAGUCUUCCCAAAACCCUAUGAAAAAAAAAAAAAAAAAAAAAAAAAAAAAAACCAAUUCUCUGUCUUUUUUCCCUGCCUCCAAAGCAUGAAGCUAGCUCUCCAACCUUUUAAAAAAUCCUUAUUCUCUCCCCUUCAUUUCUCAACCUAUCCUCCUCUUUAACCCUAAUUCUCCCGUCUUUCAAACCCUAGCCUUUGAAUUUCUUCAAUCUUCCAUCUUGGAUUCGGAAUUGGCUCCACCGUUAGAGCUUUUUCUUUUGUUUUUAUCUUUAAGAGGUCCUUUUUAUCGAAAGGACGUUCCCAGAACGGCACAAAGGAUGGAACAGCCUGAAACGGAAUCGGAGCCCCAUAAUCGAGACCACAUUGAAUCGCUCGACCAAGUCAGGUCUCAUAUUGAAUAAGAGGCCCGUAGUAAGAUCUGGAUGUUUCCGUAAUUGGACUGCAUUGGGUUGCCUGACCAAGUUAGGUCUCAUAUUGGAUAAGAGGCUCGUAAUAAGACCUGGAUUAGAUGUCUUGAAAUUGGAUCCAAUUGGCUCUUUGAACCAGGCUCACCCGUCGUUGCAUUGGUCCUUUCUCUUCUUGCUGACUUUCAUUAUUGGAAUUGAACAGAGCAUUUCAGUAUGCCUCGGCUGACUGUAACGGGGUGACUGAACUUGGCCUCUCAGUAUUUGCACUGGAAUUGGUCGUUGCUCCCAAUAUUCAAGGUAACUGAAUAUUGAUAAAAGUCCCUUUUCUUUAUAUUUUCACGGUAUACUCGUGUUACAACACGACAACGGUGUCGUGAUGUAACAUGACUAUAUAGUGAAAGAUGAUAAAAUGGAUCUUAUUAUAGAAGAGCUAAGUUAAAAGAAAAAGUAAAAAAGUAUAGAUAAAAGAUAGGAAGGUAGUAAAACUUUUAGUAACAAUGCUCCCUUUUUAGAAAGAUGACUUCUACUUUGUAGGGCCAUAAAUAAGACAAAACAAGGUAGAUUGGAAUAAUAAAUAAUAUAGACAUCUUUAAAAAGAAGUUAAGAGUAAAUUCUAGUAAAAAUUACUAAAUAAAUACUAGAUGUUGAUACCCGGAGAGGGCCGGUUAUGAACCAAGGUCGAAAUCAGACCCUAAGGCACAAAACCGAGUCUCGACGACAACUCUAGGAUUUUUUGGCAGAUCGGAGAGUGGAUUUUGAUAGCAUAUUGAAUAAGGUUUCUAUAGGCAUUGAUUUUGGGUGAUUUGGAGUUUUUAUGACUUUGUAAGAGCUUUGCAAAGUCAAGGUUUAUUUUAGAUGUCUUAGAUUUUAAGAAAAAAAAUGGGAUUUACGUUUUGGGUGAUUUCAAGUGUUUUUUAAUAGAUCUACAAGUGAAAUUUUGUGGAUUUAUGGUUAUAUUUGUUUUUAGUAUGUGUUAUAAAUUUGAGCUGGAUCUAACGAUUAAAUUGAGGAAUAUUGAGGUUUAAGUGGAUCAAGGUCUCAGAAAUUAAUAUUUUAUAUCUAGUGAGGAUUUUUAAGAUUUCUUGCAAUCUACUAGUUGGAUUGGAGUGAAACUUAUGUGAGAGAAUAUUAGACUUGAUUUUCUAUGUGUAUAAGAGUUUUAAGAUCGAUCGAACGGUGCAAAUGAGAGAUAUUGGCUCUGGAAGAUUGGCAUCAAGGUUGGAAAAGGAGGCCGACCAAUACCUAAGCAUGUUUUUAAGGUUGUCGUCUAUUUGGUAAUUUCGAUCCUUUCCAAAAUUUUUGUGAUUGUUUUCAACUUAGUUUUUAAGAAGUGUGUAAAAUUUGAGUUAAGAUCAAUAGUUUAUUUAUUAGUUAUUGAGGUUUAAAUGUGUUGUAGGAAUUACUAGGGUUUGGUUACGAAUUGGUUUAGGGUUAGGAUUUGAUUAGGGUUUGGUUUAGGGUUCGGUUAGGGUUUGAUUUAGGAUUUAGGAUUUUUUAGGAUUUUGUUAGGAUUUGGUUUAGGAUUUGGUUAGGAUUUAUGAUUUAGUUAGGAUUUGGUAAGGAUUUGGUUUAGGGUUUAGGAUUUGAUUAGGAUUUAGGAUUUGAUUUAGGAUUUGGUUAGGGUUUUAUUUAGGAUUUAAUAUUUUUUUAGGGUUUGAUUUAGGAUUUAGGAUUUUAUUAGGAUUUAAGAUUUAAUUAAUUUUGGCCUAAAGUUUGAAUGAAGUUCAAUAGGAUUUUAACUAAAAUUAAUUUAAGAUUGAAUUGAGAUGUAUUUGAGUGAUAUUUGUGAUCCUUCUAAUAUUUCUUUAAGAAUUCUUAUUAUUUGUUUGAAAUUUCUUUGAGAUUUUUUUGAAUUUGAUUAAGCUUGCUUAGCAUUAUUAUCAUCUAAUUAGAGCAAUGUUAGUAUUCUAUUAGAAUUAAGAUUUUGUUAUUGCAAUUUCCAUUCUUCCUUCCACAGCCAAGAGCACGGAGCAUUCUCAAGUAAGACUUCACGUAUUAGGACAAUGGCCCCAAUCAUUUCGAGCUUUAGCUUGAUACAACCACGGUGUUGUAAUACAUGAAGUCUUGCUUGAGAAUACUCCUGGCACUUAGCUAUGGAAGGAAGAAUAGAAAUUGCAAUAACAAAAUCCUAAUUCUAAUAGAAUGCUAACAAUGCUCUAAUUAGACCAUAAUAAUGCUAAGCAAGCUUAAUCAAAUUGAAAAAAACCUCAAAGAAAUUUCAAACAAAUAAUAAGAAUUCUUAAAGAAAUAUUAGAAGGAUCACAAAUAUCACUCAAAUACAUCUCAAUUCAAUCUUAAUUUAAUUGUAGUUAAAAUCCUAUUGAACUUCAUUCAAAUUUUAGGCCAAAACUAAUUGAAUCUUAAAUCCUAAUAAAAUCCUAAACCUUGAAUCAAACCCUAAACAAACCUUAUACCAAACCUCAACCAAAUCCUAAACCAAAUCCUAAACCAAAUCCUAAAUCCUAAAUCAAACCCUAACCAAAUCCUAAUCCAAAUCCUAAAUCCUAAACCAAAUACUAACUAAAUCUUAAAUCCUAAACAAAACCCUGACUAAAUCUUAAACUCUAAAUCAAAUUCUAACUAAACUCUAAAUCCUAAAUCAAAUCCUAAUCAAACCCUAAUCCAAAUCCUAAAUCGUAAAUCAAACCCUAAAUGAAUCCCAACCAAAUCCUAAAUCAAA